ACAUUUCUAUUUUUCCCCUGUGAAAUAAAUGCUCAAGUUAUCUUGGUUACUACCACUUGCUAUAUUAUUUCAAGAGAUGAGUGCUCUAUAAAAAAAGAUACGAGGAAAUAAAAAGGAACAAGUGCCCAGAACCUUGAUAGAAAAGAAAAAGUGAGAAGAGAGGUAAAAAUGGACAAGUGUCCGGCAGUAGAAUUAGGGGUACAAGAUACCCACCUGAGAGAAAAGAAAAAGAAAAUAUAGAGCAUCUUAUUCUCCAUAAAAGUUUCAAAAAAGCAAGAAAGGUAUGUAUCCCCUCAAAAGAGCAAAAGUAGAAUUAGACUUUCACCUUUGUUAUCACCAUCAUCACCAUACACCAUUCAUUCGCCACACAUGCACAUCUUGAUUUGACUUAUUGACUUGUUUCUCUGGAUCCAUGGUUUGACUAUACAAUAAAUGUCUUGUAAGUAUGUAUACUUUAUCUCCCACCUAUGAGCUCCAGAUAUCAAAGACUUAUUAGAGUAGGGUGAGAGAGAAGGCAACGCCACUAUGCCUUAUACCACAAAUACUACAUAUUUUGAGCAAAGGCAUGUACCAUCACUGCUUGGUAAGGAUGCAGAAAUACCACAAAAGAGAGAUCUGAGAGAGGCAUACAAGGAAUCUCUCAGUUUUAUUUGAAAAUCUGCAAAAACUCCAGAGCUAUAGCUGAUCAAGAAUAAGAGACAUGGCACUUGACUAGACUGUUCUAUCUUUUAACUGCUCAAGAUAGAAGUGACGGUUACAACUCCCAUGGUGAAAGGUAAAAUAAGUAAGUUUUAAGUCUUGACAGUUUACUCUAACUCAGAGAUGAGACCUCAUUUAAAAGCAAGUGUACCGUCAACUUUUAAAGGCAUUACAACAACUUCUGAUCCAUCACUGAGUCUAUCCUUGCUCAGGGACAAGCAAGAGGUAAGCUUGGGGGAGUUUGUUGACGGUCCUUAAGUAUCAAAUUUAAUUAUCAAAUAAACAAAGAAAAGGAUCCAAAUGCAACCGACACCCAGACUUAGGGUUUUAUUUGAUAGAAUUCCACGAGUUUUGGUGUUUGUCUAUUUCUGCAGCGGGUUAUCAGGAAAUAUGGAAGAAAGGCCCACACGUUGGGAUUACAUAGAGAUAUUAACAUGCCACGCAAUUAUCUUACAUCUAGAAGAGUACAGAAGCCACGGGAACGAACGGGAGACCGGACGGGCUCGCGGGCAGGGCGCCCGCCCUGCCCACGGGGCCAAUCAGCUUCAACUUCGCGGAUCAUGCUCCACCGACCUAAAGGAUCAAGGAAAACCGUGCGAUUAAUGUCGGUUUGAUCCGACGGCCCACAUUCACUUGGAAGGACUAUAUAACCAGACCCCCUGGCCCCUAGAGGAGAGGACCUCAGACCCCUAAUUCAUUAUUCAUCUUGGGAGAAGAAGCCUCUGAUCAAGCCCUAGAGCCACCACAUCAAUUAGAUCUCUAGAUUAGCAUAGCUACACAGGAAUGGAACUAGAAGGAGUCAAUCUUCGAUUGGUUUCCGGAUCUGUCAAGAGUAUUCUUGGUAAUUCCUCUAUUGUUCUUCAAUUGUUCAUCUUUGUUCUUCAAUAUUAUGAAUAUGACUUUGCUCUACUUCAAUAUAUUGAUUAUGACUUUGCUCUACUUGUUUAUAUUCGCAAUUAUAUUGUUCUUAGUUUACCAUAGUUAUAUACUUGGCUUAGUUAGAUUGGAAUUAUAUACAUGUUUAGGAUCGUAUAGCAUUUAUCCAUGUGUACAGUGGGUAAAUGAUAAGUAUUGUGUAGGCGUGGUGCCUAUACCGUAUUUAUCUAUGAUUGUACCCUAUAUGCCAGACCGCAGGAUAGUUCGUGGUAGUGACAGCUCCAUUGAUUCUUAUAUAGUCCCCCUCUCAUGUAUAGGGCUGGCAAAGCAACAUUAUUAUAGGGGAGUGAUUGCUAUGUUUCUCAUAUUCCUUGAUAAUAUCACUAUGCAUGGGCGUAGUCCUGUCUCGCAAUGAUUGCCAAGUAUAAUUGCACUAACUAUGAUAUGCUAGACUGUAUAGUUAAGAAUAACUUAGGAAAUAUUCUUGUAGUUCGUCCUAAUUCCAUGCUAAUGACUUGCUAGAAUAUCUAAUUGAGGUGCUUAUCAUAUUUAUAUGUGACUAAGUUAUGCUGAUUAGAUUAAUUAUCUUUGUCACCAUUCAUACUUUAUAUAUCUUUUAUGUGACACUUAUCCCUGUAUGAAAGAGAUAGAUAGAUGCUCUCAAUUAUACAUGCAAUGAUAGAUACUCAAUUCUAUAUUCCAUUCUAUAAUCAACAUUGAUGAUUACUAAUCCCUUCCUAGUGGUAAAAAUAUAAAUAACGAUACCUUGAAUACUUCCCGGUUAAAAUGCUACAUCGGUAUUAAUCUGUGCACUUGCAGAUCUCAUUUAUUAUUUAUUUAGAAGAGCAAUUGCAUAUUUCAAUACCGCGUCUCUCAUGUCAUACUGGGGAUGACAACUUGGCUUAAGUGGCAUGAGGGAUAGGUUUGGCAUUUUUGGCGCCGUUAUCAGAAUUAGAAAACUAAGUCUACUUUUGGUAGUGAUGUUAAGAAUGCCCAACAGGCUUCACAUCAUAUUCUAUAGUUUCUCAAACUCUUUGGAGAACUCGUAGAACAUAUUCUUUGUGUAUAUAGUGGAAGCAUGCUUCUCAAGCGGAUGCCUUGACCAUCGUCUUUGCUCAUUCUCAACAGACCUGAUGUCUUGCCCAUCCUAUGCAACUAGACAAUUUUCUUGUAUUUUAUGGUAUUGUCUCACAAACUAUAGCAUGGACAAGUUUGGGUUGACAUACUUCUUCAGCAAAGCAUUGAACCCCUCACUUCUUUGAGUCAACUUCAAGAAUCGGAAGAAACUAUUGAAAGGUCCAAAUGGCUAGAGGGGGGUGAAUAGCCUAUUUAAAUUUUCUACAAACUUCAACUAGACAAGUUGAUUAGUAAAACAAAAGGCAAAGCUAUUCUAGCACUAGCACAACUAAGCUAUGCAAGCCACCUAUACAAGUCUAGCAAGAAAGGUAAACACUAGUUACAACAAGAAAGCACAACUAGAAGCAUGCUACACUCUUAAACAAGAUAGCUAAACUAAACAAGCUACACAACUAGCAAUGUAUGCACAUAAGUAAAGGAGAUGGGAGUGAUUGUUAUACCAACGUUGUAGAGUAGAGAUAUAGCCAAUCAAUCAAUCACAAUUACAAGAGAAUCCUCGGCAAGAGAUGACACGAGAUUUUUUACCGAGGUUCACUUGCUUCCCGGCAAAGCUAGUCCUCAUUGUGGCCAUACACCCACUUGAUGGAUCACGAGCUAAUUGGCAAUCCAAAGCCAAACCCUUAGCGGGUACCGCACAUCCGCUCACAAGACGGGGAUCCUCUAAGCCACGAGCAGUCCACUAGAUUAGCCAAUUGCGAUCUCCUGCGGGGAAGGCUCAAGAACCCCUCACAAAUCACUUGGUGAGGCUCGAAACAAUCUCCAAUCACGAGCUCAACACCACCGCUGCUCCAAGCCGUCUAGGGCGUCAGGAAACACCCAAGAGUAACAAGAAAUCCACAGCAAACUCAAGAAUCAAGUGCCACUAAAUGCAAAUCUCAAAGCAAUGCACUUGAAUCUCACUCAAUCUCACUAGGAUUAGCAAUCAAGCAAGGAGAUGAGUGGAGGGAGUAUUCUCUAGCUCAAUGUAUGCCUCAAGUAUUCAAAUGUGCAAGAGUUAACCUCCCAAAGCCGGCCACCUUAUAUUUAUAAGCUCCCUCAAAGAACUAGCCGUUCGCCACUUUCACUGGGCUGAAAAUGGGGGCACCGGACGCUACCAAGUGAGCACCAGAUGCUCGACCCCCUGCGUCCGGUGCUCUAGGGUUGGCCACGUGUUCUCUUUUGAAUCUCGCGCGUCAGUCUCUAACGGCUACCUGCGAACCACCGGACAUGGUCAAGUGAGCACCAGACGCGUCCGGUACUCACCAGACCCAUGCGCAGAGAGUUCUGCAAACCGCGACCUCACCCGACUCGGAGCACAACACGCGUUCGGUGCUCACCGGACUUAUGUGCAGAGAGGGUUGCAAAAUGUGCUCACACCGGACACACACCACUAGAUGCACCCAAAGUGUCCGGUGCUCUCAGUUAGACACCCUCUGCUUAAGUUAGGCCACAUCGGACGCAUGAACAGGGAACACCCUGCGUUCGGUGCAGUGCGUUCGGUGCUCAACCCUAAUAGGGCCAAGCACUGACAGCACACCGGACGCUCAGGCCAGCGUUCGGUGCCUCUGCACCCUGGGUUCGGUGAGUGUUUCUCAGUGAGAAAUACUCCUGCGACUUCUCCAAAUUUUCCACCGGCGCAAUAGAAAAUAUGCACUUAAUUUUCUCAAAAGCGCCGAAUCCCCUCUCAACCCUAGGAACUCCACCUCCUUGUAAAGUGUGCUAACACCAAUAAGUGUCCACCACCAAAGUGCAUGUGUGUUAGCUUUUCACAAACAUUUUCAUCAAAUGAGUUAAGUUAGCACUUUACUAGAUCCUAAUGCAUAUCCUCAAGAUAUGGACCUAGUAGCACUUGAUUCGAGAGAUGACCGUGAUUUCCCCUCUUGAUAGUCAGCUAUCUGUCCUAAACCCGGUCAAUCACUUCUCUACUCAUCUUAGACCAGCAAAAGUAAAACCCUAUGUUUAUACCUUUGCCUUGAUAACUUUGCUCCUCAUCUACCAUGAUCUUUACUUCAUUCUUCAUCCCUUUGUGAUCAUAUGGCCACCUUUCCAUGCCACCAUGCACCUUCAUCACAUGUGUUGCUAUGCCUAACUAAAAUCACUUAAACGCAAGGCAUUAGCAACUUGGUGUCAUUAAUUACCAAAACCAAACUUGGGGUUUCAAUCUCCCCCUUUUUGGUAAUUGAUGACAACCAUCACAAAGAUAUGAAAUGAAAUCAUAAUGAACUUGAAUUGCUUGUCCAAAGCAUUUAAAUCAUGAGACAAGAUUGGACAACAAUUUCAAUUUUGGUUUUGGUAGUACUAGCUCCCCCUACAUAUGUGCUUUCAUGAGUUUGGUUCAAGUUUGCACAUAUGCAUGAAUUGGAAUUUUGGGAGAUUUAUUACUACCAAAAUGAUGCUAAGGUAUAUAGAAUGGACCUUUGAAGCGUGAUACCAAUCAGAGUUGCCAAUAUACCAUCCUUAGCACCAAUGUAGCUAGACAUACAUCAAAAACUCAAGAUACCUCAUGAGAUCACAUUAUAUGUCUAGAUACCACAUGAAAAUAAAAUUCUAUUCUAGAAUUCAAAGCAUCAUUCAAGUUCUAUUUCUACCAAGCACCAAUCAAACAAGAGUUGUGAAUUUGAACUUGCAAUGCAACACCUCAUUAUGUUAGUGCACAUUCAAAUGCAACAAUUGGUUCAUGAGCUUGCUCCCCCUAUUUGUGUGCUCAAGUUUAAAUGGUUUUCUCUCCUUUUUUGUUUCUCUCCCCUUUUUGACUUUAUCUUUGUUUCUCUCCCCCUUUGUCAUCAAUGACCACAAUGGUUCAAAGUUUUAGUGAGAAUUAAGUCAAUCAAUGUGAGGGUCAAAUUAUAGUUCAAUCUAGAUCACUUGCCUAAAACAUGUAAUUCGGUUUGAUCCAAGGACAAGCUUUUUCACACCUCAUGAAGUACAAGGGUUAUCUUGACCAUGUUGAAUUAAACAUCAUAAGCUCAUAUUCUAGAUUCAACACUAGGCUUGCAAGCUCACACACAUGUCAUAUGCUACCACUAGAUCAAACAACCAUAGAAACAAUAGUGGUACCAUACAUACAUCAAAUCCUUUUGAUUUUCAUGAAUGAGCCUAUUUUUCAUGCAAAUAUGUCUACAUGAGCUAAUCAUGUCCUUAGCAAAGUAUGAAUGCUAUGUCAACCAUCUUUACCUUGCUUUGUUGGAGGAGAGGCAUGUCAUAUAUAAAUGUAGGGGUGCACUCAUCUCAAGUUGGAGAAGUCAAGUAUGUUCAAUUCAUUUCUCAACUUGCAAAAUCUCUUCUCAUCAAGUGGCUUUGUGAAAAUGUCGGCUAGUUGAUCUUCGGUGCCAAUGCUUUCAAUGCUAAUAUCACCCUUUUGUUGAUGGUCCCUUAUGAAAUGGUGCCUUAUGUCAAUGUGCUUGGUUCCUGAAUGUUGAAACAGAUUUUGUGUCAUCUUGAUUGCACUUUCAAUGUCACAUAGCAAAGGCACAUUCUUGAAUUUGAUUCCAAAGUCAUUCAAAGUAGCUUUUGUCCAAAGCAAUUGUGCACAACAACUACCAGCCCUAAUGUAUUCAGCCUCGGUGGUUGAUAGUGCAACAUUAUUUUGUUUCUUUGAUGACCAAGAAACUAGAGACCUUCCUAGCAAUUGACAAGUGCCACUUGUGCUCAUUCUAUCAAUCUUGCAUCCACCGUAGUCGGAGUCCGAAUAACCAAUCAACUCAAAGUUAGACCCCUUGGGAUACCAUAAUCCAACAUCAUGAGUGCCCUUGAGAUACCUCAAUAUUCUUUUGGUUGCCUUCAAGUGACUUUCUUUAGGUGAAGCUUGGUAUCUUGCACAUUUGCACACACUAAACAUCACAUCGGGCCUUGAUGCAGUGACAUAGAGCAAACUUCUAAUCAUGGACCGAUAUAACUUUUGAUCUACCAUGUUGCCACUUGCAUCACUACCUACUUGAUCAUUUGUGCCCAUAGGUGUGCUCAUUGGUUUAGCUUCUUGCAACCCAAACUUAUUGAUCAUGUCCUUGAUGUACUUGCCUUGACUUACAAAAGUGCCAUUCUUCAUUUGCUUGAUUUGAAGACCAAGGAAGUAACUAAGCUCUCCUAUCAUGGACAUCUCAAACUCAUUUGCCAUCAUUCUUCCAAACUCUUCACAAAAGUCUUGAUUGGUUGAUCCAAAGAUGAUAUCAUCAACAUAGAUUUGCAUCGCAAACAAGUCAUUGCCAAGUUUCUUGGUGAAGAGGGUAGUGUCAACCUUUCCCAUUUUGAAUCCUUUAGAGAGAAGGAAAUCUCUCAAUCUCUCAUACCAUGCUCUAGGUGCUUGUUUUAAACCAUACAAUGCCUUCUUGAGCUUGUAAACAUGGUUGGGUUCCUUGUCAUCUUCAAAACCGGGAGGUUGUUCAACAUAAACCAACUCAUUGAUGUAUCCAUUGAGAAAUGCACUCUUCACAUCCAUUUGAUAGAGCUUGAUGUUGUGGGCACAAGCAUAGGCUAAUAAUAUUCUAAUUGCCUCCAAUCUUGCAACCAGUGCAUAUGUUUCUCCAAAGUCAAGACCUUCAACUUGAGUGUAGCCUUAUGCUACUAGUCUUGCUUUGUUUCUCACAACUACACCAUCUUGAUCUUGCUUGUUUCUAAAGACCCACUUGGUACCAAUCACAUUGUAGUUCUUUGGCCUGUCAACAAGCUCCCGCACUUGAUUUUUGUGAAGUUGUUCAAUUCUUCAUGCAUGGCAUUUACCCAAUCGGAAUCUUUCAAUGCAUCUUCUAUCUUCUUUGGUUCCUCAAAUGAGACAAAUGAGUAGUGCUCACAAAAAGAUGCUAGCCUUGAUCUUGUUUGUACACCACUUUGAAUACCACCAAUGACUUGAUCCAAUGGAUGAUCUCUUGCUAUGCUUGUAGGUUGGAGUAUUGGGAGUUGAUUGCUUCCACUAGCUUGAUUUUGAUCUUGAUCAUCAUCAUGAGAGCCACUAGUACUAGCUUGAUUUGAAUCAAUUUGCACUUCUUGAUUCAUCAUGUGAAUGUCACCAUUAUCAUCGUCUACUUGCCUCGGCCUUAUGUCACCUAUAUCCAUAUUCUUCAUUGCAUUUGCCAAUUGAUCUCCUCUCACAUCAUCAAGAUUUUGAACUUCAUUUUGAGAUCCCUCAGUUUCAUCAAACUCCACAUCAUGGACUUCUUCCAAUGUGCCAUUUGUCAAGUUCCAAACUCUAUAUGCUUUGCUUGUGGUGGAAUAACCAAGUAAGAACCCUUCAUCACAUUUCUUCUCAAAUUUGCUCAAUCUAGUGCCUUUCUUGAGAAUGUACCAUUUACAACCAAACACUCUAAAGUAUGCAAUGUUGGGAUUUCUUCCAUUCAAUAGCUCAUAUGGUGUCUUCCCAAGCUUCCCAUGGCAAUAGAGACGGUUGCUACAAUAGCAAGCAGUGUUGAUAGCUUCACUCCAAAAUGAAUGGCUAACAUUGUAUUCACUAAGCAUUGAUCUAGCCAUAUCAAUCAAGGUUCUAUUCUUCCUUUCAACUACACCAUUGGAUUGGGGAGUGUAUGUUGGAGAGAAUUGAUGUCCAAUGCCAAGAUCAUCACACAAUUCCACAAUUCUUGUGUUCUUGAAUUCACUACCAUUGUCACUUCUAAUCUUCUUGAUAGUGGUUUCAAACUCAUUUUGCACCCUCUUGACAAAAGACUUGAAUAGAUCACAAACAUCACUCUAGUCAUAGAGGAAGAACACCCAAGUGUAUCUAGUGUAGUCAUCUACUAUCACAAAUCCAUACUUUUUACCACCAAUGCUAGUAUAUGUUGUUGCCCCAAAUAAAUCCAUAUGCAAUAGCUCAAAUGCCUUUGAUGUGCUCAUUUCACUUUUCUUAGGAUGUGCAUUUCCAACUUGCUUUCCGGCUUGACAAGCACUACAUGGUUUAUCUUUCUCAAAUGUGACAUCCUUCAAGCCUCUAACUAAGUCAUGCCUCAAUAGUUUGUUCAAUUGUUUCAUUCCAACAUGACCAAGCCUUCUAUGCCACAACCAAACCAAACUUGAUUUGCUAAUUAGGCAAGAUGUCAAUUGAGUGUCACUAUCAUUGAAAUCAACCAAGUAUAAGCUACCAUGCCUAAAUCCUUUGAAUAUCAAAUUUGAUCCAUCAACACUAACCACCUCAACAUCAUCACUACCAAAAAUGCACUUGAAACCAAGGUCACAAAGUUGUGCAAUUGACAAGAGAUUGAAAUCAAGGCUCUCAACUAGCAACACAUUUGAUAUGCUCAUGUCAUUUGAGAUAUCAAUUUUACCAAGCCCCUUGACCUUGCCUUUCUUGUUGUUGCCGAAAGUGAUAGAAUCAAAGCCACCAUUUUGAUUUGUAUCAAUUGAUUUGAACAUACAAGACUCUUCGGUCAUAUGUUGAGUGCACCCACUAUCAAGCACCCAAUGCCUUCCUCCGGCUUUGUAAUUGACCUACAAGACGAGAUCAAUUCUUUUUAGGUACCCAAACUUGAUUGGGUCCUCCAAGGUUAGCAACUAAGCUCUUUGGUACCCAAAUGUCUUUCUUCUUUGAGCCCAUCCGUGGUGCACCAAUGAACUUAGCAGAAACACCUUUUGUAUCCUUGGUAAGCACAUAGAAAGAAUUAAGCUUAAUUGAGGAUACAUAAGCUUUGGGUUUCAUGUUCAUGCAUUGUUGCUCUUAGUGACCAACAUGCUUGCAAGCUUUGCAAUACCGGCCAUUGUUCUUCACAAAACUAUUUUUGUGAGGAGCAAAGGCGGCCUUGCCUUUCUUGGGGUUAUAGCCCAAUCCCUAUUUAUAGAGAGAAGCUCUUUGGCUACCCAAGCACAUAAGCAAGCGGUCCUCACCACCAUAAGCAUUGGUUAUGGUGUGAUUGAGCUCUUUCACCUCCUUGAGAAUUUCAUUCUCAACUUUUAGUGUGGUCUCACAUGUGAAACCAUCACCACUAGAUGAGGAUGAUGUAGAUGUGCUACAUGAAGGGUUAGUAGAAGCAAUAAUUUAGGCUUACUCAAGAUAUCACAUGUUAUGCCUAUGUUGCAAGUUUGAGCUCUUUCAAUUUUGAUUGGCUCAUUUUCACAUUUGUUAACUAGAGAGGAAUGAGCUUCUUCAAGCUUUUUCCUUGAAUUGCAAUGCUAGCAUGCGCCUUCUUCUUGGUGCUCUCAUCAUCACUUGAGGAGUCAUCACUAUCCCAAGUUGAAACAUGGGCAUCACCCUUCUUCUUAUUUGAGCCAUCCUACUUUUCUUGCUUCUUCUUUUGCUUCUUUCUUCCCUUCUUGAUAGCAUCUUCAUCAUCGCUAUCAUAAGGACACUUGGCGAUGAGAUGAUCCUUGCUAUGGCAUCUAAAGCACCUCAUGGAAUGGUCAUUCUUCUUGGAGGAGCUCUUCUUUCUUCUUGUCAGAUAGCCCUUCUUCUUCAUAAACUUGCCAAAUCUUUUGACAAGAAGAGCCAUCUCCUCAUCUUCAUCACUAUCACAAGAGCUUGCUUCUUCUUCACUUGAUGAUUCUAUCUUGGCUUUGCCCUUGGAUGAGGAGGCCUUGAAUGCCACACUUUUCUACUUCUCAUCAUCCUUCUUCUCACCAUCCUUCUUCUUCUUCUUGAUCAACUCAUCCUUCUCAUCAUCUUCUCUAUAAGAAUCAUCGGUCAUCACUUUUUGGAACACUUGUUGGGGAGUUGAUUCAAUAAGUAUUGUCUUGACUAGCACGGUGAUCAAAGUGUCAAAUCACUUGGGCAAGCUUCUCAAGAACUUCAUGGAGAAUUGACUAUCCUUCACUUCUUCCCCAAGUGCCUUGAGCUCAUUCACAUAACUUGCAACCGGUGAAACAUCUCCGGCACACUUUCAUCUUCUUGCAUCUUGAAGCUUGAGAACUUCUCUUGGAGGAUGUAUGCUUUGGCAGUCUUGGUUCCCUUGGUGCCUUCAAACAUUUCUUCUAGCUUUGCCCAUGCAUCAUGAGCAACCUCAAUGUUCUUGAUUUUCUCAAAGGUCUUGUCAUCAAGAGCUUCAUGAAGAGCACUUAUUGCAAUGUCAUUACAUUGAAGCUUCUUCUCUUCAACCGGUGUUGGUGCAUUCUCAUUUGCAACCUCAAACUUUGUUUUGGUCACCUUCUAAACCUCUCUAUUGAUUGACUUGAGAUGAGCGGUCAUCUUGACCUUCCAAUAUGCAUAAUUGGUGCCAUCAAAGAAAGGUGCCUUCUUGGUGUUGUUGAUAUGCAAACUUAGAGCCAUUUCUUCACAAGAGGUUGUUAAGCCUCAAAUAAACAGUGCCUCGGCUCCGAUACCACUUGAAAGGUCCAAAUGGCUAGAGGGGGGUGAAUAGACUAUUUAAAUUUUCUACAAACUUCAACUAGACAAGUUGAUAGUAAAACAAAAGGCGAAGCUAUUAUAGCACUAGCACAACUAAGCUAUGCAAGCCACCUACACAAGUCUAGCAAGAAAGCUAAACACUAGUUACAACAAGAAAGCACAACUAGAAGCUUGCUACACUCUUAAACAAGAUAGCUAAGCUAAACAAGCUACACAACUAGCAAGGUAUGCACAUAAGUAAAGGAGAGGGGAGUGAUUGUUAUACCAACGUUGUAGAGUAGAGAUAUAGCCAAUUAAUCAAUCACAAUUACAAGAGAAUCCUCGGCAAGAGAUGACACGAGCUUUUUUACUGAGGUUCACUUGCUUCCCGGCAAGCUAGUCCUCGUUGUGGCGAUACACCCACUUGAUGAGUCACGAGCUAAUUGGCAAUCCAAAGCCAAACCCUCAGUGGGUGCUGCACAUCCACUCACAAGAUGGGGAUCCUCCAAGCCAUGAGCAGUCCACUAGAGUAGCCAAUUGCGAUCUCCCGCGUGGAAGGCUCAAGAACCCCUCACAAAUCACUUGGUGAGGCUCGAAACAAUCUCCAAUCACGAGCUCAACACCACCGCUGCUCCAAGCCGUCUAGGGCGUCGCGAAACACCCAAGAGUAACAAGAAAUCAGCAGCAAACUCAAGAAUCAAGUGCCACUAAAUGCAACUCUCAAAGCAAUGCACUUGAAUCUCACUCAAUCUCAAUAGGAUUAGCAAUCAAGCAAGGAGAUGAGUGGAGGGAGUAUUCUCUAGCUCAAUGUAUGCCUCAAGUAUUCAAAUGUGCAAGAGUUAACCUCCCAAAGUCAGCCACCUUCUAUUUAUAAGCUCCCUCAAAGAACUAGCCGUUGGCCACUUUCACUACGCUGAAAACGGGGGCACCGGACGCUACCAAGUGAGCACUAGAUGCUCGACCCCCUGCGUCCGGUGCUCUAGGGUUGGCCACAUGUUCCCUAUUGAAUCUGGCACGUCAGUAUCUAACGGCUACCUGCGAACCACCAGACAUGGUCAAGUGAGCACCGAACGCGUCUGGUACUCACCGGACCCAUGCGCAGAGAGUUCUGCAAACCGCGACCUCACCGGACUCAGAGCACCGGAUGCGUCCGGUACUCACCGGACUUAUGUGCAGAGAGGGUUGCAAAACGCGCUCACACUAGAUGCACACCACCGGAUGCACCCAGAGUGUCCGGUGCUCUCAGUCAAACACCCUCUGCUCAAGUCAGGCCACACCGGACGCAUGAACAGCGAACACGCUGCGUCCGGUGCAGUGCGUCCGGUGCUCAACCCUAACAGGGCCAAGCACUGACAGCACACCGGACGCUCAGGCCAGCGUCCAGUGCCUCUGCACCCUGCGUCUGGUGAGUGUUUCUCAGUGAGAAAUACUCCCGCGACUUCUCCAAAUUUCCCACCGGCGCAAUAGAAAAUAUACACUUAAUUUUCUCAAAAGUGCCCCUACCCUAGGAACUCCACCUCCUUUGUAAAGUGUGCUAACACCAACAAGUGUCCACCACCAAAGUGCAUGUGUGUUAGCUUUUCACAAACAUUUUCAUCAAAGGAGUUAAGUUAGCACUUUACUAGAUCCUAAUGCAUAUGCUCAAGAUAUGGACCUAGUAGCACUUGAUUUGAGAGAUGACCGUGAUUUCCCCUCUCGAUAGUCAGCUAUCUAUCCUAAACCCGGUCAAUCACUUCUCUACUCAUCUUAGACCGGCAAAAGUAAAACCCUAUGUUUAUACCUUUGCCUUGAUAACUUUGCUCCUCGUCUAUCACCAUGAUCUUUACUUCAUGCUUCAUCCCUUUGUGAUCAUGUGGCCACCUUUCCAUGCCACCAUGCACCUUCAUCACAUGUGUUGCUAUGCCUAACUCAAAUCACUUAAACACAAGGCAUUAGCAACUUGGUGUCAUUAAUUACCAAAACCAAACUUGGGCUUUCAACUAUGCAUGUAGUAGGCUGGUAUGAAGCUCUACCUUAUGUGGUAUAGGUGCUGGAAAUGCUCAUUGCCCUCCAAACUUUGUUUUUGCACCAUAGCAGCCCACUUUGACUCAAAAUCUUCUGGCCUUACGUUGUGGUUCAAGCAAUCCAUGAACUCCUCAUUUAGCUCUUCAUUUUUAGCAAGGAUCGGUCCAACUGUGCUUGAAAACUUGUCCAUGAUAUGCCACCUGCAAUUCCUCUAGGUCAUGUUUGGAAACACAAUGCAAAUGGCAGCUCUUAUUACAGCGUCUUGAUCGAUGAUUAUGUUGAGGGGUGCUUUUUUUCCAUAGCCUCUAGAAAUGUUAGAAACAACCAUUCAUAGGUAGUUAUCUUCUCAUUUCUUUUAAAGGCACAUCCUAGCUGAAAAGUUUGGUAGUGUCUAUUGAUUCCUAUGAAUGGUGUACAGAGCAUCUCAUAUAUGUUGGUCAUAUAGGUUGCGUCAAAUGCAACACAGUCGUUGUAUGCCUCUCUGUAAGCACGCAUUGCGGCUGAAUCAACCCAAAACAGGUUCUCAACCCUCUGGUUCUCAUUGAGCUUGAUCUUGUAGAAGAAAUCAUGGUCUUCUUCUUUCAAAGCUCUAAAUUAAUUUGAAGUUUCCUACAUAUCUUUGAAUUUUUCUAUCAUGUGGAUGGUGGAGCAAAAGUUGGAAACUUGUUUGCCCUCACAUGGCACUAGCUGUGCACAGCCAUAUAACUCGUUCAUCAGCUGCAUGAUUCUACCCAUGCUCAAGUUGCAUCCAUGCAGCAAAACAAUGAAGUCAUUUUCCUUCUUUGUAUCCCUUUGUGGGACCUUAGGAACUUCUUGAGCGAGGACGGAACCACAGGAUCAUGGUUGUGCUCGGCCAAAAAAUAGAUGACUAGCCACCUAGAGCCAAUCAUUUUGACCACCAUCCUCGCCUUGCAGUUUGUAUAUACCAUUUUCUCCCUCUUCCUUUUCUUACAUCCAUCAAGCUUCUUCCUCCUCUCCUCUUGCUCAUCCUCUUAUUGUGCGGUAUCCUCCUCUUUGGCUUCAUCAUUGUCAAAGUAGCAAAUGAUAGCAUCAACAAGCUAAGCAGCAACUCUUCUUUUCUUGCCAAAGCCUUCCUUGUUGCAAACGAACUGGAUCUUCUACACUUCUCUUGUGAUUGCGGACCGGCGAGACAUGUUUGUUCUAAUCGAGAAGCCAGUUCUCUUUGCAUAAGAGAUCUAGUACUCCUUUGUUUCGUCCAAGGAUGCAAAAGACAUCCCGUUGUGUGGCAUUUGAGGAGUAGACCACACCUCUUCCUUCUCUUCUGCUACUUCAGCAACUAUAGGAUUAGUAGUAGAACCUUCAUUCCUGUCCUCUAUCCUUGCCUGUUCAAAUGACAAUCUGAUCUCGCAAAUGGUAGGAAGAACAUCUUUUGUAACUGCAGGAUCUGCCUCUCCUAAACCAGCAUGACCAUCUUUAGAAAUACUAGGCAAAAUCUGUUGGUUAACAUGCUCAUCAUUAGGUUGAGGAAUUUUAGGAAUGGCAGACACUUGAGUGCAAAAGGUAGGGUUGCUAGUCACAUAAUCCAAAUCAAGUGCAACCAACAAUGCAUGUAACAAAUCUUCAUCCAAAUCUAGUGGCAGCUUGUUAAGAUCCAUAUUUCAGAACUGCAUGCAAAACAGUAAGUAUAGGGGUGUGUUACUAUAUUAUGAUAGUAGGCAACUUAAUCAAACCUAUUAGACAAAAUAGGCCAGCAACUUAUGCAAUUUUGUUUCAGUACAUGCUAUCAACUUUGUAUUUUAUUCCAUAACCAGUUUUACAACUUAAUGAAUCUACUGUUCUCAUUUGAUUUAAACUUCUUAAAUUGUUGGUGUCAAGCCAUGUGCAGCAGAUAACACAAGAAAGUUUAAUGCAUAGGAGUAAACAUGUGCAGCAGCUAACACAAGAAGAUUUAAUGCAGCAAGAUGUAUAUCUAUAGGAGUGUUGCAUACAACAUAUAUCCAUGGUAACUAGUAGGAAUAAAAUCCGGUAGUAAGAUGUGUAGUAAGAACAUUAGUCAUUUACAUGUCCAAGUUAGAAUUAGAUUUGCUAAUGCAGUAGGAAUUGCAGUACUAUUUGUGAUGCAAGAAAACUCUUGCUUAUGCAAAACAACAGAAUUGCUUAUGCAAAAGUACUGAAUUGGUGAUGCAAAAGAACUAAAAGGCUUCUAGUAAUAGAUCUAGCUAGUUCUAUUUUUGUGAUAAUUGUGUAAUUCUACUAUACGAGAAGAAGCUAAUACUAUUAAGUUUCUGCAUAUCUGUACAUACAUGUUGUUUGGAUGUAUUAGAAUGUCUUGUUUGGAUGAAUCUAGCAGCCCCCAGAUGGUGACAGCGGUGUCCUGGACGCCUCUAUUUUCACUACCAGAAUCUGGAAUUACCUUGACGGCCAAAGAUUUCCUUGAGUGUCAAAAUCAAACCGUCAAGGAAAAUAUAAUUUUCUUGGCUGUGGACAGCAACCUCCAAGGAAACAUAUAUUUCUUGCAGGUUGAAGUAAACCGCCAAGGAAUAUGGGUGUUUCCUUGGCGGUUUCUAAUUACCUCCAAGGAAAUGAUUUAUUUCCUUGAGUGUAAUUGUAAAUUGUAACACCCUAGGUGUUAAGCAUGCACUUAGCCUUAUCAAAGCAAUGCAUAAGCAUUCUCAUCAAGCAUAGCAUCAUGAGCAUGUCAUUCAUCCCAAAAUAUGAUUUUAUGUGUUUUAUUCCAUGUGCUUUAAAUAUGCUAAAAAUAUGAUGCUUGCUUCUAAAAAUGUGAAAUAUUCAAACUAGGUUGAUUUAUGUGUAAGAAGAAUUAAGAAUAUUUUUGUGCAAUUUUUGGAGCCAUAGAAUUUGAGAAAUGGAAUUUAUACAAAAAUCCCCAAAAUGAAUUUAUUUGAAAACCUAGAACUAGUUUUAAUAUGUAAUUCAAAUUCUAUUUGGAAUUUGGUCUUGCUUAUUAAAACAAAGUUGUAGGGUUUUUGUUUUGGAACAACUUUGUUUUAGGAAGAAAGAGGUGAAAAUGAUUUUAAAUUGGUCCAAAUGAAUUUAGAAAAGAAAUUGAGGAAAGAAAUUCAAAAAAAAUGGAAAAAGGGGCAGGCGCUGCCGGGCCAACCCCGCCUCCCUUUCGGCCCAGACCGCGGCCCGGCCUGCCUCCCCCUCCCCCUCUCUCCCGCGCGCGGACGCCCGCCUCGUCCCAGCCAGCGACGGCCACGUGGCGGCCGUACGCCGGCGAUGGGCGCGCCGCGGCCGACCGGCUUCACCUGGUCGGGACGCCGGCCCGGGCUCCCAGGCCACUCCAUUCGCUCUGUCGCCCGCGCCUCUCUCCUUCCUCCCUCCGCUCGCGAGCGCAACCGAAGCCGUAGAGCUCCGCCGCAGCGCCAUCACCGGAGCAGCUCCGCUGCUCACCGCCGGCCACGCCAGUGCCCCAACCUCGACGCCAAAACCACCAGAGCACUCGCCGUCGUCGCGGUAAGCUCCUGCGAACGUUCUACCGAGGUGAGAGCCCGUCGAGCGCCGUGAAUCGCUCGCCGGAGUUGCUCCGAGCUCGCCGGAGUGCUCCGUCGCGACGGAUCUUGCUGUUUCCGCCCCCUUUUCGCUCGUUCUUUGGUGCGCUAGGUCAGUCGUGAGGAGAGGAAGCUCGUAGGGUGGUUUGUGCGCGCUCUACCGCACCGGAGUGGCAUGGCCACGGCGAGCAGCGCCGCCGUGCCGCCAUGCAUGCUCGUCGGAGGUGCUCCGGCCCUCCUCCGGCCAAUCCGAGGGUACCGCCGGGUGCGCCUCGCUGCGGGGAGCACGAUGGUGCUCACCCCGUGGACGGGGACCUCACAGCCGGUGAGAUCUGCUCGUCGGAGGUGCCCUCCCUCUCGGCCUCGCUGACCAGUGGGGUCAGAGGCCCACUGUCAGUCGCAGGGGGACCGUGUUGGGUGUAGAUCUGGGUGUCUUUAGCGUUUUUGAUCCCGAUUUCGAUUUGAUUUUCAGAAAAUGAUUUCCAGAAAUCGAUUUAAACCUUGUAAAAUCCAUAUCUUGAGUUCUACAGCUCCAAAUUUGAUGAAAUAAAUUUUGGUGUACUCUAUAUUUUCAGAUCUACAGUUUGAUGUAAUUGCAUGUCAUGUUUGAACACUUUUUAUGGACAGAAAUAAUUAAUCCAUGCUUUUGCAAAACUUGGGAAAUGCAUAGUAAUUAAAAUUUGGUUAGAAAUCGAUUCGAAUCGCCAUCGCUCCUGGAUAGUGAGCACUUGACAUGAGCUUCGUCCUCGUAGUAAGGACUAUGGAACACUUGGGUUAUAAUGAUAAAUGGUUUUAAGAAUGCUAUGAUGAGGUACCAUCAUAUUGCUACACUUGAUUGUAAUAGUGCAGGUGCAAACCUAGAUAAUAGGCUGUCAACUUGAGCAAAUUAAAAGAAGAAAGGUUUAUGUAAGGCAUGUUAAUAGCAUCUUGCAGUUAUGCAAAAAGGUUGUCAGCUACCCCACUAUAUAGCCUUCAUGAUCCUUGUUGAGUCUUUAUUUUGAGUUUAUGACGGGUAAGUCUAGCUGAGUACAUUCUCGUACUCAGGGUUCUACUCCCAUGUUGUUUUGCAGAUGGUCAAAUGUACUAUGGUUAUUGCAUCCUCUGUCUGUACCCAGCCAUGGGUGAUGACUAGACCAAGGGCGAUGGUCACUCCGUCUUCUCUUCUGCUUUUGUGGGAAUGACAGAAUUAUGGCACUGUAUCAGACUAAGUGUGUGUGUUGUAUUUUCGAAUUAUGAAGCUUCCGCUACUUGAAGAACUUGGUUUGUAAUAAUUUUUAAGAACUCCGAUGAAUUGUAUGAAUGUUUUCGAACUGGGAUGUAAUUGUGGAUGGUGACCGCUAAACUUAUUACGAUCUUGGCUGUUUGUAUGCUAUGUGGUUUGAAAUCCUUCGAGAUUUCACGGACUACCGGGAUUAUAUGGGUUUAAGCUUGAUGGUUUGACUAUGCAAAUGGUCACUGUUAGGCUUAAUCUCUUAUAAUUUGGUCGGUUCUCUUACAUAAAUAGUCAAGGAAACUGUUAUUUCCUUGGGUGUUAUUCUAAACCGUCAAGUAAAUUAUUAUUUCUUUGGGGGUUAUUGAAUUUCCUUGGAGGUUGGCUCCCAAUGAAAUGCUUAUAAGUAUUUAUGUGACUUCGUCUGAAAAAAAACAAUAAUAUCCUAAAGGUGUCUGGAAAACCUAAAAUUUGGCAUGAGAUCAUAAUAUGGUUGUACUCUCUUGGCAUAAAAAUUUCAAAUCAUUUUAACAAAGUUGGACUAUACAUAUUCACAAAUGGAUAAAUAUCUCACAUACUUACAUAACUAUGUGAAAGAUAUAUCCAUUUGUGAACACCAUAUGGUCUCACUUUGUCAAAAUGAUUUAUUCUAUGGGAAGCUUAUACACCCACAUUAUGACCCCAUAUCAAUUCUUAGAAUUUUUAGACCACUUUAUGAUAUUAUUUAGUUUUUCAUCAGAAUCACUAAAAUGGUAGUCUAAGUAAUGUUUAGCAAAACACUUAGUUUUUCAUCGAUAUUUAGGAUGUGAGCUCAAAUAGACAUGUCUUCUUACAUGUACAUUAUUUUCUAAUUUUUGGACAUUGUUAGAUAGGACGUGUAGUUCAAGUUGUAGUGAUUUUCCAAAAGCGCGCAAAAAUUCAUUUAAACUAUAGAAAAUAAUAAAUUAGUUCUCAAAUUUGUGAAACUUAUACAAAGAGAAAUAUAUGUAGUAUAUUUUAUUUAAAAGUAUUUUGGGUAUAUGAAUACAAUUGGAUUAGAGUGUUUACUUCACAAGUUUGUCUAGUAAUCAAAUAGUGCUUAAAUAAAACCUCGAUAAACAGGAAAUAAAACGUUAAGGCCCAAUGGCUUGGGCUUGGGCCACGCAUACACAGCAGGCCACAUGAACCUGCUAGCCUACUAAGGCACUGUUAGAUCUGAACCGUCCAAGGUCGACGCAUGAAGGUUGCGGCCUCGGUAGCCGAGGGCGUCGCACACGGAUGUCGCGGCCCCGAUGACUGGCACGCUGAGGUCAUGGUCCCGACGGCUGAUGGUGGUGCGUGGAGGUUGUGGUCCAAUGAGGAGGCAUCAUCGUCGUUGGUGGUGCGUGGAGGUUGUGGUCCAAUGAGGAGGCAUCAUCGUCGUUGCAGAUCUGUGUCCAUUGAGCUCUCAGCGCGGUGAAAACGUAAAGUCCUCUCUGUGUCUUCCUCUGAUCGUGUCCUGUUUCUUAGUUUCUUCAUUAGGAGUGGCAGCGUCAGCAGCAUAUAUGUGUUCUCUUAGUUUCUUCAUUAGGAGUGGCAGCAGCAGCAGCAUACAACGUUGAUUUUGUGCUCAAAUUUUAGAUAAGUGAUAGUAUGUUCAGAAAAAACUAGGUGCUGAACUGGUUGGGAUGCAAUGUGCUCUGACAUUUCUUUUAGGAUUUGAUCUUGCUCUUGCUCUGACAUAUUGUAGUUGUAGAUGAACACAAGUAUCCAAGUCUUAGAACCAAGAAUCCAGUCUAACUAGCAGAGUAUCCAAUAAUUAUCUUGAAUUGCUAUGUUCUUUAAUCAAUCCAUUUCAAGUUAUCUGUGUUUGUAUUUAUAUUUUUCAUACAGUAUACUUUCCAUUUGGUGUUUUAUUAUUGCUUAUGUCUUGCUUUUUCUCACAAGUAUUUAUCAUACUACAUUUUCCUUCUGCUGUUUCUUUUAUGUGGACAAAUUGCUGAAUGUGGCUAUCAGCGUCACCUUCAUCUUAGUUGGAAUGUAUUUUUUAUCAAACAAUACUGGCACUGGCAAGGCUCACCUGCAUACUGCUCCUGAAAGAAAUUAGGCUGUAGGCGUUUUUUAGAUAGAAUGGACUCUAAGCUGUGAAGCACCUGAUUACUGGAUGGUGAAAUUACUUCUUGUCUCUAUUUAUUGGCCCAAUAAUUGAUAUUUUUCCUAGAACAAAUGGUAUUGUUCAGCAAGCAUAUUUAGUGUGUUCUAAACUUUUGAUCCAGUUCUCAUAUCCAUCUUAUCAUGUGCCAUUUCAGGGGACUGCCUAUACAAGGGGAAAGUGAGGCUCGCAGGUUGCUGUGUGCAGCAUACACCGCUGUGAGUUUGUGCCACUGAUCUAUAUCCUUGCCAACUUGGGAGGCUAGAGAAGGGAGCUCAGCCAUUUCCUCAACAUAUGGUGUUUCAUGACAUUGGAGUUAGUAAUACUCCUACCAUUUUGGAAACUAUUAGUCACCUGUGUGUUAAUGUAAGGAUGAAUGUUCAAUGCACUUGUAAUAUUCUUAUGGAUAUAUUAAUGUCAAUAUAAUAGUUGUGCUCAAUAACAAAAUAUCUAUAUGCAUGUCAUCAUGUGUCAACUGAGUAUAUUGAUCGGAAUACUUGAAUAUAUUGAUUAUUGCAAUUAUUUUUUUGUUGCCAGUAUAGAUUUGCUUGGGGGCUGACCUUCAAGGAAAUCAUAAUUAACUUGGUGGUUAAUGAUAGUCAAGGAAAACUAUAAUUUCCUUGGAGGUGAAGUGCAGCCAAGGAACAUAAUUACCUUGACGGUCUAGAGUGUUUCCUCAGAGGUUGUCGACCCUCAAGAAAAUAAAUUUACUUGGCGGCUAUCAACCCUCAAGAAAACUUGUUUCCUUGACGGUUGUAAUAUUUCCUUGGCCAUUUAGCAAAUUAAGUCUGGUCGUAGUUUUCUUAGCAGCUAGCCUCCAAGAAAAUUAUCCUUGAGUGUCAAAACCGCCAAGGAAACUAAUUUUCCUUGACGGUUUGUGGUCAAGGAUCAUUUCCUUGACGGUUUAACCCCUUUUCAGCUUCUAUUCUUGAGUGCGUUUGCUUGACGGUUUGUGGUUAAGGAUCAUUUCCUUAACGGUUUAACCCCUUUUCUUGGCGAUUUUUAGCCGCCAAGGCAAUUCGGGAUUUAGGUAGUGUUUGUAUGUUGCAAAGGAAAAGCAAAACACGGGAGAGAGGAAGAAGCUUCCUAGCGGGGUGUGGGCAUGGGCCUGACCUCUCGUGGCCUCGUCUAGGCGGGGCAUGGGCGUGGACGUGCUUCGCACGCGCGCAACCAUGGUACUUUCCCGUUGAGCAGAAACGGAAAGGAAAGAAGUGGAUUUUCUAAUAUAUAUGGAGUCUGUGUGCAUCCUGCUUAAUGCAUGCACGGCCGUACAUUAGCCGCUUCCAGAAAUAUAUACUGAUGCCAACCUUGAACAUAAAGCCUUCCAUGCCAGGCGUGACCAUGUCUUCCUUCCAACUACCCCCCUCCUCGCUAUGAAACAAUAGCCAUCUGAUUCUUACAUUGACAAUGGAGGAAAAUUUUAGGGACUGAUGUUAAUUAAAUGCGAUCAGCAGAGUGUUAAUCAAAUGCAAUGUACACAGGUAAUCUAAAAAACUUAUGCUCUAAGAGAAAGUCCUUCUGGAUUGUGUGCCUCGAUGUCAACAUGUUUAAUCCCAGGCACAAGCUUUUGGAUCUCAGACUCCAGCCGAUCCACUUCAUAUCCCAGAGCUUCAACUACAUCCUCGCCUGUCGAAACAGUGUAGUUUCAGAUCAGGGUAGCAAAGCUUAGAUCCAUCUAUAGAGCGACAUGUAUUUCACAUACCGUAGUUAGCCAUGACCCUUAGUAAUUCCGUAUCAUCCUUGGACACUGCAGCUUCCCGGAACUGUAGAAUGAAAAUGAUAAGAAGUCAGGGAGUAAAAUGUGUUACCAUUCGCUACAGUAUGUUGUGAGAUAUUGGCAGUCUUUUCUCAGGGACGAGUUGGCUGAUGUGUUGGAACAGCUCGUAAUGUUCUUUGUGAAAGGUAUAGUGGAAGAAGGGUACAAGACCACAAGCUCAAAGUGCCAGACAACUGUAAUAAGAUGAAACUAGGACAUAAUCUGCUUCCUUGACAUUAUUCUUUUCCAGAUUAAACUAGCCAAGCAUCAAUAAAAUGUCAGCUAGAAUUUUAGCCACACAAUUGGAACAGACUAAUAAUAGGGCAAUAAAUCACCUAGUUUGAAGGCUGAAAAUUUUGCAAUUAUUUUACUACAUUACUGACAGAAGAAUACUGAAUAUCAAAAUGCACAUCAGUCAAUGACUGUAGAUAAAGUAUUUUCAAGGUAAGGCACCUGUUUUGCCCAAGUCCCACGUCCAGUCCUUUCCAAAUAAUUUUGUACCAGAACAACUCCAUUGAAAUCUGUAAGACGAUUUAGAUGACAAUAAAUAUCAGAAAUUUUUUAUGUAAAAAAAAUUAUUGCACUGGGAAAUGAAUUGUAACUAGGAUAUAAGAUGUCACUCGCUUGAUCUUCCUUGCGGCUGACAGGGCAGCCGAUUAGGGCUGACCAGCGGUGGUGGCGGCCUGGCAAUGGCAGCUGCGGCUGGCUGGGCUGGGGGCAGCGGCCUGGCUGGGAGCAGCUGCGGCUGGCUGGGCUGGGCGGCCUGGCUGGCAGCGGCUGAGGGGCGGCACGGCCAAGGGAGAGAAGGGGGCGACGGCGGCAGAAGGGAAGGGAAGGGAAGAGGCGCGGUGCACAAGGAGAGAGAGAGAGAGAGAGAGAGAGAAAAGGGUUGAACCCCAAACCUGCCUAACUUCUCAUUGUCUCCCUCAUAUAUAUAAGGGGGGUUACAAUUGCUAAUGGUAGCCCAUGAGUCUAUCCUCCUAUAGAGGCCUGAUCUAUACCAGCUGGACCUAUUGCCCCUCUCUACUUUAACUAGCUUAUCGUCGUCUUCCGGCAUAGGUCCUAUUGACCAUGACAUCUCUCCCUGCCUGAAGAAUCAGCUCAUCCUCAACUGAAAUUUGGGAUAGAGCUGUCUGAAGAGCUCAGCAUCUUCCCAAGAGGACUCUGCAGUCGGUUGGUUCUUCCAUUUGAUCAAGACCUGUAGUUGGCCCUGGUAUAGUCGUCAUUUCAGCAUGAGGUCGGGUUCUGGAACAGCAGCACCUUUGUGCAUUGUCGGCACCUGGCCGGGCUCACAAUGUUCGGGGCCUAUGUGGGGUAGGCAUUGUGGAUGCGGGCCGCCUCAUGUAGAUUCAAAUGGUAGGCAACCGAGCCAAUGCAUUCACUGAUCUGAAAGGGGCCGAAGUAUUUUGGAGCUAACUUGGCUUUCUGAAGGGUCGAGAUGCCCAAUGCCGCUCGAGCCAUUAGUUUAAGCCAUACCCAAUCACUAACUUGGAAUGAUCGGUCUGUGUGCUUGUCAUCAUAGUAUUUUUUGUAGUAAUUGCAGGAGACGUACUUUUGUUUGUUCUAGAAACUGAUCACGCUCUGUAAGCAGAUCAUCAUCGACUGAAGGUACUGCAGCAUCACCUGGACUAUAGGUUUUCAGCUGUGGGGGUCACGUCCAUAGACCAGUUUGAAUGAGUACCGAUGGACUUUUGGUAAGCGGUGUUGUAGCAAAACUCUGCCCAAGGGGGCCAUCUGAUCCAUUCUUUUGGUUUGUUUCAUGUAGGUACAUAGUGAUGACUUUGUUUACUAUUUCUGACUAGCCAUCUGACUGUGGGUGGUGGGCUGAUGUCAUCUAUAGUUUUACUGCAUAUAAUCAAAAUAGUUCUUGCCAGAAUCUUGACAAAGGAAUCGAUUCGAAUCGCUGUCUCUCCCGGAUAGUGAGAACUUGACAGAGUAGCGGCAAACGUAGCAUUCACUAAGUACAAUGGUUCUUGAUAAUGAUGUUGAGGAUAGCAAGGAAGAACAUAUGAUGAAACUUGAUAUGGUUAUUAUUGUUUGUAAUAAUCAAAUGAAGUACUUAGUCUAGGUGCUAAUCUAGUGGUAGGCAAAUGGUAGACAUAAUGAUGUUGAGGAUAGCAAGAAAGAUGAUUAAUAUGAUGCCUUUACAAAUGGUGUACCAUCCAAUAUAAGCUUUUGGCAAAUUGUCCAAGUCAAACCAGCUACACUUAUACUCAGCCUUGCAUGAUCCUUGGUGUCUUUUCUGUUUGGUUAGACGGGUAAGUCUAGCUGAGUACAUCCUCGUAUUCAGGGUUUAUUCCCAUCUGUUGCGGAUGAUGUCUUUUAUGAUGGCUUCUGCAAGACCUGUCUCCAUCCCGCUGGGGAUGAGGACUAAACCGUUGGGCACGGUUCUCUAACAACUUCGCACCCUGAUGCUUUUGGUGGAUGAGAUGAGACUCUGGCAGUAACAAGAACUGGUGAAAUGUGUGUGUAAACUAUUUUGCUUCCGCUACUUCAAAACUUGUGUUGUAAUAAGUACUCCGAUGUGGUGCCGCUUCGUCGACAAUGAAUGAACUAUGUAACAAUCAUUGUAUUGUGUUGAACUAUUACGAUCUUGGUAUAUUGCAAAGUUGGUUUGAAGUCCUUCGUGAUUUCAGUUGACUACCGAGAUUAUAUGGGCUCAAGUCUGGAAACUUGAUUGCUAGAUCGAUCAUUUCUGCACUUGAACUCUUAUAAUUUGGUCGGUUCUGUGACAGCUGGCAUACAGAGCCUCCAGUCAGCCGUUCAUGAGAAGAAUGGAGCCUAAGAAGUUUACCAACUGUUUCCACGUACUCUGAUAGUUGUAAGUGUUAUUAUAAAUAUGUUUUCCGCUAUAUAUAAUAUUGUUUCUAAUAUUUCUAUUCUUUUGUUGUAUGCGUGGACUUCCUGGGCACACAUAUGAUGACUCUGGUCUUGUUUUGAAAACCAGGGUGUGACAUCGUAUGCCUUCUAGGAUUCUUGAUAUGAAAUCUCCGGUUGAACUUUAUUGGGACAAUGGGAAUUCAAGGUACCCCCUAAGGUAUUUGGAUGUGUUUGCUUUGUUAGGGACCAUAGACCUUCGGUUCGCAAGUUAGACCCUCGAGCCGUAAAGUGUGUCUUCGUUGGAUAUUCCUCUAUACAAAAGGGCUACAAGUGUUGGGACCCUAUUGGAAAAAAAUUAUUUGUAUGGAUGUGACGUUUCGUGAGUUUGAACCAUACUAUACAAAACCAUGGGACCUUGAUCCGUUGUUCGAAGAAUUCUCUUCAGUCAUUGAGAGUGACAGAAGAGAGGGGGAGAAUGAAGGAACUACUCAAAAGGAGGUAAUUGUUGGUGCCAUUCCAUGUCCAAUGGAUGAGAAGGUGGUGGAUCAUGAUAGUGUUGAGUAUGAGAAGUGGCUGCCAUGAGAAUGGAGAGAUGAUUGACGACGAGAGUGAGGUGGUAGUUGUUGAAGGGAGUGAAGCUAUUGGGAUGACAGAGAAUAGAGAAACAGAGGAUAAUGUUGAGAAUAGAGAAACAGAGGAUAAUGUUGAGAAUCGAAGGAGACAGUUCAGGAGUCAGGGGGAGCAAAUAGUUGAGAAGGAGCCAAUAGUGUAUCGAAGGAGGUGAUUUAGGAGUCAGGAGGAGCAAGUUCGUGCACUACAGUCACAACAGCCUGUCUCAACAGUCCCAAAUCUCUCAUCGGCCUUCUCUCCAUUGAGCCCUUUGACCCAAUCAGGGCCAAGUGGUAAUGUCUCUCCUACCCCUGAGCAUGUAGUUACCUCUUGCACAACGUGGAGAUACUAGAUCUAAUUUUAGAAAACCUCCUGUUCGUUAUGGAUUUGAGCAUCCUAGUACAAAUCAUGACAUUGUCAACUUUCUCUCAUACUCUCGCCUUUCACCUGCAUAUAGAGCAUUUGUUGCAUCUUUACAAACAGUGCCUAUUCCAAGGGACUGGAAGUAUGCAAAACAUGAUCCUAACUGGAAUACAGCAAUGAGAGAAGAGAUGCAUGCUCUUCAGAAGAACAAGACUUGGGAACUGGUCCCACUUCCAAAAGGGAAAAAGGUUGUGGGCUGCAAGUGGGUCUUCACUGUGAAGCAAAAUCCAAAAGGAGAAGUGGACAGAUAUAAGACAAGGUUAGUUGCCAAAGGCUAUAGUCAAACAUAUGGCAUUGAUUAUGAUAAAACCUUUGCUCUCGUGGCAAAGAUGGGUACUGUUAGGGCUUUAAUCUCCUGUGCAGUAAACUUUGGUUGGCCUCUACAUCAGAUGGAUGUAAAGAAUGCAUUUCUUCAUGGUGACUUGCAAGAAGAAGUAUAUAUGGAAAUCCCACCGUGUUUUGCAAAUAGACAAACGGUUGGGAAGGUGUGUAGACUUAAAAAAUCACUCUAUGGAUUGAAGCAAUCACCUCGGGCGUGGUUUGACAGGUUUAGGAGAGCUUUUUGUGGUAUGGGCUACACUCAAUGUAAUGGUGAUCAUACGGUCUUCUAUAAGGAUAAAGGAACAUUUAUCACUAUUAUGGCAGUGUAUGUGGAUGAUAUUGUGAUUACAGGAGAUGAUGUGGAGGAAAUCAAAUAUUUAAAGAAGAAUCUAGGAAGGGCCUUCGAGGUAAAAGAUCUUGGACCGCUAAGGUAUUUUCUGGGGAUUGAGAUUGCCAAGUCACCAAAGGGGAUAGUUCUCUCUCAGAGAAAAUAUGUCCUUGAUCUGUUGACUGAAACUGGCAUGCUUGGAUGUCGGCCAUGUAGCACUCCGAUUGAUAAAAAUCAUCAAACUAGUGCCCAAUGUGGAGACUCUGUGAAUAAAGGAACAUAUCAAAGAUUGGUGGGUAGACUGAUAUACCUAUGUCAUACAGGGCCUGACAUUUCCUAUGCAGUGAGUGUUGUGAGCAGGUAUAUGCAUAAUCCAAGAACAGGACAUAUGGAAGUUGUUUACAGGAUUUUGAGAUAUCUAAAGGGAACCCCUGGGAGAGGAUUAUGGUUCAGGAGGAAUGGGCACCUAGAUUUGGAAGGCAAGUGUGAUGCAUAUUGGGCAAGUAGCAAAGAUGAUAGAAGAUCGACCUAUGAGUAUUGUAUAUUUGUGGGAGGCAAUCUUGUCUCAUGGAGAAGUAAGAAACAAGCAGUUGUGGCUCGGUCUACAGCAGAGGCCGAAUACAGAGCAAUGACAUUGAGUCUAUGUAAGAUGUUAUGGUUAAAAGGCUUACUAAAGGAACUGCGAGUGUUGAGAAAUGAGACCAUGAUGCUUCAUUGUGACAAUGUUGCUGCAAUCAAUAUUGCAAACAAUCCAGUUCAGUUUAACCGAACCAAACAUGUUGAGAUUGAUAGAUUCUUCAUCAAGGAAAAGUUACACAGUGGGGCCCUAAAGCUAGAGUAUGUAAAAUCACGUAGUCAACUAGCAGGUUGUCUUACAAAGGGUUUAGGACCUAGUGAAAACGAGUUGAGUUGUAGCAAGAUGGGCAUGUUAGAUAUCUUAAGCCGAUCAAGAUGGGCAUGUUAGAUAUCUAUAGCCCAUCGGCUGGUCGAACCUUGGUCAACUGGGUACGACCAGCCGACGUGAAAACAUUGUGAAUUAGAGCAAAAAAGAAAGAUGUCUGCAGCAUGUCUUCAAACUCAGCGCCUUCCAUAUUUAAACCAUCAAUGGAAGGUAUGACAACUCUUUAGAUAUAGACCAAAUCAACUUAAUUAAGUUAUAAAUCAAAAUUCACUUCAUGGGAAAAGGGGGAAAACAAGAUUAACCAUCUGAAAUGUUCAAUAACAAGGAUUAUCCAAAAAUUAUUCAAAUUGUCUGUCUCGGUUAACAGGACUUUGGAUGACAAUAUCGCUAGUGGCUAACUGGUACCAACUCCACACCAUCUACCAGCAGAUGAUCAAUACUGUUAAGGAUAUUAUGUCAUAGGUCACUGCAUACUGGGUAAUUCCACCCAUAACCAUGGAGCACAGUUUUGAAAAUCGACGAUUACAACUCACCUAGUCGCGACUAGUCGCUAGGCUAUGGCCUGGCGCCUGGACUAGGGGGGUAAUCGGCCCCCUAGGCGGGCGGAGCACCUAGGCGGAGCCAGGUGUCGACUCGGCGCGAUUCAGCGGCGCCCAGGAGCCCUAGGCAGCGAGGAAUCUAGCGAUUCAGGCGUGGCGGCGUGGAAUCGCGGGAAAUUUCGGCUGCGCGGGCGACCGCGCGCGUGGGAAAGAAUGCGCGCGUGGGAGGCAGGAAGGGGGAAACGAAGCUGCACGCCCGCUCGUUCUCGCCUCGACCUCCACCUCCCUACGACGACGCCCGCACGGAAGUAGCUCCCGCCGGCGACGCUCAUCCCCUCCUGCAGUGCGCCUCCGAGGUCCUCCUCCUCCCCGUUGAGCGCAUCCUCCUCCCCACCUCGACCACUUCCCUGCGACGCCACCCGCAGGGUAGCACCUCCUGCCGGCGAAGCUUGUCCCCACCUCGACCUCCACCUCCCUGCGACACCGCCCGCGGGGAAGGACUUCCCGCCGGCGACCGUCCUCGCCGCCUGCAGUGGCCCGCCGAGCACGUCCUCCUCCCCGCUCCGACCUCCACCUCCCUGCUACACCGCCCCGCCCGCAGGGAAGCAGCUCCCUCCGGCGAAGCUCAUCCCCGCCUGCUUCUCUCGUACUCCUCUGCUCCAAGGGCCAAGGACGAAUGUAUGUAUGUUCUCCCCUGCUCCUCUCCUCUGUUUCCUUUCCCUGCUUCUAUCCUCUGUCCCCUUUCCUGCUGAAUCUGAAAUUGCUCUGAAAUCUGAAGCUAUAAAUGUAUAUAUUAUAAAUUGGCAAAGCGCCUAGAAAAACGCCUAGCAUCGCGGUAGGCUAGCCUAGGCUGGACUAGUCGCUAGGCUAAGGGUCAUCGCCUAGAUUUCGCCUAGCGCCUAGCAAAACUUUGCCAUGGAGCAUGACUCAUUCUUUUCCUACUAUUCCAAUAGUACUACAUUCUGACAAGUACUAAACAAGUCUAGCUCAGAUUAAGUCUAAAAAGAGCCUCCAGGAUUAGAAAUAAUGUGCACAAAUUUUCAAUAGCACCUCUGCCCAGAACUGGCCAUGCUAUCACACAUACGAAUUGAAAGUGAUGAAAAUGAUGUAACUGUUUUAGAUAUAUGGUGAAUUGCCAGAAUAUAAAGACUAUACCAAUUUCAGCCUUGAAUCUAAAAAAACCUGGCCCAAUCACCUCACUUUUGCAAUCAUAAAGAGCAUCUACAACCUGCAAGAAGAUAUCAAUUAGCUUCAUGAAAAAGCUUCUAAGCAGUUCCAAAAAUAUAAUGCCGAAGCUCACCGGAUCAGACUUAAGAAAUUCAAGGACUCGCUGCAUGUCAUGAUCAUCAAUGGCCCGGCCAAUUAAAGCAUGCCUAUUCCUCUGAAUGAGAAAAAUAGCAACCUACAUGGAGAGCAAAUCUAUUGAACAGCUGCUUUCCAACAAGACAUGGACAGAAAAUAAUCAAAAUCAUCAGCAAACAUGCUGAGGUCCCAACAAUGUCAGAAUGAAUAGCAUACCAUCCCCAGUAAAUUGCCAACAAUGAGACAUCAAUUAUUCAUUUAUAAAACAGAACUAUGAGACAUGUGUAGGAAGUAUGAAGCACAAACAUACAAUGAAUAGCAUACCAUCCCCAGUAAAUUGCCAACAAUGAUUGAGCCAAUUGGAUCAUACAUAGCAUUUCCUGUCAUUUGAACAGCUACCAAAGAUGCUGCAGCAAUAGCAAGGCCUGUAACAGCAGCACCAUCCUGUAGACCAAUAUCCAAUGUGAAAAAAUGAGAAUGAAAUCAAUACAGAAAAGUACUAGGUGAUGAAAGGUGGUCAACCAUUAAUUGAAGUCAAUUAUGAAAACUAAUUUCCAUUAAAGUCAACCAUUACAAAUGGCAGAAAUGAAAAUGAGUAUAUGUUGUGAUUGAACUACAUAAAUAAAAAAUAAAAAAAAGGAGAAAAACUGUUAGGUGGUCAUAUUACUGACUUCAGUCAUAACAGCAACGGAAGUUGGAUCAUGACCACGCCAGAUAUAGUCCCAGAUACUCAUUCCCUCUGCUUCUGCACCUUUCCUAACAGCCUUUAUAGCAACAAGCAGUGAAGCACCUAACAGACAACAGGAUUUCUCAAGUAAAUUAUAGCUACAAUACACACCCCAAGAAAAAGUAAGGGGGUGACAGAGGUAGCAGCAAGCGAGCAACACCUUCAAUUAGGAAGGACCCACCAAUCACUAAUGCAGCCCAGUGAAUAUUCUCUGGAGGCUGUCAAACAAAGUAUGGAUAUGAGCAUUAUCAUACUUGGAUGGUGACUGAUGACGUUUGAUAAUAAAAUGAAAUUUUGUGCAUAAAGUUCUCAUGACUCAAAUGACACUUCGGUAACAUACUUGAGAAUUCCAUAAAUUUUGAACUCCAUGCACAAUGGUAGCACCUGAACCCAAGCAAAAUAUUCCAACUGCAGAUAUAAGAGACCAUACAAAUCUUUCCUUUGAAUAACCAUAGCUGCAAAAAAGAAAGCCAGGAUUAACAUCUGUCAAUUCAAAACAUAAGGCAUCAUUGCAGCUUAUGGUGUAUCAUAUUUAAUCCCAUCACUAGUUGUCUAAUGGCUAUUAUGUAAUUGCUGUGAUAAUUAAUAACAUGCUUUCCUAAUCAUGAAUCCAUCAUAUUUUACAUCAAAGGAAUGGAGUGGUUCUCAUUCAUGAAAAAGAGGGAAUAAAUUUACUUAACCAAAAACAGUACAGUAAAGAACUAAGAACGUUCCAAUUAUUUUCUGACAAAGCAUAUAUCCCAGAAGAAUUGAUUAUACAUACGGGUGUAGAGCAUCUGGAGCACGUCUUGAGCUGCUCAAACCAUAAGCAAGAAGAGCCUGAAAGUUGAUGAACAAUUAGUCCUAAGAUUCUUUGUUCUUGGACAUGGAACAGAGAGGAAACGUAUAUACAUUAACCGCCAUAGCAAAAAAAAAGAAAAAACGAAACGAACUUACCUGGUUAGCGAAGUCUGCAACGGAAUGCACUAGCUCAGCUAGCAUAACAUGACUUGAUGUUGAAAUCCACACUCCAAACUUUAGGGAGAAAACGAGGAAGUUGCACCAUAGUGCCGUGUUAACCGCUCGAUGGCUGAGGUCACAUUCCAUUAUCAAUUACAUUAAACAGAAUGUAUAUCAAAAAAUAACUUCAUGAGCAAUCCAAACAAGUAGCAAUGACAUUAUUCUGUUGAUAACAAAAUGCUGGAGACUGGAUUUGUUUUCUUCUUCCUGUUUUGUACAGAUAAAACUUAUAAAAUGAAUUCGGUAGGGGCUUCCCCUCCUGUUUGUUCAAAAAAAAACAAAACGCUGGAGCAACUAGUAUAGGUUAUCCUUUGUAAUUGCAUUUCUUUACCACAAUGACAAAAAAUAAAAGGUUAGUGUGCAAUGAGUAUUUAUCGUGCAGCAUCAUGAUUCAGACUCAUAGUUCAACCUGAAGCAAUUCGAAAUGGGCUUUUUUUCAUUCUCGUCAUCUCGUCCAAGAAAGGGGUAGGUCAAUGACCCUAUCCUCCAAAGGUACAUUCUCUCAUGCCACCCACCCCAAAAAUUAUCCAGAGCCUUGUUUAGUUGGCAAAAAUUUUGGAUUUUGGGUACUGUAACACUUUCGUUUGUAUUUGGUAACUAUUGUCCAAUCAUGGACUAACUAGGCUCAAAAGAUCCGUCUCGCAAAUUACAAGUAAACUGUGUAAUUAGUUUUUGUUUUCGUCUAUAUUUAAUAUUCCAUGCAUGUGCCGCAAGAUUCAAUUUAACGGGAAAUCUUGAAUCUUUUUGGGAACUAAACAAAGCCCAGAUACUCAUUUGGUAAGAGGAAUAACAUAUCCCCUACUGUGUACUGUCACAACAUCAAGGCAAGAGCAUUUGUGUUCCAUCACAGCACAGAAUCCACAGAUGUACAUAUACCAAAACUAUCUCACUCACAAAGUCACAAUUUAUCUGAUACAUAGGGUAGUGGGUACGAGGCACUCUGCUGAGCAUCUUUUUUAUUGCAAUGUUUCAUAUAUAAAUAGCCUAAUUAGAUUUUGCAUCAAAGCAAAGAAUAUCAAUAAUUCAUGACGAGAACAAACUUCAGAAAUCUGUUUCACUGGAUACGCAAUCUUCUGACUUCUGAGGUAAAUGUUAAGUGUAUGAAGGUCCAUCGUCAAAAUGUGACUUCUGAGAGAGAUCAAGGAAGGGGAAUUACCUGUGUUCAUCGUCAAAAUGUGCCUUCUUCUUGCCCUUGGCCACACGCAGAGAAUAACCUGCAUCAGAAAAGCAACAGCACCCAACAUAAGGCAAGAGCUAAACAAAUAAAAAAAAGCAGGCACAACGGGGGAUUGAAAGAAGGGGCCAGCCCUUCCUUACUGCGGGAGAUGGUGAGCCGGACGGGAGCCGCGUCGGCGACGGCGCCGGGGGGACGCGACGCCGCGGGAGGCAGAGCCCGCCUCCACCACCCGCCACGGAGGCUGAAGAGGCCCGCGGCAGCUGACGCGGAGAAGAGGAGAGGACGGGGCGAGAAAGCCGAGCCAGAUGGCGGGAGCGGGGGCAGCGGCGACGUGGGGCCCUCGCGGCCGUCGUCGUCGUCACGGCGGGAUAGGAGGAAUGGGCAGGGCGAGAGGAGACGAGUAGGGGAGGUGGAGGAGAGGCAGCGGAGGCGGAGGGCCGCGGAGGCGAGGGGACGACGCAUAUUUAGGCGUGCCGGCGUCGCCGGUGCUGCUUCCGCGGGUCGGGCGCAGCUCCCAUUCGUUGAAGGGUCUCCUGCGCUGCGAGGCUAGGACAGGUUCAGAGCAUCUCCAAGGACUUUGCAAAUGAAUUUUGCAUUUGGCGUUGUUUGUAAAGUCCCAAACUCAUUUGCAAAGUCUAAAAAUAGUCCAACUCCAAGUAACUUUGCAUUUAGACUUGGCAAACCCAAAGUGUGGACCCCACUCCCGAAUUUUUUUUCACCGAUCGCGUCCGCGCGUUUUUUCCCUUCGCGCCAUUUUGACGUAAGUCAUGCGUGCUAGUCGCCGCCCAGCCCAGAUCUUCUCGUUAGUCGCCGCCCAGCCCAGGCCGCGUUCGUCGUUCGUCGCCGUCGUCGUUCGCGUCAGUUCGGCUCCGUCCUCCUCCGAGGGAAGGCCCACCUCCGUUCCCGCGCCGUAGCCGCGUACGUCGUCGUUCGUGGAGAGCGGACGGUCGUAGAGAAAUCGCGCGGGGCGGGGGGGGACGGAGUUCGACGUGGAAGGCUGAAAUUGUAGAUGCAAAGUGGUGGGAAGGUUUGCAUAUAUGCAAAGCCUCAACCUCUAUUUGCAAAGUUAACCAAAUUGCAAACCUUAUUUUGUAAAACUAUUGGAGGGGUAUUUUCUACUCUUUUUUGCAAACAGGGCAAUGCAAAGUUUGUUUGCAAAGUCCUUGGAGAUGCUCUAAGGCCUCGUUCAGUUUGCAAAAAAAUUAGGACGAAAGCAAAAAAUUUUAGAUUUCGGACUUUUGGAAUUAAACGGGCCGGCGAAAUCUCGCAUGUGCAUUGUAGCCCAAAACAUUUCGGCCUGCUACCACCGUCGCCUCGGUAACCCCUCACUCGUGACCACCGCCCUUAUCCAUCCCCGUCAUCCCCAUCCACUCCAACCCUAGCCGCAGUCGGCAUACACCAUCCGCCACAGCCGCCCUUCCCAUCCACCUCCGCCGUCCGCCGCCUGCCACCCUCCCCCUCCCAAGUACCCGGUAGUGCAGAUCCGCCGCUCGCCGUGCCCCAGCCGGCCGAAUCCACUCGCCCAGCACUCUCUCAGCCAUUGUCGGCCACCACGGAGACGACUUCGACGCCGGCAACACCAAUGACGAGCGGGAGACCGUGUUCCCCACGGCCGAUGCGGACUGGUUCCAAGGCGGUGGUGGCUGCCAUUUCUCCAAAGGAGCGAGGUCUAGCCACGUCACCAACCCCCGCCUAGGGUUGGACAGCUUGAACAUCAACGGUGGCGAGGUAUGGUCUGGCGACCCUUCGUACCCCAGCAACUAUCCCAGUGAGUACAACGUGGCCGCAGGUUUUCCCCCUUCGAUUCGAGUCCCCGAACGCAGACCUCCUCCAAGCAUCGGCGGUGGCCCUCCCUCUCCAUUCUCCCCGCCGUGGUCGUCUCCUCAUCCGGCCAGAUCCGGGCCGGCCAGCCAACCUACGUAUGGUGACAUAGGACGAGCCUUCAGCCCGCCACGGCCGCCUCGUCAUCCGUCCUGGUUAACCCCGCCACGUCCUGCAUCAACAAGCCCGCCGUACCGCCGAGGUACUGCCCGCACCCAGCGAGGCGGUCGGCCCCAUCAAGCCACGACCGACGGCGACGUUCUACUGGUAUACCUUCGUCCUAGUACCUUUUUUGUAACAAAUUCAUACUACUUGUGCUUCCAAUUGAUGUCGUAGCCAUUCAAAUAAGUUAUGCAAUGUAAACGUAUCCCUUUCUUAUUAACACUGAUUUAGGCUACAAAAAGCAAGGCAAAUUGGUCCAGUGGAAAAACCAAAAUUUUCUGUGAGCUUUGGUGUCAGCAAAUUGGGAUCCGCAACUGUGUCAGGGGGGUCAUGAAUAAAACGGGGUGGAAGGACCUCCUCCAGAGACUAGAUUUCUUCUUGCCACUGGGUUGCUCCAUGACAGGGACUAGAUUUCUAGUAAGCUUAGGCAGCUGAAGACCCAGUGGAAGUUUUGUAACACACUGCGGUCCGGCUCUGGCUUAGGUCGUUUGGAAGACGGUGUUGUCAUUGCUAUGGGAAAAACAUACAAAGGUCAGUGCGUUCAUUCCUACAAAGUUGUUGUCAGCAAUAUCCUUCAUACAACACUUCAACAGUACUACAUUCAUAUUGCAGGGCCACUCUGAUUUUAAGAAGUUCAAGAAAGGUUUACCUUCGUACUUGGAUGAGAUGGACAUGAUGUUCACUGGGAACACCGCAGACAGGAUGUCGGCUUUUGUUCCGGCCAACAGUUCCCUAUCGACCUCACUGAAAGCUGCAACGAUGACGAGAGGGCAGAUGACCCUUAGUGCCAGGUGACACCACCAAGCAAUGGGACCAAGAGAACUAGCAUCAACAACACCACAGCAUGUAGCCCAAGCAAGAAGACUAAGAGUGUUGCAGUGCAGACCAUGGACAACCAAUUGCAGACCCACAAUGACAUCUUUCAUGAAAAGGUUUCCAUCAUAAAUUCCAUGGUCGAGUACAAGAAGGACAAGGAUGACAUCGUGUAAGCAGUUACGAAGAUAGCAAUGGAGAUGGGUGCCAGUGCCCAAACCAAAAUAUUGUUUGCUGGGCUGCACAACGUCAUCCAAAACGAGAACGAAAUGAAGUUCUUCCUCUUACUUGGCCAUGACGAAAGAAUUCUACUAAUGGAGCGUGCAGCCGGGGUGGACAACUAGACCUCGUUUUUUCAUUUGUGUUAUCUUCUGAAGUCGAACUAUGUUUCAUUAGUCACGAAAUAAGUUUGUAUGAACUAAGUGUGUGGUGUGUAAUUUUCGAGUCUGAACUGUGUUUGUGAUGUUUGAUAUUCAAACUAUUUGUUUCCAGUUCACUUUGUGAUGUGAGUUAUUUGAACUGGCAUGUGUCAGUGGAGUUAGUGUUGCAUGGCAUUGACAUAAACUGUGAAUGACGAUUUAAACCAGUGCUUAUUUCUGUACAUAGGCAAAUCUCAUUUCACCUGCUGCCAAGAAAUGGGUGGACAAAGGCGAUGACUAUUGGCGACGCUUAUUAUAUAAAAAUAAAUAUCUUUUUAUAAAUAAAAAUAAAUAGAAAAUAGGGCUUUGAUCUAAUCUUUCACGAGUUUUGGUAUAUAUGCUAUUUUCAGGUAUGACACGUGGAAAAGUGCAAAAGAUACAAGAAAUGCGCAAUGCAAGAAUUCAUAUUUAGAAAAGAUGCAAACCAACUCCAAUAGAGAAAAGUCCACAAAAGAUGAACUGACACAUGGUAAAAUGCUUGGGCAAGCAACAUGAAUCCAAGAAAAUUUUAUUGAAAAUCUUUGUAAAAAGGGUUGUCAUCAAUUACCAAAAAGAGAGAGAUUGAAAGCCCUAGUUUGGUUUUGGAUAAUUGAUGAAACCCUAGUACUAACCUCUAUACUAAGUGUGUGUAGACUUAAUGAGGUUGGUACAUGCCAAGUGAUGGAGCAAGUGAUGAUCAUGGUGAUGAUGGUGAUGACCACAAGAUGAUCAAGUGCUCAACUUGGAAAAGAAGAAAGAGAAAAACAAAACCCUAUGGAGAUCAAGGCAAAGGUAUUGCUUAGGGUUUUGGCUUGGGUGAUCAAGACACCAUAGAGGGUGUGAUCACAUUUAGGAUAGAUAGCCAUACUAUAAAGAGGGGAAUUCUUUGGCUAAGCGGUUAUCAAGUGCCACUAGGUGUCUUUGUUCAUGUGCAGGCAUUUAGAACCUAGUGAGCUAACUUAACUCCUUCGAAGAAAAUGUUUGUGAAAAUGCUAACACACGUGCACUUGUUGGUACACACUUUGUGGUGUUGGCACACUUUGAGAAGGGAGUUGAAGUUUGAAGGGUAGAGAGAGGAUGGGUUCCUCUCUCCCUCCCGCCGAGCUUGCGAGGCGGGAUUCGGCGCUUUUCGAGAAAAUAAAGUGCAUAUUUUCUAUUGCGCCGGUGGGAGUUUUGGAGAAGUCGCGGGAGUGUUUCUCACACCGGACGCUCUGCGCGGAGGCACCGAACGUUGGCCUUUAGCGUCCGGUGUGCUGUCGGGUGCAGCAGAGUGCACCGGACGCACCGGAGAGAGUCCGGUGCUCAGCGUCCGGUGUGCAGGCGGUUUGGCGACCCUCUCUGCGCAUGAGUCCGGUGAGCACCGGACGCUUAGUGUGCGUCCGGUGACCCUGCAAGUUUGCGGAGCUCUCUGCGCACGGGUCCGGUGUGCACCGGACGCGUCCGGUGGAAACUUGCUCAGCGUCCGGUGCUCUGUAGGUUACCAUUAGAUUCUGACACGCGGCUGACGUUGGAGCACCGGACGCAGGUGUUGAGCAUCCGGUGCCCCUUUAAGAGCGUCCGGUGACCCCGAGUUAGACCCAGUAAGAGAGCCAACGACUCUAUUUGUUUGAGGGGUCUAUAAAUAGUUGUUGGCCGGCUUAGGGCUUACUCUCUUGGCAUUCUAACAUACUUGACAUCCUUGUGAGCCUAAGCAAACACCUCCCACUCAUCUCCUUCAUAGAUUAUACAUCUUUGUGAGAUUGGGAGUGAUUCCAAGUGCAUUUGCUUGAGUGAUUGCAUCUAGUGGCACUUGGGGAUCGUUCUAGCUGCGGUUUUCUUGUUACUCUUGGUGGUUGCCGCCACCUAGACGGCUUGGAGCAGCGGAGGAGGAUUGGCACGAGUUGGUGAUUGUUCGUGGCCAUCUCCCGGUGAUUGUGAGGGGUCUUGUACCUUCCCCGGCGGAGAGCCGAAAGGUAACUCUAGUAAAUUGCUCGUGUCAUUGAGCUACCUCACUUGUGGGUAGGUUUUUGUGGUGUCCUAGUGACGACGAGGUUCAUGCUACACCUCUUAGCCACCGAACCACCAAGUGUUGGUCGACACAACGGGGACGUAGCGUGCCGGCAAGCACGUGAACCUCGGGAGAAAAAUUGGUGUCUCAUUUGUGUUUGAUUGGCAUUCUCCCGGUACUUGAUUGUUUAUAUUGGUGAUUGGUUCAUCCCCUACACGGCGGUAUAAAUUUCUCCUCCUAUCUUUACUUACCGCAAACUAGUGUAAUUAGUUAAGUUGCUUAGUUUACCUUGUGUAGCAUAGUUCACUAGUGUAACUUGUAGAGACUUAGCUUUUGUGUGCAUAGUGAUUGUAGCAACUAGAAUUGUUGGGUAGGUGGCUUGCAAACACCCCUUUAGAGCUAGAGCAAAAAGCUUCGCUUUGUUAUUUACUAACUAUUUGCUCUAGUGAGUUUGUAGAAUUUUUAAAUAGGCUAUUCACCCCCCCUCUAGCCAUAUUAGCACCUUUCACCAUGUUCAAUAGAGUUUUGAAUUCCCUAGUGAUGCUAGCAGCAGACAUUAUUAAGCUUGUGGACCCACAAUUCACAAGAUUCAUCCUAGACUUGAGCAACCUAGGUUUUAUCCCUACUUCAAGGACUGCAUAGGUGCUAUAGAUGGCACCCAUGUUCCUUGCAUGGUGCCUCAAGAAAAGUUUGUGCAGCACCUGUGCCGAAAGGGGAUGACCACACAAAAUGUCAUGGCUGCGUGUGACUUUGACAUGUGGUUCACUUUUGUUAUUUCUGGAUGGCCUGGGUCUGCACAUGACAUGACAGUGUUCAAGGAUGCAAUAUCAAGGUUCAGGGAUCUAUUUCCACACCCUCCUACAGGUAUGUAGAUAUAGUGUUGUUGAUGGUUUUGUUGUUGGUUCUCUAGUAGAGGCUAAUCUAAGAUUCAUUUGUCUAGAGAAGUAUUAUCUGGUGGACUCCGGCUAUGCUAACCGGCUGGGGUAUCUAGCUCCGUACAAGGGGACAAAGUAUCAUCUGCAGGAGUACUAAGAGGGACCUCAGCCUAAAGGUAAAGAGGAAACCUUCAAUUAUGCACAUUGGAGCCUUAGGAAUGUCAUAGAAAGGGCUUUUAGAGUGCUAAAAAUGAAGUGGCGGAUGUUACGAGAAAUCCCUAGUUACUCAAGUGACAAACAAAGCUGAAUCAUAGUAGCAUGUUGUGCUUUACAUAAUUUCAUAAGGACAAGUGGCAUACAGGAUAGACACUUUGCUAGGUGUGACCGUGAUAAGAACUUUGUGCCAGAAGAAGCAUAUGAGGAUCAGCCAGAAGGGGAGGUAGUGGAAGAUGACUCGCAGCUCAUGAAUGCAUUUCGUGAGUCCAUUGCGUAUGCUUUGGUUCAUCAUUCUUGAAAUUUUCUUGUGUUAAAGAAUUGGUGUUCUAUUGUAACAGUUUUAUUUGAUGUGUGUGUAUUUGAGAACAUUUUUGGCGACGAUUAAAGGUGAUUCAUUGUUGUAAACAUUAGAAGAUAUGGCACUGUGUAGAGUAUGUGCUAAAUUGGUGUUUAUAUUGUAACUGUUUUGUGUCAUGUAUGUGUAUGCAGCUGCUAUAGUUUUGGUGUUUGUUGAUUGUAUGUAGUUUCCUAUGAGGUAUGCGCAUGUGCAUGGAGGUGUUUGCAUGGGAAGCAUUGAAUGCUAACCCAAAAUUUAUUAGCAACUGCACAGCACAAUGCAAAAAUUUUAGGAUGGCAGGUUUUGACCCUAAAACCUAACAUGGCAGCUUUUUGGGCAAACCCAAAUUUUUUUGCAAACUAAACAAGGCCUAAUAAAAAUAGUCAACAGUGUAAAAUUUCUUCACGCGACAACAAAUUUUGUGUUGUCGUCCUGCCAUCCUCGUGUGAUCCCUGCGCUAACAUGUGGGCCUGCGUAGACGUGCUCGCAACACCCCUCACCUCCCCCAUCCCGCGUCCUCUAUUAGGGUUUGGCUGCCACCAUGGAACUGUUGGAAAUAAAAACAAUUUAGUAAUGCAUAGAUUAAUUUCGACAACAAGAGAAAGACUAACAAUAUGUAUCACAAAUAUAUGAAUCAAAACUAACACUACGAUCUAAGACAAAUUCACUGGAUCUAGUGCUAGCAACAGAAAUGAUAUGAGACCGAACAACAAAGAAAAGAUAGACAUUCUUACAAUGGGAUUGUCGGCAUGACGGAAGAAGAAGACUGUUGACGGAGAUCAGCGAACACCGGGCGUAGAGGGAAGAAGACGUCCAACGAGCAGUCGCGACGGCGCUCCCAAAAACCUGAUACGCCCCUACCCGAGCAGGGACGUGAGGAUACGAAGGCUUCAGAGCCUGCUCUCCCAACACCGAUGGCACGUCGGCGACGGGAUGGGGAAGACAACAGUAGCGCAGUAAUGUGGUGAGGAAGAGAUGAAUCUCUCGGUACUAAGGACGAUGUCUCGCCCCAUAUUUAUACAUGCAUCGCACGCAGCUAAGGAAAGUAAUUAGCCGCUCAAUCAAUCACAGUAUUAUGGAAAUUACCUGUUCUUUACACACUUGCCAUAAUACGAGAAUAAUUGCUUACCAAAUAGGCCAGUGUAAUUUCCUUCAUGCAUGCAAAAAUUUUUAAGUAGCAAAAGAAAGCCGCGCACUGUUGGUGCAAAAGUGGAUCUGCAAACACAAAGGGCUAAUACCCGAUUCAAACGUUAAGGCAUGCCAGCCGAUUUGACCUUACUAUCGGCAAAGGUGAUAACUUGAACACUUUGGUCCCGACAAUAGCGAUGCGCCCGGAUGCCACGGCCAAGAGGUAUUCACGCGGAACUCGAGAAUACGCCGAGCUUAAGUCAACGAACUCUUAAGAACUCGUAAUAAAAAGGAAAAUAUGACGAAGUCGUCGAAAAAGUAGAUGCUGGAAUAUGAGUAAAAACUUGUGUUUGAUUGAUUGAUAGAUAUCUCAUUACAAGGCCCUAGGGUCUACAUUUAUACCCUGCUCAAAGAGCUACAAUCAGACACGACUAGGACUCGAAUUCCAAUUUAAACAAAAUCCGUAUACAAAAUGAUUUUAAAUAACUAAGGAAAACAUAGAACCACCCCCUCAUAACCGACUGGGACACCGCCACAGAUCAAUUGGCAACCUCCACGCUUCCCUUUAGAGUCAUCGGCAGUCUUCCUGUUAUGGCCAUCGGCAAACACCAAUAUUGAUCAUCGGCAAGAACACGUCACCACCUCUGGACUUAGUCAUAUUCAAUCGUCUCUUCAUCGGCAACUAUCCUCAUCGGCAACUCUUCUGCAGGCUAGUUACCGUUGCUCCACCUGCCGAUCUAUACUCUACUGGUCUCUGGGUACGUGUCCAAAAACGGUGUCAACACAUACCCCCCAAUUUCGGAGUAUGAAAUCAUUAAUGCUCUGAAAUUCUCUGCAGUAAUGAUGCCUUUCCGCAAUUAAUUCUCCCAAUUUGGUAACCAACCGUUUAAAUCUGAACAACCUUGGCCCCUGCAGGUUCCUCGAAUUCCUCAACCUUCCGAACCGGAUCUCUCCACUUUAUGCGCCCAUCGGCAAUAUUACCGUUAGAGGGAACUGCCGAUGGACCGACCAAGAAAUCCCGCACAGUAAAAUAUCUCCAGAUCAUGACCGCUUCCUGUCAAAUCACCUGCGCAAUCCCUUGAUUACCGUGCGAACAGUUACCAUAUCCACCUAAGUAUCCUCGGAUUUCACGGAUACGGCGGAGAGAUAAGUCAAAUUUGCCCUUGCCCGUUUUGUCCUAUAAAUACUUCAUUCUCGGGUACUCCUUCUCCAUCGCAUCAUUCUAUAGCCCCAACUCUGCUUUCCUGGCGGCGGCACUGUUCAAGAGCUCCAAGAACUCCAACAAGAACUUCCUCCAACAACUCCCAAGUUUUCGAUCUUCUCCCCUGCGAGGAGAUGGCCAUCAACUUCGUCGUUCCUGAGGUCAGCGUACUGCCCUUUUUCCUGUACUUUUACUGUACCCCUAUUCAUCCGCAAUCUGUCUUACCGAAUCCUUUUUCUUUUUGUUCUUCUUUUCGCUCCCAAAAAUUUCUAGGAUUUGGCCGAUAAGAUCGUUAUUCCUACCGAUCAACCCCAUCUUCAAUGCCUUGGUCCACUAGGAAACUUGGAUCCCACCGAUCUUAUAAAUGCGGAGACAAACAGAAUCCCUUUUAGAGCCGAGAAUUUUUCUUUAGAUCUAUGGAAGGAUGCUUUCCGUUCCUGGCCCAGUCCUACCAAGGGAUGGAAGGAUUGGUUCCUGAGAGUCAGUAACUCAAAUGAGGUCCAAUGGGGUGAACGGAAACAUGAUCAGUGCAUUAGAUUGUCUCUUGCCAAUAUGGAGAGAAAUGAGUCACUACUGAUAGCUGCCUCAUACUUUUGGUCAGACACACUCAAUGCUUUUGUGUUUGGCCAUGGCCCUGCUUCUCCUACACUUGCCGAUGUGCUUAUGCUCAUCGGCUUAGAUGUAUCCAGUGCCGAUACCACCCAUCUGUUUGAUACCAAACCCAGUGCUAAGGUGGAAACUCGUUCUAUCGGCGGUUGGUCAGGGUACAUCCAGAAGUACCGAAGAACAGGCCCUGUCAAUGUAAAGGAACAUACCACCUUUCUGAACAUGUGGCUGGAUAAAUUCGUAUUCUGUGGCCGAUCGGCAGGACCAACUUCGGUUUACUUAUCGGCAGCAGAAAGAUUAGCCAAUGGCGGCCGAUUUCCUCUUGGCCGAUACUUGCUUGGUUCGGCCUAUCACCUCCUCCACCAGGUAGCCCAGAAACCACUGCUUGGUCAACCCAUCGGCAACUUAGGGGUCCCUGGUGGUUCAUCAAUAUGUGGCUUAGUCUUCACAUGCACAAGCGCCUUGAGUUCGACCUCUUUGCACAACGCUUCCCUAGGGAUAUAGCCGAGGAUUAUGAACUGGAUGAAGAAGAAUCGGCAACUCGUUCCCCUCUGAACUUUGGCGAAGCCGUCAUAGUUUUGCCUGGCACAGGUGGCAACGCAGACCAGGUUAGCCGAUUCUUCCAAACUCUGUAUGAGGGUUUGACCAGGGAACAGCGGGCAUGGAUGCCCUAUGAAGACCCAGACACCAGAUUCCCUCUGACUUUCCACCCCUUCAAUGAUGCUCUCAACAAGGAUCGUGAGGUGAUGAUGGCAAUUAUCACUCCUAGAGCUAUACCGGUGAACUUCUUUGGCAGUGGGAAAGCUUCUAAUCUGACUUAUGAGUUCUACAAUCCAUCGGCACUAGCUCAUCAACUGGCUUUCGGCCAACUGCCGAUUGCACUUUGCUACGCCGAUGUGAUAAAGCCGAGGGAGAUUAUCACCAGCCAUCUGGAAUGGAUCAGGGUAGCCCAACUUCCACCAAACGCCGAUACAGAUGUAGAUCUAUCGGCUUGGAUCCCAGCUCUCUUCAUCACUCAGGCAUACAAACAGUGGUGGGAAGAAUGGAAAGAGCACCUGUUCUGCAGAUCGGCUCUUACAUACCGUGGCAUGAUCGACCCUCAAUACAAAGUCCCCGACAACACUGUAAGUACUUCUAAACCAAUGUUUCAAUCCUUUCACUCUUACUUCCAUCGGUAACUCACUUUCUGUGUUGUAUUACAGGUUGAUAAUACGCCACCACUAGUCAGCAGGAGUGGCAGGCCGAUUGAACUCCUUCCAUCGGACCCAAUUUCUUUGAUCGGCAACAACGCUCCAACCCUGGCUGCUAUAAUGCAUCGGGGUGUACGCCUCAAGAAAGUCACUACCAAACGAACGAGAACAUCCCCAUCAGUGGCUGCCACUGCCCUCGCACAAGCCUUCAAGGAAAAUUCUCGAGUCCUUCAACUUAUACCGAUUCCAUUCUUAUACUUAUUACACUUGUACUCAUAAUUUUCUCACUGUUGUAUCAGCACACCGGUACAUCGGCAAAGACCAGAAGUACGACUGCCGAUGCCCCCCAGUCCAGUCAACCGAAGAGAAAAGGUUCCAAGAGUACCAGAUUACAAGCAAAGCGCCAGAGAACAGCAACGCCUUCUCCUCCCCCAGUAUCUCCGAUUCCAGUAGAAUCAUCCCCUUCUCCUCUAGAAGCCCAGAUACAAACAGCACCGUCUCCUCUUCAACCACAAGAAGAAACCCAAACAGAAGAACCCCAGCCAAAAGAACCUCAGCCAGAAGAACCUCAGCCAGAAGAAACGUCGGCUGAUGUACGCGAGCAAACUGCCGAUCCAGCAAGCCUAAUCAUAGCAUCGGUAGUUUCCUCGAUUCAGACCAGUACUGCACCUCCUCAAGGUAACAUACUUUUUAGUUAUUGCCGAUGAACUUACUUUUUCCAAUUUGUAAUUACCUCUGUUAAUCUUUCAGCUGACGUAGUCUCAUCGGCAAUCCCAGCCGAUCAACCUGUGGUUCCAUCGGCUUCAACUAGUCAGAGGCGAGAGAUAGCUCUGAAGCAAGUAAGUUACCCGAUCCUUAUUUUUAUUGUUAUCAGUACUUGACCAUAAAAAUAACUUAUUCUGUCUUCUUUUCUAGGAACAAGAUUCUCCCGACAGCCUGUUCUCCUUCGCCAUCGAGAUCUCUGAGGAUGAAGGAGAGGAAGCAAGUUCUUCUCGAGCAGUUGGAAUCUCAUCGGCAGAGAUUAGAGAAAAGCUGGCAGAUCUGUCAGCCCUUCUCCAUCAAGAUACAGCACAAUUGGUCGAUGACUCUUAUUCAGUCAAAGUUCUAGAGAGUCGUCAGCUGCAGUAUCAAAAGGCUGCCCAGCGUCUUGCCGAUAGAGCUGCUCACGCCCAGCUUUCAGAGGAGAUGAUGAAAGUGAAGCUCCUUGCCGAUGAGAAGCAUAAGAGCAUCGACAUUCUGAAAUCCUCAGGAGAUGUACUAAAGCAAAAGAUCUCUGAUCUAUCGGCGAGAAGGGAAGCUCUGUUGGCUGAACUCAGACAAGUGGAAGAGGCUCUGUCCCAAGCUCAACAGGAAGAAAGCAAACUGCCUAAAGCAAUCAAGACUCUUGAACAAGAGCGAAACAUCCAGGCCCGUAAAGCACUGCAGAUGAAGAAGAAAUUGAAGCCAGUGGAAGGCUCUGCCGAUGAUGACGUGAAGGAGAUAGAAGAAGCCAACCAGAUCCGUCUGCGCGCCAUAUCGACGAUUCAGGCUCUUUAAAACAUGUAAAUUCUUCAUCCGCAGCGUGCUUUGUUUCUUUCUUCUAAUCAUUUUGGUCCAGCCGAUAGGACUGUUAUCGGCAUCCUUUUAAAACAUUAAGUCCGGCCCCAGAUAUGCUUUUAAUUCAGCUGAUAGGAAUGUUAUCGGCACUUAAACUUUCAAUGAUCAAGCCAUAUGCUGGGGUAAUAUCUCUUUAAAUAUUUGCCGUUCAAUGCUCUGGGAAAUUCAACUCCUUCGAGAGUUUCUAAGAUAUAGGCAUUGCCAGGAGCAGAUCGAUUUAUCCGAUAGGGACCCUCCCAAUUGGGAGACCACUUCCUAAAUUUUGAACUUUUAGUCCCGAUCGAUAAGAUUAGUUUCCAUACUAAGUCUCCAUCGGCAAACUCGUUAGCCUUUACCUUCUUAUCAUACCAUCUGACAACUCUCUUCUUAUUUUCUUCUAUACUUAUCAAAGCCCUUAGCCGAUGCCCUGCUAGAUCAUCCAACUCGUUUGUCAUCAAAGUAGUAUAAUCAUCGGCAGCCAGUUGAUCUUGAAAAGAUAGUCGCCUAGACCCAGUUUUAAUUUCCCAAGGUAGCACUGCAUCAUGUCCAUACACCAGCUGAUAGGGUGAAACUUUGGUCGACCCAUGACAAGCCAUCCGAUAUGACCAUAAAGCUUCAUUUAACAACGUAUGCCACCUCCUAGGAUUUUCUUCAACCUUCCGUUUAAUGAGUUUGAUAAUUCCUUUGUUAGAUGCUUCGGCUUGCCCAUUAGCUUGAGCAUAAUAAGGAGAAGAAUUUAAUUCUUUAAUUCCCAUACCGAUUGCAAACUCAUCAAACUCCCCUGAUGUAAACAUAGUACCCUGAUCGGUAGUAAUUAUUUGAGGGAUUCCAAAUCGGUAAAUAAUAUGCUCUUUCACAAAAUCAAUCAUAUUGGCCGAUGUGACUUUCUUCAAAGGAAUAGCUUCAACCCACUUGGUGAAAUAAUCGUUGGCAACCAAUAUGAAUUUAUGUCCUUUGCUGGAUGGUGGGUAAAUUUGGCCGAUUAGAUCAAUAGCCCACCCCGGAACGGCCAAGGUUUAAUAAUGGGAUUCAUGGCCGAUGCGGGUGCCCUUUGAACAUUGCCAAACUUCUGACAUGCUUGACACCCCUUGAAAUAUUUAAAGCAAUCUUCAAGUAUGGUUGGCCAAUAAUACCCAUUCCUCCUAAUCAUCCAUUUCAUCUCAAAAGCCGACUGAUGUGCUCCACAUACUCCUUCAUGGAUUUCCCCCAUUAAACUUCUAGCCUCACCAUCAUCUAAGCAUUUGAGAAGAACUCCAUCAAUUGUUCAAUAAUAUAAUUCAUCCUCGAGGAGCACAUACUUGGUGGCUUGAAACCGAACACGUCUCUUAACUUUCUUGGAUGGAUCCUUUAAAUAAUCAACGAUUUCUUUCCUCCAAUCAUCGGCACUGAUUGCCGAUAUUGUGUUUAACAUGGGCUGAUAUCCCGAGGCAUGCUGAGCCAACCGAUUGGCCUCUUCAUUAUACAGUCGAGGAAUAUGCUCUAAUCGAAAAUCCUUGAAUUACUUUAACAGUUGCAUACUCCUUUCGUAACAUGUUAUUAAGACCUCACUUCGGCAUUCAUAACUUCCAGCCAAUUGAUUUAUAACCAACAUAGAAUCUCCAAAGAUCUCAACAGCAUUAGCAUGAACCUCUUUUAACAACUCCAAUCCCUUAAUUAAGGCUUGAUAUUCAGCUUGAUUAUUUGUCGACGUGGCAACAAUCGGCAAGGAGAAUUCAUACUUCCUUCCCUAAGGGGAAAUUAACACUAUGCCGAUUCCUGCCCCCGGUCACAUGUGGAUCCAUCAAAGAAAAACGUCCAAGGCACAAUUUCCAAAGCUUCCACUGCACCGCAAUGUUGAGUUACAAAAUCGGCUAUAAUUUGUCCUUUAACCGCCUUAGCCGAUUCGUAACGCAAAUCGAAUUCCGAUAGUGCCAAAAUCCAUUUACCGAUUCUGCCACUCAUGAUCGGCAUGGAUAGCAUAUACCGGACCACAUCAUCUUUGCAUAUAACAGUGCAUUCGGCCGAUAGUAAAUAGUGCCUCAAUUUAAUACAUGAGAAAUAUAGGCAUAAACAUAACUUUUCAAUGGCCGAAUACCUGGUCUCAGCAUCAACCAAUCUCCUGCUUAAAUAGUAAAUCACACGCUCCUUCCCUUCAAAUUCUUGAAUUAAAGCUGAGCCGAUGACCAUCCCAUCGGUAGAUAAAUAUAAUCUGAAGGGCUUUCCUUGCUGAGGUGGAAUCAGAACUGGAGGAUUUACCAAAUAAUUCUUGAUUUCAUCUAAAGCCAACUGUUGCUCUUUCCCCCUACAAACUCUUGAUCGGCUUUCAAUUUGAGCAAAGGACUGAAAGCACGAAUUUUACUAGACAAGUUAGAUAUAAAUCUCCUGAUAAAAUUUACCUUGCCGAUCAAGGACUGGAGCUCAGUUUUGUUGGUAGGAGCAACUAUUUUGUUGAUAGCAUCAAUGGAUCUCCUACUAAUUUCAAUCCCCCUUUGAUGCACCAUGAAACUAAGAAAUUGCCCUGCCGAUACACCAAAUGCACACUUAUUAGGGUUCAUCUUUAAACCAUGCUUCCUUGUGCAUUCCAACACUUUUCGCAAAUCGGCAAGAUGUUUUAUGAAAUCCCCAGACUUAACCACCACAUUAUCAAUAUAAAUUUCCACCAGCUUGCCGAUGAACUCAUGAAAGAUAAAAUUCAUAGCCCUCUGAUAGGUAGCACCAGCAUUUUUCAAACCAAAGGUCAUGACUAUCCAUUCGAACAAUUGAACAUGACCAGGACAUCUAAAUGCAGUCUUUGGAAUAUCUUCUUCAGCCAUGAAUAUUUGAUUGUACCCUGCAUUGCCAUCCAUAAAGCUGAUGAUCCGAUGCCCAGCCGUAGCAUCAACUAGCAGAUCGGCAACUGACAUUGGGUAGCCAUCCAUCGGUGUAGCUUUAUUGAGAUUCCUGAAAUCAAUGCAAACCCGAAGCUUCCCAUUUUUCUUGUAGACUGGAACAACAUUGGAAAUCCACUCGACAUACCGACACUGCCGAAUAAAUUUAGCUUCAAUAAGUUUGGUUAUUUUGGCCUCAAUAUCAGGAAGAAUAUUAGGAUUACACCGGCGAGCUGGCUAUUGAUGUGGCCGAAAUCUAGACUUGAUGGGUAACCGAUGUUCAACAAUCGAUCGAUCUAAACCAGGCAUCUCAGUAUAAUCCCAAGCAAAGCAAUCUUUAUAUUCCUUUAACAAAUCAGUUAACUGCUGCUUACACUCAGAAUUUAACUUAGCACUAAUAAAAGUAGGCCUAGGCUUAUCACCACUUCCUAUAUCUACUUCUACUAAAUCAUCGGCCGAUGUGAACCCUUGACCUAACUUUCCAUCAUCGGUGAACCUAUCCAUUAAAACUCCUCAUCAGAACCGACUGCUUGGAUCGGUGGAAUCUCAUAAUCGGCAACUUUGAGGAAAUCCUUCUCCCAAAUUUCUCCCGAGAUACACCUAGUCCUCUCAUAGGUAUCUGCCUCUGCCGAUGCGAUGACAUAAGAAGAAUCUCCCGGGACAAUCUCAAUCUUGUCACCUACCCACUGAACCAAGCAUUGGUGCAUCGUCGACGGGAUGCAACAAUUGGCUUGAAUCCAAUCUCUCCCUAGCAGCAGAUUGUAGGCACCUUUCCCACUGAUCACAAAAAAGGUCGUCGGCAAGGUCUUGCUGCCGAUGGUCAAUUCGACGCAUAUUGCUCCCUUAACUGGAGACACAUUCCCUUCAAAAUCUUUUAGCAUCAUAUCGGUCUUGGUCAAAUCUUGAUCUCCUUUUCCAAGCUUCCGAUAGACUACAUAUGGCAUGAUGUUGAUAGCAGCUCCACCAUCAAUUAAUAUCUUGGUCAUUGGCUGACCAUCAACCCUUCCUUUGACAAACAAAGCUUUAAGAUGCUGCCUUUCAUUAUCGGCAGGCUUUUCAAAGAUAGCUGUCAUCGGAUCUAGAGCCAACUGAGCUAUCUGGUCGGAAAACUCCAACUCCUCAUCAUCAUUGGAUGGCACAAGGAAUUCCAUUGGCAACAUAAAUACCAUGUUAACAUCUGCUGAUGGCCUUUUCCCUUUAGGAUCUGGUUGUUGCUGAUCCCUAGACUGGCCAGAGUUCUCUCCCUUGCUUAGCUUGUCACAGAACCGACCAAAUUAUAAGAGUUCAAGUGUAGAAACGAUCGACAAGCAAUCAAGUUUCCAAACUUGAGCCCAUAUAAUCCCGGUAGUCAACUGAAAUCACGAAGGACUUCAAACCAACUUGCAACAAACCAAGAUCGUAAUAGCUCUGCACAACACAGCGAAUGUUACAUAGUCAUUCAUUGCCGUCGAAGCGGCACCACAUCAGAGUUACUUAGUUAUUACAACACAUGUUUGUAGUAGCGGAAGCAAAAUAAUUUACACACACUUUCCAAAGUUCAGUUCAUAAGUUCUUGUUAUAGCCAAAGUCGUACACCAUCCAUCCAAAAGCAGCAGGUACGAGUUGGUUAGAGAACCGUGCCCAACGGUUAGUCCUCAUCCCCAGCGGGAUGGAGACAGGUCUUGCAGAAGCCAUCAUAAAAGAUAUCAUCUGCAAUAGGUGGGAAUAAACCCUGAGUACGAGAAUGUACUCAGCUAGACUUACCCGUCUAGUAAAACAUAAAAGACACCAAGGAUCAUGCAAGGCUAAAAUCAAGUGGAGCUGGUUGACUCAACAUUUGCCAAAAGCUUAAAUUAUAACUACAAUGUUGUGAGAGCGUUAUAUUAAUCAUCAUUAGCCUACCACUAGAUUAGCACCUGUACUAAAGCACUUCACUUGACUAUUACAAGCAAUAAUAACCAUAUCAAAUUCAUCAUAGGUUCUCCUUGCUAUCAUCAUUAUCACGAACCAAGUUCAUUAGUGAAUGCUACGUUUGCCGCUGCUCUGUCAUGUUCUCACUAACCGGGAGAGACAGCGAUUCGAAUCGAAUUCCUAUCCAGCUGGAGGGGUAUUCCUAGCACUCACCCAAGCAUCCCCCGUCGGAGAGCCAACGGGUCACCUUUGGUACGACUCAGGAAUCGCGGUUUCGAUCAGCGCCGCACUCCCAGGGCUACCACUCUGCCAGGGAGGCCAGGAAUUUUAACUCACCUGCCUUUGGGCUUACGCCAAUGGUCCCCCGCACACCGCACUUCCUCCGGUAGUGCGCACUUUAUACUUAUCGGCCUUCCAGCCUAAGUCAUAUUACUAGGCUUCGCGGUCGGAACGAGUUAUCCGGCCAACUAAGUGUUAGGCAUGCGUUCAACAUGACAAGAGGACGUACAACGGUCGGUCCUUAGCCGCCACAGACGGAGUUACUACAACCUUGCAAAACUCCGCCCGACUUAAGUCAAUUUAAUCAGGUUCCAUCCAUGAUAGUACAUAUAGUCCAUCGUGAUCCGACAUAACCCUAUAUCGCGCAGGUGACAGGAUAUCACCCGACUUCUACCGAUUAAAGCAUGGCUAAGCUGCUACUCAAUCCUAACUCUAUAACCAGGUAGUGGUAAGAUAUCUGGACAAGGAAUGAGUAAAAUGCAGCAAAGGUUUCAUCACAACUCCUAUACUUAAAUGCAUCAAUAGAUAUAACAUAUUCAAGUAAACUUUCGAAAAUAAAGGGAGACUUAGGAUGCUCCGGGGCUUGCCUUUCACGAACGAAGCUGGUUCAUGGUUCGGGCACUCAACUUCUUCUUCGGGCUCCUCGAGUCUGGCUUGCUGGACCUCCACCUCCGGGUUGCCCUCCUAGCCUUCGGGGUUCACUUGAAGCUCGUAGGAGGCGGUCGCGUCCGGUACACCUAUUGCAUGCUCGAUGAAUAAGAAAAUGUGCAUACUAAAGGAUGAAUGCUUGACACAUAAUUAAAUUCACUGGACACUCAUAUACGGAGUAACGGUUAUCACAAGUUCACACAAGAUAGUAAGUUAACUUAGCCAAAAUCUACCAAGAUAACCUAUAAACAGCAAGCAUUACAUAAAGAACAUCUCAGAAAACAGGUCAUAACUAAUCUAGACAGAUCCAACAAACCUAAGUGAGGACAUUAUGGAAAGCUUAUGAAAUUGCCUACAAAUCAUCUUUAAAAAUAACCGCAAGAUUCAUAAGUUAAACAAGCCUUAUAAACAAAGUUCCAGGUUCUGUCCCAGAAAAACAGAAAGCACCUAUUUCUGGAAUCCAACUUGGAACAGCCAUUACUUUCAAACUACUGGACUAAAUGAUCCCAAAAUUAAACCACAGCUAGUUCAUAAAGUUUACAACAACUUUGAUUUAGACAAGUCUUCCAGAUAACCAAGUUUUUAAUAAGCAAAGAUUGAAUUACUUCCUUGCUGUCCAGAACAGCUUUUAACCCUGCAAUUAAUUAUUUGAUGACAUGGCCAACACAUAAUCAGUGUCAACCACAUGACUUAUAAGCACAAACAUAUCAUAAGGUUACCAGAACAUCAUAUGAUAACUUCUAAACAUUUGUUAACAAGGCCUUUAAUAAUUUAAUUCUAUAAAAGAGCAUAAUUACAAGAUACUAGCAAAAGUACUCAGAAAAAUCUAUAAAAAUUACACAAGCACAAGCAGAGCAUGGUGACAUCACCAUAAAAUUUUCAGAUCAAAAGCACAUGCCAAACUCAAGAUAAGCAUUUAACAUGUGACAAGGUAUUUAUUUCAUAAAUUCAGAAACAUGGCUUAUAUGGUGUCAAACAACAGAUUUCAGAUUAUUUACAUGUUACCAGUACCAUAAACAAGUUUGUCACCAAAGUGGAGCAUCAGCAUAAUCACCAAUGAUUUAUUAUGAUUUUAAUAAGAAAACAAGCCAUAUCUCAAUCAUAAAUUACAUAUCAUAGAUGCAGUACUCAAAAAGUCAUGAAAUAUUCAUCAUAGCAUUCUAGUACUACACAGAGACUACCAUAAAAAUUUCAUGGCAAAAGGAGCAGUAUAACAAAAGAUAUGAAUUUACUCAUGAAUAACAAGAUUAAAUCCUAAUAAAUAUUUUUCCCAGAAAAUAUGGUCCAUUUAAUUUUUUAAUAAAAACUAGCCAUCUCAAGGAACAUCACAAAAUUGGUUUCGCAAUUUUUGGAUCACCAGAACCAGAGAUAUGAUUUUUGCAAGAAAUCCAAAAAUCUGGAAUUUGAAUAAAAGGAAGGAGGAGACCGUUGAGUCACUAACAACGGGUCCCGCGCGUCAGCGACCCAGAGAACAAGGGACUCCUUCGCCGGCAAAUGCUCGCCGACGGUGAGCUUCUCCGGCGGAUCCAAGGGCACCAGCGUGCUCCUGGAGUGAUUCCGCAUCGAUGAAGGUAAGUGGCGCUAGGGUUUCGGCUACGGAGAGGGGUCGCCGUCGGCCAUGGCGGCACGGCGGAGCUACCCCGGCUUACGCCGGCCAUCUCCGACCGGUAGAGCGUCGGGGAAGGGCGGUUUAAGCAUCAGCGAGUUAGCGCGGAGCUUUCUAGGUACAAACGCCUAACCCUAAUGGCUCCGGUGAGUCUGCUCACGUGCAAGGUACUCGUCGGCGGUGAGCACGACGGUGCGGCGGCCGUGUUCCCGCGCGACGGUGAUGCCUCAGCCGUAAUGGCAUGGCGUGGACCGACAUCAAGACCUAAGCCGACCUUAACGCGACUCAGAAGGGAGAAAGGAAGCAAGGAUGGAGCAGCAGCGAGGUUCGCCGGAAUCGGUGUCGCGACGGCCGUGAACCCGACGACGACGAACUCGCGAAAUGUCGCUCACCUCAGGGAGAUCUCGUCCAACCGAGGGGUGGAGAAGAUGUAGGAGCUCGAGGCGAACUUGGAGACGCUCGGAGGCGAAGCAAAAUGCAGAGGCGAGGGCGCGAGGAGCUCGCGAAGUUCUCGGCGGCAAUGGCGACGGCGUUUCCGCCUGGCGGAGCGCGAGAGAGAGGAAGGAAGAGAGUGGACGGGCGCUGAGUGAGUGCGGGGCGUCGUGGCAUCCAUGCCAACGCCGACGACCUGACGAGCGGGGCUAACACCGGCGUACGGGCGCCAACUGGCGGACAGAUGUCGCGCUGGGCGUCCACGACGGCGAGCUCGGUUCUGAAUCAGGCGACGCGAUCACCGUCUGACAGAGCAACUUCGACGGCGAUUAACUCCCAAACCAAAACGAGUUAGGAGAUGAUGUAGUUGACAAAGUUGGAGUACUAGCUAAGUUCUACAUCUUUGUCAACUGGAGCAAGAGCCAAAUCAGCCUGGACUGAGAGAUAUGAGAUUUCCAAAAUCGUUCGAGCAAACUGCUCGUGCCAGGACUUAGCCAAAAUCGACUAAGUGCUAAAACAGCACCCAAAACUGCCUUGUAGGUCACUUUUGAGCUAGAUGUGGUCAUUUUCAUGAGAUGGCCAUAAAAUAACUUUUGUUCCAUAUAAAAUUUUCUACAACUUUGGUAUAGAAAGUUUUGACAUGAACACAUUUUAUGAAACACUUUUUAAAAGCCUAAGCAAAAGAGGUUUCUAGGGCCUAUUUGAGUAAGUAUGACUUAAGUGAUUAUUUUGGGGAAAUGAUCAACAUGAACAUUGUUCCUAAUGUUGAAUUAAGCAUAGAUAAACUAAUUACCAAGGCAUAACACACAAACAUGAGUAUGGUUCACACAAACAUAAGCAUAGGAAGCCUAUUUAAACAACUUAAAUCACAUUUUUACAUAGAAUGACAUGGCUCAAGGUAGAUGAUGAUCAUGAUAUGCUUGAGAGACUAAUGAUGCUCAUGUUAUGCAUAUGAUUUAUGCAACCAUAACACUGGGGUGUUACAGCCCUCCCCCCUUACAAAAAUCUCGUCCCGAGAUUUGAAAGCUUACUGAUUUUCGAAGAAUGUUUUGUAAACUUCUUUUAAAUAAUGCUCCGUCUCCCAAGUGGCAUCUUCCUCCCCGUGGUUACUCCACAACACCUUGUAGAACUUAACCACACGAUUACCAGUCACCCGUUCCUUGCGGUCAAAAACCGCUACAGGUUUUUCGUGAUACACCAAGUCUGACUUCAACUUGAUAUCCCAAACUUCCACUCGUUCCUCCGGAACACGAAGGCACUUCUUUAAUUGAGAUACGUGGAAGACAGGAAAAAUAGCUCGAAGCUCAACUGGGAGUUGAACUUUGUACGCCACAUCCCCUUUCCUUUCAAGAAUCUGAUAGGGUCCCACAUAACAAGGUGCAAGCUUUCGCUUGACUCCGAACCUUUGUACACCCUUCAUCGGAGACACCUUGAUAUACACAUGGUCACCGACUGCAAACUCAAUCGGCUUCCUUCUCUUGUCAGCAUAACUUUUCUGACGAGCUUGAGCAGCUUCCAGAUGUUGCUGGAUGGUAAGGACUUGCUGCUCUGCUUCGUUCACGAAAUCGAUGCCAUAAUACCUUCGCUCCCCGGAUUCUACCCAAUUCAACGGGGUUCGACACUUUCGACCAUACAUGGCUUCAAAUGGAGCCAUCUUGAUACUCUCCUGAUAACUAUUGUUGUAAGAGAACUCAGCUAAUGGCAACCACUUAACCCAAGAACCCUUUGAAGAGAGAGCACAUGCCCUCAACAUGUCUUCUAGGAUUUGGUUGACUCGUUCAGUUUGACCUGCCGUUUGGGGAUGAUAAGCAGAACUACGGACUAAGUGAGUACCAAUCUGCUCAUGUAGACACUCCCAAAAACGGGCAGUGAACUGUUGGGUAUUCUUAACAUCAUUACCAAGAGUAGACAGUUUUCUAAUUCUAGCCAAAAAUGCCAAACCUAUCCCUCACACCACUUAAGCCAAGUUGUCAUCCCCAGCAUGACAUGAGAGACGCGGUAUUGAAAUAUGCAAUUGCUCUUCUAAAUAAAUAAUGAAUGGGAUCUGCAAGCGCACAGAUUAAUACCGAUGUAGCAUUUUAACCGGGAAGUAUUCCAGGUAUCGUUAUUUAUAUUUUUACCACUGGGAAGGGAUUAGCAAUCAUCAAUAUUGAUUACAGAAUAGAAUAUGAGAUUGAGUAUCUAUCAUUGCAUGUAUAAUUGAGAACAUUUAUCUAACUGUUUCAUACAGGGGUAAGUGUCACAUAAAAGAUAUAUGAAGUAAUGAAUAGUGACAAAGAUAAUUAAUCUGAUCAGCCACAUAUAAAUAUGAUAAGCACCUCAAUUAGAUACUCUAGAAAGUCAUUAGCAUGGUAUUAGAACGAACUACAAGAAUAUUUCCUAAGUUAUUCUCAACUAUAUAGUCUAGCAUUAUCAUAAUUAGUGCAAGCAUACUUAGCAAUCAUUGCAAGACAAAACUACGCCCAUGCAUAGUGAUAUUAGCAAGGUAAAUGAGAAACAUAGCAAUCACUCCUCUGUAAUAAUAUUGCUCUGCCAGCCCAAUACACGAGAGGGGGACUAUAUAAGAAUCAAUGAAGCUGUCACUAUCACGAACUACCCCACGAUGUGGCAUAUUGGGUACAAUCGCAGAUAAAUACGGUAUAAGCACCACGCCUACACAAUAUCUAUCAUUUACCCAUGGAUCCGAUGGAUAAAUGCUAUACGAUCCUAAGCAUGUAUAUAGAUCCAAUCUAACUAAGCCAAGUACAUAACUAUGAUAAACUAAGAACAAUAUAAUCCUGAAUAUAAACAAGUAGAGCAAAGUCAUAAGCAAUAUAUUGAAGUAGAACAAAGUCAUAUUCAUAAUAUUGAAUAACAAAGAUGAUUAGAAGAACAAUUAGAAGCAUAAUUAGAGAAUUACCAAGAAUCCUCUUGACAGAUCCGGAAACCAAUUGAAGAUUGACUCCUUCUAGUUCUAAUCCUAUGUAGCUAUGCUAAUCUAGAUGUCUAAUUGAUGUGGUGGCUCUAAUCUUGAUCAGAGGCUUCAUCUCCCUCGAAGAAUAAUGAAUUAGGGUUGAGAGGCUCUCUCCUCCAGGGGCCAGGGGGUCUGGUUUUAUAGUCCCUUCAAGUGAAUAUGGGCCGUUGGAUCAAACCGAUAUUGAUUGAACGGUUAUCCUUGAUCCUUUAGGUCAGUGGAGAUCUCCCACGAAACAGAGUCCUGUUUGGUCUCCAAGUCAGGGCGGGCGCCUAGGGAAGGAGGGCGGGCGCCCUGCCUGUGGCCCCUUUCGGCCUCCGCUUUCUUCCCGUGGCUUCUGGAGUCUUCUAGAUGUAAGAUAAUUCCUGUAGAAGUAGCAUAUAUCAGUGAACGUGCAAGUGAAUCUUGAUUUAACCACAUGACAAGCUCCUAAGGGUCUACACAGCUUGACCACACUCAAUGCUCAUAAACAGUAAAAAGUAAAUGUGUGGCUCAAAGUCUAGCAAGCAUGUAUAUAUGGCUUUGGUAGGAAUUUAAACUCUCAUCAUACAGGAAGUCAUCAUGCAACAUUUUAAAGAUUUUUAAAGAUGAAAUUCUUUAGAAUUCUAGCAUCUCUAGGAACAGAUAAACAGCAGCUCAACCUUCCCAUAUCGUAUCCGUUAACAACUUAGACUUCAGAUCAAGUUUUCAUCCCACAAGUUUAGGUCAAGAGCAAGCUUUAAAUUAUAACAGUUAUAUCUAAACUGGAGAGAGAACUUAAAAUGUGCAAAUUAGGCAGAGCAACUAUUCAUCAUAUCCAUGCUAGAGUUUUAUUUAGAUACAGAUUAGCAUAGCCACUUUAUUUAUUUAUUAAACACACUAAGCAAAAGAUAUAUAUAUAUAUAAGCACAAAAUCUUUAUUUGGUUUUUCAUAGUUAUAUAUAUUUAUAUUCUAAUAUAAUAUAAGUAUAAAGAUAGAUAGAAAUACUUAUCGGGAUAAAUGGGGGUGCUCUCCUCCAAGCUGAAUUUUGACGUAAUUUUCCUUGAUGUAGCUAGCAGGUGGCAGAGGUGUAUUUUAAAGUCGGCAGCAUUCUGACAGCGAUUAGAAUGUCCUCCGUCUGCUAGUCUUCUUGAUUCUUAAAUUCUGUGGAGCUCAAAUAGACAGCAAAGCUUGUGGAACUGAUUAAGUGUUAGCAUAAAUAUCUAGCCUUUAUCAUGUUGAGACUCCUCAAUAACUAUUACUCCUAUUUUUAUAUUUUCAUUUUAUAAAGCAGAAAAGAAAUAUUUAUUUUAUUUUUAUGCCACCACAGUGAAUGUACUUAUGGGUUUUAUGCCACUCGUAUACUCACAUGGGGCUUACUGUUUUUUAACAUUUUUAUUUUUAUUUUUAAGAUAGUAUGAACAUGAUUAACUAAGUAAACUAUUUUAAAAUAAUUAAAAGGGAAAGGAUAACUACCAAGUUUACCUCUUGGCAAGGAGUUCGGUGUUUUUAAGUCCUCCGAACGGGACUCUCCAUUUUCUCAAUUGUCCUAGGAUUCGUUGGGUGGCGUGGUCGGUACUUCCGGCGGCGCCUCCUCUUCAUGUAUAGUUAUCUUCUCUUUCCAUACCUGACUCGGUGCUACGGUCUCCUCUAGAUAAUUCUGUUUAAACUCUACGUCUUCUGACCUUACUACUUCUCCUUCAUAGUCUGCCCAUCUGUCCUUGAUGAUUUGCCUCCUUUGGUUGCGGUUGCGGCGUUUUUUUACCUGCUUAGAUUCUUCAACGAUAUAGUCAGGGUCAAUAAAAUAACGGCGUACCUUCUCUAAGGGGAAGUGCAUAUGGACUUCUUCGGUUCCAAUGUAGAUGAUUGCUUUAACGGUGCUGAGGAACGGUCUUCCAAGGAUGAUGGGUGGAUCGUACUCAUCUUCUCCCAUGUCAAUAACCUAAAAGUCUGUGUAGACAAAAUGAUCGUCUAUUUUGACAGGGACAUCAGUUACUGUUCCUUUAGCUUCUUGAAAUGUCUGAUCUGCCAUCUGGAGCUGAAUGUAUGUUGGUCUUAGUGGCAUGGUUCCGAACAAGAGCCGAUAGGUGACUGCGGCCAUUAUGUUGACGCCCGAUCUGGUGUCGCAGAACGUCUUGUAGAAGCUGUAUCCAUUUAUGGAGCAAUAGAUGCUUGGUAUUCCUAGGUCGUCCUUAUUGGUCAAAAACGGUGACUUGAGUUGAUGAUCUUGGCCUCCAUGAACUGCAGUGACCAUCUUAGCUGACUCGGUCCACACUUGCUUGUUCCUGUUCCUCCUGUUGGUCCUCUUCCUUGAUUCACGUCUGGAUUGAUCUGGGAUUUGUGUAGUCUUGUUCUUGAAGAAAAAUGUCUCCUUCCUCCCUUUGAUGUAGAAACUGAUCUUGGCAACACUAGCGUAGAUGACAGCUCCCGAGGUGUUUAAGAAUGACCUCCCUAAGAUGAUGGGUGCUCUCUCAUCAUUACCGGUCUUUAUCACCACGAAGUCCGCUGGGGCGUACAAGGUACCAACUCGGACACAAAGGUUCUUCAAUAUUCCUUUUGGAAAACUUAUCAUCUGAUCUGCAAACUGCAAACACAUGGUUGUUUAUAAUAAAGGAUAUGUAAAGAAUUUUUCAUAGAGUACCCUGGGUAUAAUGUUGACGCUAGAGCCAAAGUCACAGAGUGCUUCUAGGAAGUCCACCAUACCGAUGGAGAUCGGGAUGACGGGGCGUCCUGGAUCGCCUCUCUUGAUCGGCAGAAGGUCAGUAGUGAAUUCAGUGACGGGGUUACUCCAAUUACCUGCAUCAAACAUGUCUACAAGAUUUGCAGAUUCUAAUCCUGAGUAGUUAGGCCUCUGUUGAUUCCAACCUUGAUUUUGUUGAGGACGGUUGUAGUAGUAGUAGUUGUUAUUGUUGAUGUAGUUCACAUCCUCAAGCAUCUCAGGGCAGUGAUUGCCUGAGUGUCCAGUAUCUCCACACUCCUCACAAGUCAUGUGAGAGUCGUAGAUGUGCAUAACUUCUUUCUUAUCUCUAGCUCUAUCAUCGAGCUUCUUCAUGAGCAGGUCUAGCUUUGCAGACAACAUGUCUACCUCCUUGAGCUGAUGCAUACCUCCACCUCUCUUGCGUGUCUAGGUCCUUUCUUCAUUCCAGCCUUGGUUGGACGCCAUCUUGUCCACAAGACCUAUGGCUUGUGGUAUAGUAAGUGAUAAGAAUGCUCCUCUAGCUGCAGCAUCCAUGGUCUCUCGGGCACUGUUGCCGAGCCCAUGAUAAAACGUCUGCAUUAGUAGCCAACUUUCCAUUCCAUGAUGGGGACAUUCUAGGAUGUAGUCUUGAAAGCGCUCCCAUGCUUCUGGAACAGAUUCAUCAUUUUGUUGCUGAAAACUUGUAAUCUUCCCACGGAGAGCAUUGGUCUUGCCCAUGGGAAAGAACUUAGCCAGGAAGUUUGUUGAGUAGAGUGCCCAUGUAGUAUUCUUCUCCUUUGUAGUGUAGAACCACUGCUUCGCUCUUCCUAACAGUGAGAAUGGAAAGAGGCGAAGUAGUAUAGCAUCUAUGGGGACUCCAAAUAUGGUGAAUGUGCUGCAAAUCUCCAAGAAGUGUUGGAGAUGAGCACUAGCAUCUUCGUGUGCCUUCCCACAGAACUGAUUGGAUUGCAGCAUGUUGAUAAGUCCAGGCUUGAGCUCAAAGUUGCCGUCGAUCUCUGCAGCAGGUCCAGUGCGGAUGUUGUCCGUAGUGGGAGCUGAGAACUCACGGAUCGAUUUGUUCGCCAUGGCUUCGAACUCUGAAGACAAGUUUCGGUGAUCUUCUUGAUUGGAUGAAGCUUCUUGCUGAAGUGUUGAUGAUCUCUUCUUGAGCUUGGCUCUUGUCUUCUUGAAUAAAGCUUCGGGAUUGUCAACAAAAUUUCCUGGAAGACGUUUUCUAUUCAUACAUUCCCCUGCAUAAGAUAAAAAUAGAAUAAUAUCGGGGUAAAACUGUAUGAGAGAAUAGAUAAGCUCAAUCAUAUUAGUGAUGCGAAUGAUAACUCAAAAUCCUUUAUUCAUUCCUGAUUAGUAAUCAACCUUCCUCGGCAAUGGCGCCAAAAAUGCUUGUUGGGUAUUCUUAACAUCAUUACCAAGAGUAGACAGUUUUCUAAUUCUAGUAACGGUGCCAAAAAUGCCAAACCUAUCCCUCACACCACUUAAGCCAAGUUGUCAUCCCUAGCAUGACAUGAGAGAUGCGGUAUUGAAAUAUUCAAUUGCUCCUCUAAAUAAAUAAUGAAUGAUAUCUGCAAGCGCACAGAUUAAUACCGAUGUAGCAUUUUAACCGGAAAGUAUUCCAGGUAUCGUUAUUUAUAUUUUUACCACUAGGAAGGGAUUAGCAAUCAUCAAUAUUGAUUACAGAAUAGAAUAUGAGAUUGAGUAUCUAUCAUUGCAUGUAUAAUUGAGAACAUUUAUCUAAAUGUUUCAUACAGGGGUAAGUGUCACAUAAAAGAUAUAUGAAGUAAUGAAUAAUGACAAAGAUAAUUAAUCUGAUCAGCCACAUAUAAAUAUGAUAAGCACCUCAAUUAGAUACUCUAGAAAGUCAUUAGCAUGGUAUUAGAACGAACUACAAGAAUAUUUCCUAAGUUAUUCUCAACUAUAUAGUCUAGCAUUAUCAUAAUUAGUGCAAGCAUACUUAGCAAUCAUUGCGAGACAAGACUACGCCCAUGCAUAGUGAUAUUAGCAAGGUAAAUGAGAAACAUAGCAAUCACUCCCCUGUAAUAAUAUUGCUCUGCCAGCCCAAUACACAAGAGGGGGACUAUAUAAGAAUCAAUGAAGCUGUCACUAUCACGAACUACCCCACGAUGUGGCAUAUUGGGUACAAUCGCAGAUAAAUACGGUAUAAGCACCACGCCUACACAAUAUCUAUCAUUUACCCAUGGAUCCGAUGGAUAAAUGCUAUACGAUCCUAAGCAUGUAUAUAGAUCCAAUCUAACUAAGCCAAGUACAUAACUAUGAUAAACUAAGAACAAUAUAAUCUUGAAUAUAAACAAGUAGAGCAAAGUCAUAAGCAAUAUAUUGAAGUAGAACAAAGUCAUAUUCAUAAUAUUGAGGAACAAAGAUGAUUAGAAGAACAAUUAGAAGCACAAUUAGAGAAUUACCAAGAAUCCUCUUGACAGAUCCAGAAACCAAUCGAAGAUUGACUCCUUCUAGUUCUAAUCCUAUGUAGCUAUGCUAAUCUAGAUGUCUAAUUGAUGUGGUGGCUCUAAUCUUGAUCAGAGGCUUCUUCUCCCUUGAAGAAUAAUGAAUUAGGGUUGAGAGGCUCUCUCCUCCAGGGGCCAGGGGGUCUGGUUUUAUAGUCCCUUCAAGUGAAUAUGGGCUGUUGGAUCAAACCGACAUUGAUUGAACGGUUAUCCUUGAUCCUUUAGGUCGGUGGAGAUCUCCCAUGAAACAGAGUCCUGUUUGGUCUCCAAGUCAGGGCGGGCGCCUAGGGAAGGAGGGCGGGCGCCCUGCCUCUGGCCCCUUUCGGCCUCCGCUUUCUUCCCGUGGCUUCUGGAGUCUUCUAGAUGUAAGAUAAUUGCGCGGCACGUUAAUAUCUCUAUGUAUUCCCGAUGUGUGGGCCUUUCUUCCGUAUUUCCUGAUAACCUCCUACAGAAAUAGACAAACACCAAAACUCGUAGAAUUCUGUUAGAUAAAACCCUAAGUCUAGAUGUUGAUUUCAUUUGGAUCAUUUUCUUUGUUUAUUUGAUAAUUAAAUUUGAUACUUAAGGACCGUCAACAUGAACUGUGGUCCAUGAUCUGAUAUGAUGGUUCGAGGCACACCAUACUGACGAACAAUGUGCUCGAAAUACAACUCCGCAUAUUGAUGUGGACAAUAGUCAGUUCGGACUGGAAUAAAACGAGCAACCUUGGUCAAACGAUCUACAAUCACCCAGAUAGAGUCGUAACCAUUUACAGAAGUUGGGAGUCCAACCAUGAAAUCCACGCUGACUUCUUCCCAUUUCCAACCAGGAAUUGGCAAGGGUUGAAGCAAACCAGCUUUCAUGUGAACGGCCUUCACACGACAACAAUUGUCACAACGAGCGACAAAAGCAGCAAUCUCCUUUUUCAUCUUUGUCCACCAAAAUAGAGGUUUCAGAUCCUGAUACAUCUUGCUGCUACCAGGAUGGAUAGACAACUUGGAUGAAUGAGCUUCGGAUAAGAUCUGAUUUCGUAGCUCGCGGUCUUUUGGGACCACUAGCCGAUCUUUGAACCAAAGAAUCCUGUUCUCAUCGACCCAGAACUGCUUGGUUCCUUCUUCCUUCAUCCUCCUUUUCAUAUGGUGGAUGCCUACAUCUCUUUGCUGCAAUUCGAUGAUUCGAUUGCGAAGAGUACUCUCCAGAGAAAUCUGGUUGAGCACAAGUGGAUGCAUAAGAUGUGACAACAAUGGGUCUUCCACCUGAACUGAGUGACAGUGCGCUUUCCGACUCAAGGCAUCCGCAACCACGUUUGCCUUGCCCGGAUGAUAGUGCACUUGUAGAUUAUAAUCUUUAAUCAACUCAAACCACCUUCGUUGUCGCAUGUUCAAUUCAGGUUGAGUGAAGAUGUACUUGAGGCUCUUAUGAUCGGUGUAGAUAUUGCACAGAUUACCCAGCAAAUAGUGCCUCUAGAUUUUCAAAGCAUGAACAACUGCUGCCAAUUCUAAGUCAUGAGUAGGGUAAUUGACCUCAUGUUUUCAAAGUUGGCGUGAGGCAUACGCGAUAACGCGACCUUCCUGCAUCAACACGCAGCCUAAACCAAUACCCGACGCGUCACAGAAGACAUCGAAGGGCUUCUCGAUAUCAGGUUGAGCUAGGACAGGAGCUGAUGUCAGCAAUGUCCUCAACUUGUGGAAUGCCUCUUCACACUCAGGCGUCCACACAAACUUCUCAUCUUUCUGAAGUAGACGAGUCAUAGGCUUGGAUAUCUUUGAAAAUUCCAGAAUGAAUCGACGAUAAUACCCAGCCAGACCGAGAAAACUCCGAACCUCGUGUACCGAAGUUGGAACUUUCCAAUCCAGCACUUCUUGCACCUUAGCCGGAUCCACCGAUAUGCCUUCUUCAGAUAAGACAUGGCCCAAGAAAGGUAUUUUCCUUAGCCAAAACUCGCAUUUGCUGAACUUGGUGUAAAGCUGUGCUCAUGCAAGCGUGUCAACACCACACGCAGAUGCUCUGCAUGCUCCUCUUCAUUGCAAGAAUAUACUAGGAUAUCAUCAAUGAAGACCACCACAAACUUGUCCAAUUCGGGCAUGAACACUGAGUUCAUGAGGUACAUGAAAUGAGCAGGUGCAUUCGUAAGACUGAAGGACAUGACGAGAUACUCAUACAACCCAUACCUCGUCGAGAAAGCUGUCUUAGGUACGUCUUCAGGACGGAUCUUGAUCUGAUGAUACCCAGAUCGCAAAUCAAUCUUGGAGAAUACCUUAGCUUUAGAUAACUGAUCAAAUAAGAUAUCAAUGUGAGGAAGAGGGUAUUUAUUCUUGAUGGUCACCGCAUUCAGGGGACGAUAGUCCACACACAUGCGCAAGGAUUGAUCCUUCUUCUUCACAAAGAUAGCCGGACAACCCCAAGGAGAAGAACUAGGACAGAUAAGACCCUUCUUCAACAACUCAUUUAACUGGGUCUUAAGCUCAGCUAGCUCAUUUGGUGGCAUUCUAUAAGGUCUUCUAGAGAUAGGAGCGGUACCUAGAAUCAAUUCAAUUUUGAACUCCACAUCCCGAUCUGGAGGAAGCCCGGGUAAAUCGUCAGGAAAUACAUCCGGGAACUCACACACCACCGGAAUAUCCUAGAUGGCCUUAGCUGUAACUGCAUUCACAGUGCUACGAAUAUGGAUAUCUCGAGGAAGUUGCUCUAAGAACGCUUCCCUGGUAUUUGGGUCUCUCAACAUCACUACACGAGUGGUGGUGUCGAUAAGAACUCCGUUACCACUCAUCCAAUUCAUACCCAAAAUUACAUCUAUGCCCACACCGGGUAAGACAACUAGAUCAGCAAGAAAUUGACGGCCUCCAAUUUCCAGAGUUGCCCCAUAAACCACUUGAUUGGUCGAAAUAUCAUUCCUAGCAGCACUAAUGCAAUAACUACCCUUAUCAAGAGUAUUUGCCUUGAGAUUAUGCUUAGACACAAAGUCUAAACUCACAAAAGAAUGCGAUGCUCCUGAAUCAAAAACCACGAGUACAUCACAUUGGUUAACCAGAAACUUACCAGCUGUAACUACCUCACCAGCAGGGAUUGCCUCCACAGUUGUGUAGUGAACACGCCCCUGUCGGACGUUCCCUUGGUUGCCCUUCUUCGAAGGGUAAGGACAAUUGCUCUACCAGUGCCAGAUCUGAUUGCAGUUCCAGCACGGACGGAUGGCAGGUGGAGUCUUGGCAUAGCUGGGACCCAUGUUACCAAGAGGAAGAGCAAUGGAGUAACCCUUGCGGAUGUUGACGGUCCUUAAUGCUCACAAUUAACCAUCAACUAAACAUAGAAAAGGAUCCAAAUGCAACCAACACCUAGACUUAGGGUUUUAUCUAACAGAAUUCCACAAGUUUUGGUGUUUGUCUAUUUCUGCAGGGGGUUAUCAGGAAAUACGGAAGAAAGGCCCACACGUCGGGUUUACAUAGAGAUAUUAACGUGCCGCACAAUUAUCUACCAUCUAGAAGAGUCCAGAAGCCACGGGAGCGAACGGGAGAUGUAACGGAGCCGGGCACUGGGCGCCCGCCCUCCCUUACUGGGCGCCCGCCCUCCCCCCUGGACCAAUCAGGGUGAAGUUCGGGGAUCAUGCUCCACCGACCUAAUACUUCAAGGAAAACCACACGAUCAAUGUCGGUUUGAUCCGACGGCCCAGAUUCACUUGAAGGGACUAUAAAACCAGACCCCCCUGGCCCCUGGAGAUCAUACCUCUUCUACAGAAUCAAAGCUAGGGUUUCAAUUCUUCAUCCAAGUAGAGAGGAUCCCUCUAGUUCUUCUAGUUCUACCUCUAGUUCAUCUAGAUCUAGUUCUAGUUCAUCUAGUUCUAGUUCUAGUUCCUCUAGUUCUAGUUCUAGUUAGUUCUAGUUGUAAUCUAGAAAAUAGGGAGAGAGAAGCGGAGAGCGGAGGAGGAGCCGGAUCUGUCGGAUCUUCCUCAACAUUGUACUUUUGCAGCAACUGGUUCGUUCUUCAUCGUUCUCCAGGUUCUUCAAUUCAUAAUUCCUGAGUUCUCUAAUUACUUUUAUUUACAUUCAAGUUAUUUAUUGGAUUCCCGCUUGCAUCAAGUGCUCUAGUCUUUAUAAGCUAGAGUAGUAAUUAUUAGAUUAGACGUGGUGUUUAGUCUUGCAAUUACCUAGAAUUGCACCCAAUCCUGCGGAUUGUGGUGGUAGCCUUAGGGUAGUGACAGCCCUAACGGUCGACGUAUUCCACCUCGUUCGGAUCGGUGUUUGUAGGACCGUAGUCAGACCUUCCUAGCCCCCUUCUCAUCUCUUUCUGUGGUUAGUGCUCUGAUGUCCCGAUAUAGAUAAUCUUGAAGUAAUUCUUGAUUCUUAGAUCAACUAGAGAACUCUCAGGAAACUUCCUCUCUUCCCACCAAAAAUAAUUAUAUAGUUACCCUUGGGCGAUCAUGGAUCUUAAUUAGUACACUCACGUUCUCUGUGGAAAAUCGAUACUCUGGAAUACUCCCGGGUGAAGGCUACAUCGGUAUCCGUGCGCUUGCGGAUUUUUCUGUUUGCGUUUAAAAUACCCAACAAGCUUUCUGGCGCCGUUGCCGGGGAACGGUAGCUGUGCUAGUUUCGAACCAAGUCGUCCGUGUAUCCUUUUUCUUUUCCUUUUUUACCACACUCACCUUAUCAUUUUCACCAUACCACAUGGAUUUCACUCUAAGCAUUAAUGAGCAUGGAAUUUAUUUCAUAGCCACUUCAUUUGCUCCAUGCUCAUAUGCAACAUCUUCACAAUCCGUUGGUCUCUCCAACAUCACCACAUUCGAGAUCUCCAACCCCCUCAUCCUUUCUAUUUAUAAAAACUUUAAAAGGGCGGUUGUCGAUGCAUAUGUCUAUAUUAAAUAUUGUAGAUCUCGUUGAGUUGAUCUUGAUAUAGGUCAGCGUUGGAGGGGAAACCACUUCGCCGACAUACAUUGAUGGUUUCCUAAGGACAAGCUUAGUGUCCUAAAACAAGCACUGAUCAGAUCGUAACAUGAGCUUUUAAUUAUUUGCAACAUUACCUUGUGUAUUGAGCAUAUAAUGAUAAUUGUAAAAGUAUUCCUUCGGGUAUUCUUGUCACUAACCUUUCCAGGAUUGGAGCAAGAAGAUCGGAUGAAUGACAAGCACAAGGUAUGUCCAACCAAUCAUCAUACAACAUUGAAUUAAAUUCAUCCAAACUUGAAUUUUGCAAAAUUCAAGCUUGGGGGAGUACUUUAUAUAAAAACAUCAUUUGCCAUGUUGCUAUGUUGGUUGUCUCUACCUUUGAGACAUGCUCAAUUUGUUAAAUAGUAAUCACACUACUUCAUCUCCACUUGAGUAGAUCUCUAUAAAAGCCAUCACGCUACCUUUGUUUAUCCUAGUAAGUGUUAGUUUGGAAGUACUGUACAUACUUCUAUUGGUUUUUAAAUUAAGCAUGGUGCUUAGGUUAAACAGCCUUCCUUAAUCUAAUUAGACAUGGAGUCUAGUUUGGUUAUUGAACUAAAAACUGCUUGUGUAGACAUUGGUAUAUUUUGUUGGACUAACCCCUGCAGGAAAACUUUCAAUAUCGACCUGGGAAGUCCUGAGAUAAACUCACAUUGGAGACAAAGAGUGAGACGCAUGAAGGUUAACAAUUUACACAAGGAAGGCAUAGCUAACAAGAGAUGAUCCGUGGAGGGUGCCACAAACACGAUGCACAACCACUAAGAAAGGAAAGCUUCCACAAGGUGAUACUGUACCAUCACUCUUCAAGUAAGGUAACAUCUUAAGGUACUUGACUAUCACUUUUAUAAAGCUUCUCCUUGGUUCUGGCGUUCACAUGAAUAAAAGAGACAAACAUAUAUGAUUUACAACUCUAGAUUAACCAACCCAAUCGAUUCAAUAUGUUUAGUCCUUUCAUCUUUGUGAUCCCACACUCCUAAUCAUAUGAACUAAAAUGUUGCACACUUAAUCUUUGGAAAAUGAUAGUCAUGUAAAGAAAAAAAAUAUAUUUACUUAGAUAGAUUAUCUUUCCAUAAGGUUGAGUGAUCUGAUCUGACAAAUGUUUUAAAUGCUACACUCAUGAUCUUAUUAUUCAUCAACGUUGUCUUGCUCACUAUGCUUAAGGUUAGAGAGAACAAAUACACUUUUGGUUUUGUUGGUGUUUUCCACCAACAAGGCCCAUGCACUUGAUCUCUACCUUGUCUCUAUGAGCAGGUACACUUCGAGCAAAAUAUGAAGGAGUUUUACAAUUCCCAGACUCCAACAAGUGAAGAACCUAGAUCUACGAGCACAAACACACUGGAGAUACUGGACAGUCAGGCAAUCACUGCCCUGAGAUGCUUAAGGACGUAACUUCUAGAGUAACCCUAUUGUGGAAGUAAUUACUGACCUUCUGCCGGUCAAGAGAGGCAAUCCAGGACGCCCUGUCAUCCCGAUCUCCAUCGGCAUGGUGGACUUCCCAGAAGCACUCUGUGACUUUGGCUCCAGCGUCAACAUUAUGCACAGGGUACUCUAUGAAAAAUUCUUUACACAUCCUUUCCUAGAAACAACCAUGUGUUUGCAGCUUGCAGAUCGUACACUAAGUUUCCCAAAAGGAAUAUUGAAGAACCUCUGCAUCCGAGUUGGUACCUUGUACGCCCCAGCAGACUUCGUGGUGAUAGAGACUGGUACUAAUGAGAGGGCACCCAUCAUCCUAUGGAAGCCAUUCCUGAAUACCUCGGGAGCUGUCAUCUACGCUAGUGCUGCCAAGAUUAGUUUCUACAUCAAGGGGAAGAAGGAGACGUUUUCCUUCAAGAAACAAGACGACACAAAUCCCAGAGCAAACCCGACAUGAACCAAGGAAGAGGACCAACAGGAGGAACAAGAACAAGCAAAUGUGUACCGAGUCAGCUAAGAUGGUCACUGCAGCUCAAGGAUGUCAAGAUCGUCAACUCAAGUCACCUUUAUUGAUCAAGAAGGACGACCCUGGUGUCCCAAGCAUCGAGUGCACAAUCAACGGAUAUUCUUUUCAGAAGACACUCUACGACACCGGAUCUAACGUCAACAUAAUGGCCGCAGUCACUUAUCAGCUCCUGCAUGGAACCAUGUCCCUACAAGCAACAUACAUUCAGCUCCAGAUGGCAGAUCAGACAUUCUGAAAGAUUGAAGGUUAUUGACAUGGGAGAAGACGAGUACGAUCCACCCAUCAUCCUUGGAAGACCGUUCUUUAGCACCAUUAAAGCAAUCAUAUACAUUGGAACCAGAGAAGUCCACAUGCACUUCCCCUCAGAGAAGGUACGUCACUGUUUUACUGACCCUAACUAUAUAGUUGAAGACUCUAAGCAGGUCAGGACAAGAAGACGACGACGCAACCGCAACCAGAGGAGGCAAAUCAUCAAGGACGGAUGGGUAGACUAUGAAGGAGAAGUUGUAAGGUCUGAAGACAUAUAACUUGAACAGAACUGUCCUGAGGAGACCGUAGCACCGAGUCAGGUGUGGAAAGAGAAGGUAGUGAUACACGAAGAGGAAGCACCGUCGGAACCACCGACUACACCAUCCAGCGAAUCCCAGAAUGACUCAGGAAACGGAGAGUCCCGUUCGGAGGACUUAAAAACACCGAACGCCUUGCCAAGAGGUAAACUUGGUAGUUAUCUUUUUUUCUUUCAAUUAUUUAAAAUAGUUUGCUUAGUUAAUCAGGUUCACAUCAUCUUGAAAAGAAAAUAAAAAUGUUGAAGAUAGUAAGCCCCAUGUGAGUAUGCUCAUGGCAUAAAACCCAUAAGUACAUUCACUGUGGUGGCAUAAAAAUGAAAUAAAUAUAUUCCUGUCCUAUAAAAAUAAAAUUAUAAGAAUAAAAUUAUGAUCCUACUAAUGAGUAACAUUUAUUGAGGAGGCUCAACAUGAUAAAGGCUAGAUAUUUAUGCUAACACUUAACUAGUUUCACAAAGCUUUGUUGUUUAUUUGAGCUCCAUAGAAUUCAAGGAUCAAAGAAGACUAGCAGACGAUGGACAUCCUAAUCGCUGUCAGGGUGCUGCCGACAUACCUCCGCCACCUGCUGGCUACAUCAGAAGAAAUUACGUCAAAAUCCAGCUUGGGGGAGAGCACCCCCAUUUAUCCAGCUAAGUAUUCUACUCAUGUUUAUACUUUACUCUAAUAAUAAAAAAGAUGCACAAUCAUAAAAACCCAAAUAAAGAUUUUAUGCUUAUAUAUAUAUCUUUGCUUAGUUUGCUAAAUAAAUAAAUAAAUAAAAUUUGCUAUGAACCCUCAUGAUAAGCUCUCACAUGGAAAGAUGAAUAGUUGCUCUGCCAUGACUAGUUCUCAAAAUUGAAAUCUCUCUCAAGUUUAGGCAUCACUGUUAUUAAUUAAGAUUUGCUCUAAACCUGAACUUGUGGGAAGAGUACUUGAUCUAAAGUCUAAGUCGUUAACGAAUAUGAUAUGGGAAGGUUGAGCUGCUGUUUAUCUGUUCCUAGAGAUGCUAGAAUUCUAGAGAAUUUUAUCUUUGAAAAUCUUUAAAAUAUUACAUGAUGAGUUCCCAUAUGAUGAGAGUUUAAAUUCCUACCACAGCCAUAUAUACAUGCUUGCUAGACUUUGAGCCACACAUUUACUUUUUACUGCUUAUGAGCAUUGAGUGUGGUCAAGCUGUGUAGACCCUUAGGAGCUUGUCAUGUGGUUAAGUCAAGAUUCACUUGCACGUUCACACAUACAUGCUGCUUCUACUCUGGAAGUACGCAUCCACACACAUCCACUCAUUUCCAUCUCCAGAGCCACCUAAAAAUAUUCUACUCCUAAUCCGGGAGAGAAUAGCCAAAAACAUUUCUGUUUUACCCCUGUGAAAUAAAUGCUCAAGUUAUCUUGGUUACUACCACUUGCUAUAUUAUUUCAGGAGAUGAGUGCUCUUAAAAAAAGAGAGAGAGAGAAAAAAAGAAAGAAUACGAGGAAAUAAAAAGGGGCAAGUGCCCGAAACCUCGAAAGAAAAGAAAAAGUGAGACGAGAGGUAAAAAUGGACAAGUGUCCAACAGUAGAAUUAGGGGUACAAGAUACCCACCUGAGAGAAAAAAAAGAAAAUAUAGAGCAUCUCAUUCUCCUCAAAAAGUUUCAAAAGAGCAAGAAAGGUAUGUAUCCCCUCAAAAGAGCAAAAGUAGAAUUAGACUUUCACCAUUGUUAUCACCAUCAUCACCAUACACCAUUCAUUCGCCACGCAUGCACAUCUUGAUUUGACUGAUUGACUUGUUCUUCUGGAUCCAUGGUUUGACUAUGCAAUAAAUGUCUUGUAAGUAUGUAUUAGCUGUCUCCCACCUAUGAGCUCCAGAUAUCAAAACCUUAUUAGAGUAGGGUGAGAGAGAAGGCAAUGCCACUAUGCCCCAUACCAAAAAUACUACAUACUUUGAGAGAAGGCAUAUACCAUUACUGCCUUGGUAAGGAUCCAGAAAUACCACAAAAGAGAGACUUGAGAGAGUCAUACAAGGAAUCUCUGAGUUUUGUUUGAAAAUCUGCAAAAACUCCAGAGCUAUAGCUGAUCAAGAAUAAGAGACAUGGUGCUUGACUAGACCGUUCUAUCUUUUAACUACUCAAGACAGAAGUGACGGUUACAAGUCCCAUGGUGAAAGGUAAAUGAGUAAGUUUUAAGUCUUAACAGUUUACUCUAACCAGAGAUGAGAUCUUGUUUAAACGCAUGUGUAUCUUUAAGUUAUGAAACCACUGCAGAAACUCUUGAGUUCAUCUUUGCUCAGUGACGAGCAAAGGUUAAGCUUGGGGGAGCUUGUUGACGGUCCUUAAUGCUCACAAUUAACCAUCAACUAAUCAUAGAAAAGGAUCCAAAUACAACCAACACCUAGACUUAGGGUUUUAUCUAACAGAAUUCCACAAGUUUUGGUGUUUGUCUAUUUCUGCAGGGGGUUAUCAGGAAAUACGGAAGAAAGGCCCACACGUCGGGUUUACAUAGAGAUAUUAACGUGCCGCACAAUUAUCUACCAUCUAGAAGAGUCCAGAAGCCACGGGAGCGAACGGGAGACGUAACGGAGCCGGGCACUGGGCGCCCGCCCUCCCUUACUGGGCGCCCGCCCUCCCUUACUGGGCGCCCGCCCUCCCCCCUGGACCAAUCAGGGUGAAGUUCGGGGAUCAUGCUCCACCGACCUAAUAUUUCAAGGAAAACCACACGAUCAAUGUCGGUUUGAUCCGACGGCCCAGAUUCACUUGAAGGGACUAUAAAACCAGACCCCCUGGCCCCUGGAGAUCAUACCUCUUCUACAGAAUCAAAGCUAGGGUUUCAAUUCUUCAUCCAAGUAGAGAGGAUCCCUCUAGUUCUUCUAGUUCUACCUCUAGUUCAUCUAGAUCUAGUUCUAGUUCAUCUAGUUCUAGUUAUAGUUCCUCUAGUUCUAGUUCUAGUUAGUUCUAGUUGUAAUCUAGAAAAUAGGGAGAGAGAAGAGGAGAGCGGAGGAGGAGCCGGAUUUGUCGGAUCUUCCUCAACAUUGUACUUUUGCAGCAACUGGUUCGUUCUUCAUCGUUCUCCAGGUUCUUCAAUUCAUAAUUCCUGAGUUCUCUAAUUACUUUUAUUUACAUUCAAGUUAUUUAUUGGAUUCCCGCUUGCAUCAAGUGCUCUAGUCUUUAUAACGCUAGAGUAGUAAUUAAUAGAUUAGACGUGGUGUUUAGUCUUGCAAUUACCUGGAAUUGCACCCAAUCCUGCGGAUUGUUGUGGUAGCCUUAGUGUAGUGACAGCCCUAACGGUCGACGUAUUCCACCUCGUUCGGAUCGGUGUUUGUAGGACCGUAGUUAGACCUUCCUAGCCCCCUUCUCAUCUCUUUCUGUGGUUAGUGCUCUGAUGUCCCGAUAUAGACAAUCUUGAAGUAAUUCUUGAUUCUUAGAUCAACUAGAGAACUCUCAGGAAACUUCCUCUCUUCCCACCAAAAAUAAUUAUAUAGUUACCCUUGGGCGAUCUUGGAUCUUAAUUAGUACACUCACGUUCUCUGUGGAAAAUCGAUACUCUGGAAUACUCCCGGGUGAAGGCUACAUCGGUAUCCGUGCGCUUGCGGAUUUUUCUGUUUGCGUUUAAAAUACCCAACAGCGGAAACCCGUCUUCGCCUGAUUCUUCUUCACAGGCAGGCGAUACCGCUGGUUAGGAGUUGGAGCACGGAUCGGUGGCCUAGCUGCCACUGGAGCCUUGGAUUGAGAUGCUCCUGCCCCGGCCUCAAAAGCCCCCUUGCGAGUCUUGGUCGCAGUGUACACAGUGUUGUAGUUUUCUUGGGUAAGAGCAUCACUGACAAACUCAUUGAAAGUUGCACACUUAGUGCGGCCCAUGGUUUUCAGCAACUUGGGGCUCAAACCCCGCUUGAAGCUGGCAAUUUUCUUUGUCUCAGUGUUCACAAACUCAGGAGCAUACCUUGACAAGUGAUUGAAAGCAUGCAAGUACUCCUUCAGAGUUUUGUUGCCCUGAGUCAACUGCAUAAACUCAGUAUGCUUCAUCUCCAUGACACCAGGAGGAAUAAAAUGCCCCUUGAAAGCUUCACGGAAAAGAUUCCAGUCAAGCACAGUGUCGGCUGGAAGAGCUUCCUGAUACUGAUUCCACUAGAUGCCUGCUGGUCCCUGCAGUUGGUGAGCUGCAUACUCAGCCUUCAAACCCGCAGUCAGCCGAAGCAAGCGGAACUUUUGUUCCACCGUGUUCAGCCAUUCCUCGGCUUGAAGGGGUUCUUCCGCCUCUCUAAAAGGUGGGGGCUCAAUAUCCAUGAAAUCCUUGAAACUAUUGUACUGGUUAGGUGCUGGCUCUUCUUGUGCAAUACGACCACCCUGAUUUGCCAUCCGAUUGAUGGUCUCAGUGAGCAUCCUCUGGUUUUCUACCAUCAUUUGCAUCAGCUCAGCUAGAUUUGGUGGUGGAGGAGGGGGUGGGUUCAUGUUCGCACGUUGUUCCGCACCUCGAGUGCCGCGAGACAUCUGUAAAGACACAGUCAGUGAGCAUUGAUGAUGACAAGACUUGCUGUAGAAGAACUUAUAUUUAUGCCUGAAAGUAUUCAAGAGAAUAGCUUUACAGAAAAAGGCACAAUAAUUCAAUUCCACAAAACAACAUCACCAAUCCAACACAUGACAGAGAUAUCCGCAAUAGGCACCACAACGGAAAACAUCGUCAUAACAGAUCGAACAUGUUAAGGUUACACAUUGGGUCCAUAAAGUUAUGACACCAUCACAGUACAUGACAUGCGGCAAGAUCAAGGUUCCGGAUUACAUCAUGAUUACAAAAGCACCACUGCUACUGCCAAACUACAAAAGAUCCUCUCAUAACAACUACCCACUACUCACUACACUCCAUGCUCAUCGUCCGAGUCAGCGUCGAAGAUCGCCUCUCCAUCCUCAUCGCUAACUGGCUCAAGCUCCUCGUCCUCCACGUCCUCGUGCAAGGGUGGUGCAGCCGCUGCUGGUCCAUCUACCUCCAUACCAUCAUCAUCGGCCACAAUCACCUGAGGUCCCACCUCUAGAUACACGAGCAGAAGGCGAGGAAUAGGGAGUAACAAGUUGUUGAGACGGUGAAUCUCCACAAGACCAGCCUCAAUUUGAUCCCGCAUAUAGUUCUCCCGCUCAAGCGACUGAAUCCGGUGCAUCUCCCAAGCCCGGCGCCUGUUCUCUGACACACGGAGUGCAGUAUCCCUCUCACGAGUGACCUGCACCAAGCGCUCCUGCACUGUCUCCCUCUCUCGAGCUAACUGACUCAUCUGAUCCUGCUUAUGAUCUCUCUCCCUAAUAGCCUUCACCCACUGCUGCCUACGGUACUCUGCAAUGUCUUCCCAGUCAUUGCGGUCCUUCUGGGCUUGCUCCAGGAGCCUAGCUUGCUUGCGAAACUUGCGAGCACGCUUUUCAGCCUUCUGUUGCAUCUCCUGAGCCUGGCGAACAGCCACCAUCACCUGUGCAUAAGUGUCCUCUCGCUGACUGAACAGCUUGAGCACAGCCAUCAUAGCACUCAUAGCAGGACUAGAACUCUCAGCUCGCUCUCCCCUGCCUCGGACCAACGCACAACCAUCAGCCUGAUUCCACUCCGCUGCUGCUGGGUCAGCACGGGGAAUGGAGGCCGCUGGUCCUCCGGUCAGCUCAUCACCAAACCUCUGACAGAUAUUGAGCAGCAUAGCCUGGGCUGCAACCUGAGCUCCUUCCCAAGGAGUCUGCCCAUCUGAGUUACAGGUCCACCCUGUCCAUGUAGGCCUACCCCCAUGUGGAGGGACAACUCCCUGCACGGCAAACCACUGCAACUCUCCUGUCAUCUCCACCUCCCACCAAGAAUACUGAGGUGGCUCAGUAUACCCCACAGACUGUAGCACUCUCCAGAGUAAGGUAGGAGUGCCAAACUCGCUCAAGAAGGUGUCACUGGGGCGAGGUGAAGCGGGCACGUCCAUCUGUGGAAAGGAAUAGGAUUACCAUGGGCAGGGACGAAGCCAGAAAAAAAUUUAGGGGGGGCUGAACAAAAAUUUUACAUCAACUUAGCUCUACUAUUAUCCCUUGUAAUAAAAAAAUAUAUUAGUUUAAAGUAGUCUUAGAUUAAAAAUAUAGACCAAUAAUGAAAUUCACAAAAUAUAUCUAAAAAAUAAAUUUCUCAGCCCACCCUACUUUAUAAAUUUAUGUCUAAAAUUAGAAGAAAAACACUAGAAAUUUCACUAGGCCAGCAGCGGUAGGGGGGGCUGGAGCCCCCCUAGCCCCACCGCUGGCUUCGUGCCUGACCAUGGGUAAGAGGAGAUUAAUUUUAAGCAACAUUUAUUUAAUUAAAAGGGAUGACAUGGUAAGGGAAGGAGUAGACAGAAUGUAUGUAUGAAUGCGACAUGAUGCAUGCACGAACCGUACGUCCUCACAAACUUAGAUAAUUAAUAUUCUAACGCAUAUACGGUGGCAUACAUUCGUCUCUCGAUACGAUAACUAGCGAUUUACACGUGCGCUUUUAGAGUACCUGCAGAAAACUUCAUUGCAACCCAACAGUUCCCAAAAUAUCACUCAAGAAAGCAGUAAACUAAGUGCACAUUGCUGGGACAUGCCCAACAUGCACAAACAAUGACACCACAGCUACCCGAAAAAUUAAAUGCUCCCCAAUUAAGUUUCUUUCGUGGUUCCAUGGUUUUGACAUGUAACCACUCCAGAAAAUCACCGCGAACACUCCUCUAGACCACUGUUUGGACGAUCAUGCUCUCACAGCUCACACUUACCAGAGCGUAGGUGCGACGUUGCAUAAUUUAAAUCUAGCGACAUAUGUGGCUAGUUCACAUAUGAAGGCUACCUCCACCAUUAGACCACAGGGUAGCAUAGUGCGGUCAUCACACAUCCAUACCUGAGUACUGCCGGAGAUGCAUAAAAUAAAACCCUCCAAGUCAGUACUUAAAUAGCCACCUAUAGUCCUUAUAUGGGCAAGGAGGAUUCGACCACUGGCAUAAUUAAGUGUUGAUUUUUAAAUUUUUAUUUAAAAACCCUUUUGUUUUUAAAUACACAAACGCUGCAUUUAUAAUGUUGAACUUGCUCCGAUGCCAGCUGUCACAGAACCGACCAAAUUAUAAGAGUUCAAGUGUAGAAACGAUCGACAAGCAAUCAAGUUUCCAAACUUGAGCCCAUAUAAUCCCGGUAGUCAACUGAAAUCACAAAGGACUUCAAACCAACUUGCAACAAACCAAGAUCUUAAUAGCUCAGCACAACACAGCGAAUGUUACAUAGUCAUUCAUUGCCGUCGAAGCGGCACCACAUCGGAGUUACUUAGUUAUUACAACACAUGUUUGUAGUAGCGGAAGCAAAAUAGUUUACACACACUUUCCAAAGUUCAGUUCAUAAGUUCUUGUUAUAGCCAGAGUCGUACACCAUCCAUCCAAAAGCAGCAGGUACGAGUUGGUUAGAGAACCGUGCCCAACGGUUAGUCCUCAUCCCCAGCGGGAUGGAGACAGGUCUUGCAGAAGCCAUCAUAAAAGAUAUCAUCUGCAACAGGUGGGAAUAAACCCUGAGUACGAGAAUGUACUCAGCUAGACUUACCCAUCUAGUAAAACAUAAAAGACACCAAGGAUCAUGCAAGGCUAAAAUCAAGUGGAGCUGGUUGACUCAACAUUUACCAAAAGCUUAAAUUAUAACUACAAUGUUGUGAGAGCGUCAUAUUAAUCAUCAUUAGCCUACCAUAAGAUUAGCACCUGUACUAAAGCACUUCACUUGACUAUUACAAGCAAUAAUAACCAUAUCAAAUUCAUCAUAUGUUCUCCUUGCUAUCAUCAUUAUCACGAACCAAGUUCAUUAGUGAAUCCUACGUUUGCCGCUGCUCUGUCAAGUUCUCACUAACCGGGAGAGACGGCGAUUCGAAUCGAAUUCAUAUCCAGCUGGAGGGGUAUUCCUAGCACUCACCCAAGCAUCCCCCGUCGGAGAGCCAACGUGUCACCUUUGGUAUGACUUAGGAAUCACGGUUCCGAUCAGCGCCGCACUCCCAGGGCUACCACUCUGCUAGGUGUUGACGGUCCUUAAGUAUCAAAUUUAAUUAUCAAAUAAACAAAGAAAAGGAUCCAAAUGAAAUCAACAUCUAGACUUAGGGUUUUAUCUGACAGAAUUCCACGAGUUUUGGUGUUUGUCUAUUUCUGCAGGGGGUUAUCAGGAAAUACGGAAGAAGAAAGGCCCACACGUCGGGAUUACAUAGAGAUAUUAAUGUGCCGCACAAUUAUCUUACAUCUAGAAGACUCCAGAAGCCACGGGAAGGAAGCGGAGGCCGAACGGGGCCAGAGGCAGGGUGCCCGCCCUGUUUCCCUGGGUGCCCGCCCCCUCUCUAAGUCCAAACAGGACUCUGUUUCGUGGGAGAUCUCCACCGACCUAAAGGAUCAAGGAUAACCGUUCAAUCAAUGUCGGUUUGACCCAACGGCCCAUAUUCACUUGAAGGGACUAUAAAACUAGACCCCCUGGCCCCUGGAGGAGAGAGCCUCUCAACCCUAAUUCAUUAUUCCUCAAGGGAGAAGUAUUGAGCUACCACAUCAAUUAGAUAUCUAGAUUAGCAUAGCUACAUAGGAUUAGAACUAGAAGGAGUCAAUCUUCGAUUGGUUUCUGGAUCUGUCAAGAGGAUUCUUGGUAAUUCUCUAAUUGUGCUUCUAAUUGUUCUUCUAAUAAUCUUUUUUCUUCAAUAUUAUGAAUAUGACUUUGUUCUACUUCAAUAUAUUACUUAUGACUUUGCUCUACUUGUUUAUAUUCAAGAUUAUAUUAUUCUUAGUUUAUCAUAGUUAUGUACUUGGCUUAGUUAGAUUGGAUCUAUAUACAUGCUUAGGAUCGUAUAGCAUUUAUCCAUCGGAUCCAUGGGUAAAUGAUAGAUAUUGUGUAGGCGUGGUGCUUAUACCGUAUUUAUCUGCGAUUGUACCCAAUAUGCUAGAUCGUGGGGUAGUUCGUGAUAGUGACAGCUUCAUUGAUUCUUGUAUAGUCCCCCUCUCGUGUAUUGGGCUGGCAGAGCAAUAUUAUUACAGGGGAGUGAUUGCUAUGUUUCUCAUUUACCUUGCUAAUAUCACUAUGCAUGGGCGUAGUCUUGUCUCGCAAUGAUUGCUAAGUAUGCUUGCACUAACUAUGAUAAUGCUAGACUAUAUAGUUGAGAAUAACUUAGGAAAUAUUCUUGUAGUUCGUUCUAAUACCCUGCUAAUGACUUUCUAGAGUAUCUAAUUGAGGUGUUUAUCAUAUUUAUAUGUGGCUGAUCAGAUUAAAUAUCUUUGUCCCUAUUCAUUACUUCAUAUAUCUUUUAUGUGACACUUAUCCCUGUAUGAAAGAGUUAGAUAAAUGUUCUCAAUUAUACAUGCAAUGAUAGAUACUCAAUCUCAUAUUCUAUUCUGUAAUCAAUAUUGAUGAUUGCUAAUCCCUUCCCAGUGGUAAAAAUAUAAAUAACGAUACCUGGAAUACUUCCCGGUUAAAAUGCUACAUCGGUAUUAAUCUGUGCGCUUGCAGAUCCCAUUCAUUAUUUAUUUAGAAGAGCAAUUGCAUAUUUCAAUACUGCGUCUCUCAUGUCAUGCUGGGGAUGACAACUUGGCUUAAGUGGUAUGAGGGAUAGGUUUGGCAUUUUUGGCACCGUUACUAGAAUUAGAAAACUGUCUACUUUUGGUAAUGAUGUUAAGAAUACCCAACAAGCAUUUUUUGGCGCCGUUGCCGGGGAAGGUUGAUUACUAAUGAGGAAUGAAUAAAGGAUUUUGAGUUAUCAUUCGCAUCACUAAUAUGAUUGAGCUUAUCUAUUCUCUCAUACAGUUUUACCCUGGUAUUUUUCUAUUUUAUCUUAUCCAGGGGAAUGUAUGAAUAGAAGACAUCUUCCAGGAAAUUUUGUUGACAAUCCAGAAGCCUUAUUCAGAAAAACUAGAGCCAAGCUCAAGAAGAGAUCAUCAACACUUCAGCAAGAAGCUUCAUCCAAUCAAGAAGAUCACCAGAACUUGUCUUCAGAGUUCGAAGCCAUGGCGAACAAAUCAAUCCGCAAGUUCUCAGCUGUACGGACCUGCUGCAGAGAUCGACGGCAACUUUGAGCUCAAGCCUGGACUUAUCAACAUGGCGCAAUCCAACCAGUUCUGUGGGAAGGCACAUGAAGAUGCUAGUGCCCAUCUCCAACACUUCCUGGAGAUUUGCAGCACAUUCACCAUAUCAGGAGUUCCCAGAGAUGCUAUACUACUUCACCUCUUCCCAUUCUCACUGUUAGGAAGAGCGAAGCAGUGGUUCUACGCUACAAAGGAGAAGAAUACUACGUGGGCACUCUGCUCAACAAACUUCCUGGCUAAGUUCUUUCCCAUGGGCAAGACCAAUGCUCUUCGUGGGAAAAUUACAAGUUUUCAGCAACAAAAUGAUGAAUCUGUUCCAGAAGCAUGGGAGCGUUUCCAAGACUACAUCCUAGAAUGUCCCCAUCAUGGAAUGGAGAGUUGGCUAUUGAUGGAGACAUUUUAUCAUGGGCUCGGCAACCGUGCCCGAGAGACCAUGGAUGCUGCAGCUGGAGGAGCAUUUUUAUCACUUACUAUACCACAAGCCACAGCUCUUGUGGAGAAGAUGGCGUCCAACCAAGGCUGGAAUGAAGAGAGGACCCAGACACGCAAGAGAGGUGGAGGUAUGCAUCAGCUCAAGGAAGUAGACAUGCUGUCUGCAAAGCUAGACCUGCUCAUGAAGAAGCUCGACGAUAGAACUGGAGAUAAGAAGGAAGUUAUGCACAUCUACGACUCUCACAUGACUUGUGAGGAGUGUGGAGAUACUGGACACUCAGGCAAUCACUGCCCUGAGAUACUUGAGGAUGUGAACUACAUCAACAAUAACAACAACAACAACUACAACCGUCCUCAACAAAAUCAAGGUUGGAAUCAACAGAGGCCUAACUACUCAGGAUUAAAAUCUACAAAUCUUGUAGACAUGUUUGAUGCAGGUAAUUAGAGUAACCCCGUCACUGAAGUUACUACUGACCUUCUGCCGGUCAAGAAAGGUGAUCCAGGAUGCCCCGUCAUCUCGAUCUCCAUCGACAUGGUGGACUUCCCAGAAGCACUCUGUGACUUUGGCUCUAGCGUCAACAUUAUACCCAGGGUACUCUAUGAAAAAUUCUUUACAUAUCCUUUAUUAGAAACAACCAUGUGUUUGCAGUUUGUAGAUUAGACGAUAAGUUUUCCAAAAGGAAUAUUGAAGAACCUUUGUGUCCGAGUUGGUACCUUGUACGCCCCAGCGGACUUCGUGGUGAUAGAGACCGGUAAUGAUGAGAGAGCACCCAUCAUCUUAGGGAGGCCAUUCUUAAACACCUCGGGAGCUGACAUCUACGCUAGUGCUGCUAAGAUCAGUUUCUACAUCAAAGGGAGGAAGGAGAUGUUUUUCUUCAAGAACAAGACUACACAAAUCCCAGAUCAAUCCAGACGUGAAUCAAGGAAGAGGACCAAUAGGAGGAACAGGAACAAGCAAGUGUGGACCGAGUCAGCGAAGAUGGUCACUGCAGUUCAUGGAGGCCAAGAUCAUCAACUUAAGUCACCGUUUUUGACCAAGAAGGAUGACCCAGGAAUGCCAAGCAUCUAUUGCUCCAUAAAUGGAUACAACUUCUACAAGACGUUUUGCGACACCGGAUCGGGCGUCAACAUAAUGGCCGCAGUCACCUAUCGGCUCUUGUUCGGAACCAUGCCACUAAGACCAACAUACAUUCAGCUCUAGAUGGCAGAUCAGACAUUUCGAGAAGUUAAAGGAAUAGUAACUGAUGUCCCAGUCAAAAUAGAUGAUCAUUUUUUCUACACAGACUUUCAGGUUAUUGACAUGGGAGAAGAUGAGUACGAUCCACCCAUCAUCCUUGGAAGACCGUUCCUCAGCACCGUUAAAGCAAUUAUCUACAUUGGAACCGGAGAAGUCCAUAUGCACUUCCCCUCUGAGAAGGUACGACGCUAUUUUAUUGACCCUAACUAUAUCUUUGAAGAAUCUAAGCAGGUCAGGAAACAACGCAACCGCAACCAGAGGAGGCAAAUCAUCAAGGACGGAUGGGCAGACUACGAAGGAGAAGUGAUAAGAUCAGAAGACGUAGAGUUUAAACAGAAUUAUCCAGAGGAGACCGUAGCACCGAGUCAGGUAUGGAGAGAGAAGAUAACUAUACAUGAAGAAGAGGCGCCGCCGGAAGUACCGACUACAUCCGAGGACAAUCGAGAAAGAGAAGAGUCCCGUUCGAAGGACUUAAAAACACCGAAAGCCUUGCCAAGAGGUAAACUUGGUAGUUAUCCUUUCCCUUUCAAUUAUUUAAAAUUGUUUACUUAGUUAAUUAUGCUAUCUUAAAAAAAGAAAAUAAAAAUGUGAAAAAUAGUAAGCCCCAUGUGAGUAUACGAGUGGCAUAAAACCCAUAAGUACAUUCACUAUGGUGGCAUAAAUAUAAAAUAAAAAUAUUUCUUUUCUGCUUUAUAAAAUGAAAAUAUAAAAAUAGGAGUAACAAUUAUUGAGGAAGCUCAACAUGAUAAAGGCUAGAUAUUUAUGCUAACACUUAAUCAGUUCCACAAGCUUUGUUGUCUAUUUGAGUUCCACAGAAUUUAAGAAUCAAGAAGACUAGCAGACGGAGGACAUUCUAAUCGCUGUCAGAAUGCUGCUGACUUUCAAAUACACCUCUACCACCUGCUAGCUACAUCAAGAGAAAUUACGUCAAAAUUCAGCUUGGGGGAGAGCACCCCCAUUUAUCUCGCUAAGUAUUUCUAUCUAUCUUUAUACUUAUAUUAUAUUAGAAUAUAAAUAUAUAUAACUAUGAAAAACCAAAUAAAGAUUUUGUGCUUAUAUAUAUAUCUUUUGCUUAGUGUGUUUAAUAAAUAAAUAAAGUGGUUAUGCUAAUCUGAAUCUUAAUAAUAAAACUCUAGCAUGGAUAUGAUGAAUAGUUGCUCUGCCUAAUUUACACAUUUUAAGUUCUCUCUCAAGUUUAGACAUAACUGUUAUAAUUUAAAGCUUGUUCUAGACUUAAACUUGUGGGAUGAAAACUUGAUCUGAAGUCUAAGUUGUUAACGGUUAUGAUAUGGGAAGGUUGAGCUGCUGUUUAUCUAUUCCUAGAGAUGCUAGAAUUCUGGAGAAUUUUAUCUUUAAAAAUCUUUAAAAUGUUGCAUGAUGAGUUCCUGUAUGAUGAGAGUUUAAAUUACUACCACAGCCAUAUAUACAUGCUUGCUAGACUUUGAGCCACACAUUUACUAUUUACUGCUUAUGAGCAUUGAGUGUGGUCAAGCUGUGUAGACCCUUAGGAGCUUGUCAUGUGGUUAAAUCAAGAUUUCACUUGCACGUUCACUCAUAUAUGCUACUUCUACUCCGGAAGUACCAUCCACAAAUAUCCACCCAUUUCCAUCUCCAGAACCACCCAAAAAUAUUCUACUCCUAAUCCGGGAGAGAAUAACAAAAAAUAUUUCUGUUUUUCCCUUGUGAAAUAAAUGCUCAAGUUAUCUUGUUACUACCACUUGCUAUAUUAUCUCAAGAGAUGAGUGCUCUAAAAAAACGAGGAAAUAAAAAGGGGCAAGUGCCCGGAACCUCGAAAGAAAAGAAAAAGUGAGACGAGAGGUAAAAAUGGACAAGUGUUCGACAGUAGAAUUAGGGGUGCAAGAUACCCACCUGAGAGAAAAGAAAAAAAAAGAAGAGCAUCUCAUUCUCCUCAUAAAGUUUCAGAAAGCAAGGAAGGUAUGUAUCCCCUCAAAGAGAAAAAAUAGAAUUAGACUUUCACCAUUGUUACCAUCAUCACCAUAUACCAUUCAUCCGCCACACAUGCACAUCUUGAUUUGACUUAUUGAUUUGUUUCUUUGGAUCUAUGGUUUGACUAUGCAAUACAUGUCUUGUAAGUAUGUAUAUUUUAUCUCCCACCUAUGAGCUCCAGAUAUUAAAGCCUUAUUAGAGUAGGGUGAGAGAGAAGGCAAUAUCACUAUGCCUUAUACCACAAAUACCAUAUAUAUAUUGAGAGAAGGCAUAUACCAUCACUGCCUUGGUAAGGAUCCAGAAAUACUACAAAAGAGAGAUCUAAGAGAAUCAUACAAGGAAUCUCUGAGUUUUAUUUGAAAAUCUGCAAAAACUCUAGAGCUAUAGCUGAUCAAGAAUAAGAGACAUGGCACUUGACUAGACUGUUCUAUCUUUUAACUACUCAAGACAGAAGUGACGGUUACAAGUCCGAUGGUGAAAGGUAAAGUAAGUAGGUUUUAAGUCUUGAUAGUUUACUCUAACUCAGAGAUGAGACCUCAUUAAAAAGCAUGUGUACCGUCAAUUUUUAAAGAUAUUGCAACAACUUCUGAUCCAUCACUGAGUCUAUCCUUGCUCAGGGACGAGCAAGAGGUAAGCUUGGGGGAGUUUGUUGACGGUCCUUAAGUAUCAAAUUUAAUUAUCAAAUAAACAAAGAAAAGGAUCCAAAUGAAAUCAACAUCUAGACUUAGGGUUUUAUCUAACAGAAUUCCACGAGUUUUGGUGUUUGUCUAUUUCUGCAGGGGUUAUCAGGAAAUACGGAAGAAAGGCCCACACGUCGGGAUUACAUAGAGAUAUUAACGUGCCGCGCAAUUAUCUUACAUCUAGAAGACUCCAGAAGCCACGGGAAGGAAGCGGAGGCCGAACGGGGCCAGAGGCAGGGCGCCCGCCCUGUUUCCCUGGGCGCCCGCCCCCUCUCUGAGUCCAAACAGGACUCUGUUUCGUGGGAGAUCUCCACCAACCUAAAGGAUCAAGGAUAACCGUUCAAUCAAUGUCGGUUUGAUCCAACGGCCCAUAUUCACUUGAAGGGACUAUAAAACCAGACCCCCUGGCCCCUAGAGGAGAUAUUUAGAUUAGCAUAGCUACAUAGGAUUAGAACUAGAAGGAGUCAAUCUUCGAUUGGUUUCCGGAUCUGUCAAGAGGAUUCUUGGUAAUUCUCUAAUUGUGCUUCUAAUUGUUCUUCUAAUCAUCUUUGUUCUUCAAUAUUAUGAAUAUGACUUUGUUCUACUUCAAUAUAUUGCUUAUGACUUUGCUCUACUUGUUUAUAUUCAAGAUUAUAUUGUUCUUAGUUUAUCAUAGUUAUGUACUUGGCUUAGUUAGAUUGGAUCUAUAUACAUGCUUAGGAUCGUAUAGCGUUUAUCCAUCAGAUCCAUGGGUAAAUGAUAGAUAUUGUGUAGGCGUGGUGCUUAUACCGUAUUUAUCUGCGAUUGUACCCAAUAUGCCAGAUCGUGGGGUAGUUCGUGAUAGUGACAGCUUCAUUGAUUCUUAUAUAGUCCCCCUCUCGUGUAUUGGGCUGGCAGAGCAAUAUUUUUACAGGGGAGUGAUUGCUAUGUUUCUCAUUUACCUUGCUAAUAUCACUAUGCAUGAGCGUAGUCUUGUCUCGCAAUGAUUGCUAAGUAUGCUUGCACUAACUAUGAUAAUGCUAGACUAUAUAGUUGAGAAUAACUUAGGAAAUAUUCUUGUAGUUCGUUCUAAUAUGAUGCUAAUGACUUUCUAGAGUAUCUAAUUGAGGCUCUUAUCAUAUUUAUAUGUAGCUGAUCAGAUUAAUUAUCUUUGUCACUAUUCAUUACUUCAUAUAUCUUUUAUGUGACACUUAUCCCUGUAUGAAAGAGUUAGAUAAAUGUUCUCAAUUAUACAUGCAAUGAUAGAUACUCAAUCUCAUAUUCUAUUCUGUAAUCAAUAUUGAUGAUUGCUAAUCCCUUCCCAGUGGUAAAAAUAUAAAUAACGAUACCUGGAAUACUUCCCGGUUAAAAUGCUACAUCGGUAUUAAUCUGUGCGCUUGCAGAUCCCAUUCAUUAUUUAUUUAGAAGAGCAAUUGCAUAUUUCAAUACCGCGUCUCUCAUGUCAUGCUGGGGAUGACAACUUGGCUUAAGUGGUAUGAUGGAUAGGUUUGGCAUUUUUGGCACUGUUACAAGAAUUAGAAAACUGUCUACUUUUGGUAAUGAUGUUAAGAAUACCCAACACCAGGGAGGUCAGGAAUUUUAACUCACCUGCCUUUGGGCUUACACCAAUGGUCCCCCGCACACCGCACUUCCUCCGGUAGUGCGCACUUUAUACUUAUCGGCCUUCCGGCCUGAGUCAUAUUACUAGGCUUCGCGGUCGGAACGAGUUAUCGAGCCAACUAAGUGUUAGGCAUGCGUUCAACAUGACAAGAGGACGUACAACGGUCGGUCCUUAGCCGCCACAGACGGAGUUACUACAACCUUGCAAAACUCCGCCCGGCUUAAGUCAAUUUAAUCAGGUUCCAUCCACGAUAGCACAUAUAGUCCAUCGUGAUCCGACAUAACCCUAUAUCGCGCAGGUGACAGGAUAUCACCCGACUUCUACCGAUUAAAGCAUGGCUAAGCUGCUACUCGAUCCUAACUCUAUAACUAGGUAGUGGUAAGAUAUCUGGACAAGGAAUGAGUAAAAUGCAGCAAAAGUUUCAUCACAACUCCUAUACGUAAAUGCAUCAAUAGAUUUAACAUAUUCAAGUAAACUUUCGAAAAUAAAGGGAGACUUAGGAUGCUCCGGGGCUUGCCUUUCACGAACGAAGCUGGUUCGUGGUUCGGGCACUCAACUUCUUCUUCGGGCAUCUCGAGUCCGGCUUGCUGGACCUCCACCUCCAGGUUGCCCUCCUGUCCUUGGGGGUUCACUUGAAGCUCGUAGGAGGCGGUCGCGUCCGGUGCACCUAUUGCAUACUCGAUGAAUAAGAAAAUGUGCAUACUAAAGGAUGAAUGCUUGACACAUAAUUAAACUCACUGGACACUCAUUUAUGGAGUAACGGUUAUCACAAGUUCACACAAGAUAGUAAGUUAACUUAGCCAAAAUCUACCAAGAUAACCUAUAAACAGCAAGCAUUACAUAAAGAACAGCUCAGAAAACAGGUCAUAACUAAUGCUAGACAGAUCCAACAAACCUAAGUGAGGAUAUUCUGGAAAGCUUAUGAAAUUGCCUACAAAUCAUCUUUAAACAUCACAGCAAGAUUCAUAAGUUAAACAAGCCUUAUAAACAAAGUUUCAGGUUCUGUCCCAGAAAAACACAAAGCACCUAUUUCUAGAAUCCAACUUGGAACAGCCAUAACUUUCAAUAAACCACAGGUAGUUCAUAAAGUUUACAACAACUUUGAUUUAGACAAGUCUUCUAGAUAACCAAGUUUUUAAUAAGCAAAGAUUGAAUUACUUCCUUGCUGUCCAGAACAGCUUUUAACCCUUUAAUUAAUUAUUUGAUGACAUGGCCAACACAUAAUCAGUGUCAACCACAUGACUUAUAAGCACAAACAUAUCAUAAGGUUACCAGAACAUCAUAUGAUAACUUCUAAACAUUUGUUAACAAGGCCUUUAAUAAUUUAAUUCUAUAAAAGAGCAUAAUUACAAGAUACUAGCAAAAGUGCUCAGAAAAAUCUACAAAAAUUACAGAAGCACAAGCAGAGCAUGGUGACAUCACCAUAAAAAUUUCAGAGCAAUUGCACAUACUAAAUUAAAGAUAUGUAUUUAACAUGUGACAAGGCUCUUAUUUCAUAAAUUCAGAAACAUGACUUAUAUGGUACCAAACAACAGAUUUCAGAUUAUUUACAUGUUACCAGUACCAUAAACAAGUUUGUCACCAAAGUGGAGUAUCAGCAUAAUCACCAAUGAUUUAUUAUGAUUUUAAUAAGAAAACAAGCCAUAUCUCAAUCAUAAAUUACAUAUCAAAGAUGCAGUACUCAAAAAGUCAUGAAAUAUUCAUCAUAGCAUUCUAGUACCACAUAGAGACUACCAUAAAAAUUUCAUGGCAAAAGGAGCAGUAUAACAGAAGAUAUGAAUUUACUCAUGAAUAACAAGAUUAAAUCCUAAUAAAUAGUUUUCCUAGAAAACAUGGUCCAUUUUAUUUUUUAAUAAAAACUAGCCAUCUCAAGGAACAUCACAAAAUUGGUUUCGCAAUUUUUGGAUCACUAGAACUAGAGAUAUGAUUUUUGCAAGAAAUCCAAAAAUCUGGAAUUUGAAUAAAAGGAAGGAGACCGUUGAGUCACUGACAAUGGGUCCCGCGCGUCAGCGACCCAGAGAACAAGGGACUCCUUCGCCGGCAAAUGCUCGCCAACGGUGAGCUUCUCUGGCGGAUCCAAGGGCACCAGCGUGCUCCUGGAGUGAUUCUGCAUCGAUGGAGGUAAGUGGCGCUAGGGUUUCGGCUACGGAGAGGGGUCGCCGUUGGCCAUGGCGGCACGACGGAGCUACCCCGGCUUACGCCGGCCAUCUCCGACCGGUAGAGCGUCGGGGAAGGGCGGCUUAAGCACCAGUGAGUUAGCGCGGAGCUUUCUAGGUAGAAACGCCUAACCCUAAUGGCUCCGGUGAGUCUGCUCACGUGCAAGGUACUCGUCGGCGGUGAGCACGGCGGUGCGGCGGCCGUGUUCCCACGCGAUGGUGAUGCCUCAGCCGUAAUGGCAUGGCGUGGACCGACAUCAAGACCUAAGCCGACCUUAACAUGACUCAGAAGGGAGAAAGGAAGUAAGGAUGGAGCAGCGGCGAGGUUCGCCGGAAUCGGUGUCGCGACGGCCGUGAACCCGACGACGACGAACUCGCGAAAUGUCGCUCACCUCAGGGAGAUCUCGUCCAACCGAGGGGUGGAGAAGAUGUAGGAGCUCGAGGCGAACUUGGAGACGCUCGGAGGCGAAGCAAAACGCAGAGGCGAGUGCGCGAGGAGCUCGCGAAGUUCUCAGCAGCAAUGGCGACGGCGUUUCCGCCUAGCGGAGCGCGAGAGAGAGGAAGGAAGAGAGUGGACGGGCGCUGAGUGAGUGCGGGGUGUCGUGGCGUCCAUGCCAACGCCGACGACCUGACGAGCGGGGCCAAUGCCGGCGUACGGGCGCCAACUGGCGGACAGAUGUCGCGCUGCGCGUCCACGACGGCGAGCUCGGUUCUGAAUGAGGCGACGCGAUCACCGUCUGACAGAGCAACUUCGACGGCGAUUAACUCCCAAACCAAAACGAGUUAGGAGAUGAUGUAGUUGACAAAGUUGGAGUACUAGCUGAGUUCUACAUCUUUGUCAACUGGAGCAAGAGCCAAAUCAGCCUGGACUGAGAGAUAUGAGAUUUCCAAAAUGGUUCGAGCAAACUGCUCGCGCCACGACCUAGCCAAAAUCGACUAAGUGCUAAAAGAGCACCAAAAACUGCCUUGUAGGUCACUUUUGAGCUAGAUGUCUUCAUUUUCAUGAGAUGGCCAUAAAACAACUUUUGUUCCUUAUAAAAUUUGCUACAACUUUGCUGUAGAAAGUUUUGACAUGCAAACAUUUUAUGAAACACUUUUUAAAAGCCUAAGCAAAAGAGAUUUCUAGGGCCUAUUUGAGUAAGUAUGACUUAAGUGAUUAUUUUGGGGAAAUGAUCAACAUGAACAUUGUUCCUAAUGUUGAGUUAAGCAUAGAUAAACUAAUUACCAAGGCAUAACACACAAACAUGAGCAUGGUUCACACAAACAUAAGCAUAGGAAGCCUAUUUAAACAACUUAAAUCACAUUUUUACAUAGAAUGACAUGGCUCAAGGUAGAUGAUGAUCAUGAUAUGCUUGAGAGACUAAUGAUGCUCAUGUUAUGCAUAUGAUUUAUGCAACCAUAACACUGGGGUGUUACAUAGCUCUUCUCGUCUUUCGCGCUGCAGUCUCCUUUUUUGUGUCUUAGUCAACCCCUCUGGACACCAUGGAGGAAGUGGUGACUGCCUUGCCGAUGGACGACGACGUUCCCUUGACUCCAUCCGAUGAGUAUUAGCGUCCCUGCAAAAUAUGAACUCAUCGGGAACUCGUGCAUUAGCCAUCUCUUCCAGCUCUUCCUGGUUCCUGGGAAAAUAUUCAACACGAUCACCAAGCCUAUCGUGCACACGGAGUCUGCCCCCAGCCGAUCAUGAACGGACGCUCUCCCCCUAAUCGGCCCAUUAAAUCGCCGAUUAUCAUCGUGAUAGCGUCGAUCGGAUCUGUCAUACCAAUCAUAACCAUUGCAUUCAGGACAGUCUCUAACAGUGGGCAACUUGAUGUUCUGCUCCCAGCAAUGGAUAAAGAACGGGCAGUUCUAAUGAUCCUUGUGUCGAUUCCACUCUUGACGGCGUCUUUCUUCUUCCCGACGAUAGUCUUCUUGCUGGCGCCGACACCGAUCUUCGCGUUGCUGCCAAGUCUCCCGAGGCCUUCUAUGAGUUAUCACAAUACCAGAUCGAGGAGGCCUUCCUGAGCUAUUUCCUUCCUGAAUCAAGCCUUUUCCUUUCGCAUCGGCGGUAGUGAUCUGAUGCUGAGGAUCCACCAACGCACUUCUUUCAGCUGCUUCUGACGUCAAGACCUUGGCUUUUCCCUUAGCAUCCAGCAUAUUUGUCGAGAAAGGAUGUUGAUCAAUCUUCAUCGGCUUCUGAGUUUUGGAAUUAUCAAAUUUGAUUCUCCCAGAUUCUAUAGCCGAUUGCAGCUGUUGCCUAAAAACCUUGCACUCGUUGGUGCUGUGAGAAGUUGCAUUCUGCCACUUGCAGUAUUUCAUCUUCUUUAAUUCUUCAGCCGAUGGAAUUACAUGAUUGGGUGACAAUUUGAUCUGACCUUCCUGAAGUAGGAAGUCAAAUAUCCUAUCGGCUUUGGUGAUAUCAAAUGCGAACUUCUCUGGCUCUUUAUGCCCAAAAGGACAAGACAUCGGCUUCUUAUUUUUCACCCACUCUGCCAAGCCGAUGACUGGCUCUUCAUCAGAAUCUGAGCUUACUGCCUCAUCAAUAAAUGACACCUUUUUAUUCCAAGCUCUCUUAGGUUCAAAGGGUUUGAUAUCCUGGUCGGAAAUCCUCUGGACCAAGUGACUUAGGCUCUCGAACUCUUGAGAAGCAUAUUUGUCCCUGAUAUGUGGCAACAACCCUUGAAAAGCCAAAUCGGCUAGCUGCCGAUCAUCUAAAACUAGACUAUAGCAUUUAUUCUUAACUUCCCACAACCUCUGCACAAAACUUUCAACCGAUUCAUCAUUGCGCUGCUUCAAUCUAACCAAAUCGGUAAUCUUCUUUUCAUGGACUCCAGAAAAGAAAUACUUGUGGAAUUGCUUCUCCAGAUCGGCCCAGGUGAUCACUGAGUUAGAAGGUAACGAAAUAAACCAAGUAAAAGCCGAUCCAGAUAAAGAUGAUGAGAACAAGCGAAACCUUAACUCAUCUCUGUUAGCAGCUUCCCCACAUUGGAUGAUAAACCUGUUGACAUGCUCCAUAGUCGAUGUAUCAUCCUGCCCAGAAAACUUAGUGAAAUUCGGUACCUUGUAUCGAUUUUUAAGUGGGAUUAAAUCAUAUGCAGGAGGAUACGGUGUCCGAUAAGAGUAAGUGUUGACUUUGGGUUUUAUCCCAAAUUGGUCUCUCAUUACUUCAGCAAUCUUAUCGGCCUAAUAAGCAUCGACAUCUUGCCGAUGGGGUGGUUGUGGAUCUGGCACCUGCUGGUAAGCUUCCACGUGUCGCUGGGGUGCACGAUCUGCAUGGAACAUGGGAUUAACCAUAUGACCACCAAUCUGCUGACCCAGAUUCAUCAGCUGGUUGAUCAAUCCUUGAUUCUGAAACCCAGGUUGGACCUGUCCUUGUUGGAAUCCAACAGCCUGAUGAUUCUACUGAGGCAUCUGUGGAAAGACUAGCUGCCCUGUCCAUCCAUUAUGAGCAUUCAUCGGCAUGAACCCUGCCGAUGACUGAAGAUUGGGCAUCAUCAUUGAAUUGCCAAACCCUAGUUGUGUCAUGAACCUCUGCUGCGUUAGCAUUGAAUCUGCUGAUGCGUUAGGCAUCUGAAACAGUGGAGCUUGAGAAUUCCCAGUGUAAGGUCUUGCAGUAGUAGUUGUACUAUACUGGGGACUCUGAUUCAUCGGCAAAUUUGGAGGUGCCGGUGCCAUAGGAGCCUUGCCGCUCGUGUCAGCCGUCAGAGAUGUUCCAGGAGUCUUCAACAUCAUCUCUGGGGGCAUACCAUAACCCCACCAGUUGGGAGGAAUGGACCCUGACAUUGCCGAUGCCAAUAGAUCUGUGGUAAGCUUGAUCUGCUCAUCUGAAGUUGAUGGAUUGGUCGUCAUCGGUGUAGAUUGCGCGUUAGUGACUCCUAACGUGCUUGGAGGAACGGUAGUUUCUGUACCCGCAGCGGCCGUAGCAGCCGAUGGAGCCAUGACCACUGGUGAUCCUGGCUGAUGAUAGACAGGGCCCACAUAGUUUGGUGGCAAUUGUCCCUCUUUGAAAGUUCUAGCCACGGCGUUGAAAACCGUAUUGGACAGCACACCAGCUUGAUUGAUCAUGGCACGAUUAAUAGCACUAUCAACCAUGUCUUGAAGUUUACUAGGAUUGGCUUCAAAAGUAACCUGCCGAGGCGCCGGCAGUGCUUCCUUCUGGAUCACCUCGCCACUCCUGUUGAUACUGAAGGACUUCAAACAUUGCUGCUUGUAAUCCUCCAUAGCUUUUGCAAUAACUUGCUUCUGCUCAUCUCUGAGAUUCGCUUCCGUCACGGGGAUGACGUUCUCCAAACCGAAUUCGGUAGUCGACAUAUCGAUCUUGAUCUUGAAUUUGUCCCACCGGGCGUGCCAAAAGAUGUGUUGGUGCAAAAGUGGAUCUACAAACACAAAGGGCUAAUACCCGAUUCAAACGUUAAGGCGUGCCAGCCGAUUUGACCUUAAUAUCGGCAAAGGUGAUAACUCGAAUACUUUGGUCCCGACAACAGCGAUGCGCCCGGAUGCCACGGCCAAGAGGUAUUCACACGGAACUCGAGAAUACGCCGAGCUUAAGUCAACGAACUCCUAAGAACUCAUAAUAAAAAGGAAAAUAUGACGAAGUCGUCGAAAAAGUAGAUGCUGGAAUAUGAGUAAAAACUUGUGUUUGAUUGAUUGAUAGAUAUCUCAUUACAAGGCCUUAGGGUACAUUUAUACCCUGCUCAAAGAGCUACAAUCAGACACGACUAGGACUCGAAUUCCAAUUUAAAUAGAAUCCGUAUACAAAAUGAUUCUAAAUAACUAAGGAAAACAUAGAACCACCCCCUCAUAACCGACCGGGACACCGCCACAGAUCAAUUGGCAGCCUCCACACUUCCCUUCAGAGUCAUCGGCAGUCUUCCUGUUAUGGCCAUCGGCAAACACCAAUAUUGAUCAUCGGCAAGAACACGUCACCACCUCUGGACUUAGUCAUAUUCAAUCGUCUCUUCAUCGGCAACUAUCCUCAUCGGCAACUCUUCUGCAGGCUAGUUACCGUUGCUCCACCUGCCGAUCUAUACUCUACUGGUCUCUGGGUACGUGUCCAAAAAUGGUGUCAACACGCACCCACAUGGAUUAGAGCGGGGAAUCGCUGGAGCAUUCAUGUGCAUGUCAUGCAUGCGUGCUCGUUCAUUGCCGUGGCUUCUCGAGUCUUCUAGAUGAUAGAAAAUUGGCGCACACAUUAAUAUCUCUAUGUAAACCCGACGUGUGGGCCUUUCCUCCAUAUUUCCUGAUAACAACCUGCAGAAAUAGACAAACACCAAAACUCGUGGAAUUCUAUCAGAUGAAACCCUAAUUUUGGAUGUUGGUUGCAUGUAGGUCCUUUUCCAUGAUUAGUGGACGGUUAAAUGUGAGCAUUAAGGACCGUCAACAGCUGCAUCGUCAUCUGUGCCAUCGCCGGUGGACUGAGAAGGAGCUGUCUAACUCUCUGAACGUGCACGAGCUGGUGAAGCAGUCUGGGUUGGAUCAGUGUGCUCUGUAGCUGUCUAUGUUGCUGCCUAAGUCUCAAGUCCUGUGGAAGAAGCCGGCACAGACACAGUGGCUAUAUCUAAGGUCUUUGGAACUAUAGAGGAAGGAGCAAGCUGCUCAGACAAAGCCACAGACGAUGACAUACGCUGUGUAGUGGUGACUAGCAAGGUAAAAGCUGCAGGAGCCUGCUAUGGAGAAGGAGUAGGCAUGCCAGUUAGAGCACUAUACAAAAAUGACAAGUCCUGCCCCAUUGAGGAGUCCAAAACCAACUAAGAAGCAGAGGCGGAAUGUGGAGUGAAACCUGAGUGCAGAAGAGUGAACUGAGGUGUCUGCUCAAAGCCAGAAGAGAUAGCACCCUGAGACACCUGGUGCUGUGGAGUGGUGAACGACUGGCUAUGAGCAGGAAGAUGGAGAGGAGGUUGUGACUGACUCUAAAGCCCACUGGGCUAUACGCCUGGAGUCGAUGGCCUAACUAGGGAUGUGCCUAGAAGUUGCACCUGUGGUAGAGUAAUCCCUGUUGCUACCAUGAGGGUUGCCAUCAGAGCUAUCUGCUAGGCCUGGAACGCUAGCUGCUACUCCUAGAAAGAGAGUAGCUGCCUCUGAAGCUCAUCCUACUUGGCCUGCAUGGCUGCAUUGACAACAGCCCGCUCUCUAUCACGACGAGCCUCCUCCUCAGCUGCCCUUUGUUGGUCGGCUCUCAUGCCCUCUAGAAUAGCAAGGAGGGCUGGGUCAGUAGCAGAAGAGGAACCUCCAGCCUCGUGGUCGUGCUGCCUUGGAGGAAGAUCUGGGAUGGGGAGCUGAUAAUCAUCAUCUGAGCUGUCUAUAGCUAGUGCCUGCCAGUGCGCAGUGAAUGUAACUGUGAUAUGGUGCCAUAAUACGAGAAUAAUUGCUUACCAAAUAGGCCAGCGUAAUUUCCUUCAUGCAUGCAAAAAUUUUAAGUAGCGAAAGAAAGCCGCGCACCCACAGGGAUUAGAGCGGGAAAUCGCUGGAGCAUUCAUGUGCAUGUCGUGCAUGUGCGCCCAUUGACCUGGCUCGGCGAGGCGAGGCGAGCGAGCAAGCGCGUGUGGCUCUUCCUUUUCCUCUUCUCAAUAGCUUCAACAAGAUGGAGAUAGCUCAACUAUUUAAGUUGGCCUUACUCCACUUGAAGUAGUAAGGUGGAACUAAAGUCUCCCACCUUUCCAUAUAUACAUGCAUGUGUGAAUGGGUCUUUGGGAUUUAUUUUGAAUUGUUUGGCCCAUGGCCCAAAACAUCUAACAAUCCCCUACCACAUCCCAAGGGCACGCGAUUCAUACUCUUUGUACCAUAGUACUGUUAAUAUACCAGCUAUUCAGUGGAGACCGGUUAAGGUUGAACAUCCACCUAGAACAACAAGAUAGGCCCAUCCGCAACUACACAAUGGACUAGGCCUUGAAUUGGCAGUUUGGUGCAAAUAGGCUUCACUCGAAGUCUUGACUGAUACUAGGCUGUCAUAGCCAACCCCGCGAGUAGAGUGUAUAAGUCAUACUCCUAACUCACUUCAUGAGCUUAUUAAAGAAUACCCAAUUCUUAUAAACUGCGACUAACUGUUGCACUCACAUAUGUGUGUUUUUACAAGAAUACUCUAUAGGACAAUAUCUUGCUAUAAAGCCUCAGAACACAUUAAGACAAAGUCAACCUGCCUUAUAGAAAUGAGAGUACUGCAUCUCCAACGGAGUGGGUCAAAUGAAAACGGUUGUACUCUCCCAUUAACCAACAGCUUGUUCUUCCUAGAUCCUAAUUCACGGGAUCUCCGAUCACAUAGGUUGGGUUACUGCUGAGGUUAACUCACAUGGGUCUCAAUCCCAUCUCCUUCGAUGCACUAUCAAUCACAGUGCGUGUGUUGACACUAGCUAACACCACUUAGAUACUAGGUUGUCAUCCCUAGCAUGGCGCCAGAGUGUACAAAGGUAUUUAUAAAUGUAAAGGCUCUCUAGAAAAUAAUCUAUUCUAUCUGCAAGCGCACAGAUAAAACACCUCAUUGUAGCAUUUCACCAGGAUAAGUAUUCCAGGUAUCGUUAUUUAUAAUUUUGCUCAAGGGAUGAAAAUAAAAUAAAUGGGCAAAAUCUAUCAAGGCAUAGACUAGAGAUAAACUUGCAAGAACAUGAUUACUAAUGAGAAACUCGUCACACAGUCACUUACUUUAGCAGGGGGUAAACCAUAAAGAUAAUGAUAAUGAAUUAUAAGUUCAUGGGUAGAUAACACAGCGAUUAGAAAAUAGACUACUCCUCAUAUGUAGGUGAUGUCGGAUUAGCUAGAGAAUGGAUUCUAAGUUAUCUACUAACUACUAAGUCAUAAUCUACUCUAGAUGUCUACAAGAUCAUAUAUAGCAUAAAAGACUCUUCAUUCAUGUAUAAGGAACAUUGAUAAAGUAAAUCAGAGCAUCGCAUGACUUACUCCACAAUACCGGUUCUGCCUAUCCUAUCAACGGAGGGUGGACUAUAUAAGAAUCAACGAAGCUGUCACUAUCGCGAACUACCACACUACCCGGCCAAUAGGAUACAUUUGCAGAUAAAUAACAUCUAAGCACCACGCUCACAUGUGAUCUAUCACCUAACUCCCUCGCGUCAAGAGCUAAGCGCUUUGCAAACUUAUACAUAAACUCAUUAUCAAUUAGAACUAUAUCAAAUAUAGAACUAGAGCAAACUAAGAACAUAAUAAUUAGAGACAUAAUGCAAUUAGAACAAAGAAUUAGAGAAAGAUAUGAAUAAUACCAAUCUUUAUUACUGAAGAUCCGAAUCCAGAGCGUAGUGCUCUACUUCUCUAAUUGCUAUCUAAUCAAACCUCUAAACUUGAAGGAUUAGGGAGUAGCUAAUUCUAAUUCUCUGUGGGAGAGAAGCUCUAAACCCUAACUUUGAUGGCUACCUCUGCAUAAUGAUUUCUUCUCUUCUCCUCCCUUCUAGGGGGGGGUAGGCCUUGGUUUUAUAGUCCCUUCAAGUGAAUUUGGACCGUUAGAUCAAACCGACAUUGAUUGUGUGGUUUAGAUUGAUCCUUAGGUCGGUGGAGUGUUGUCCCGAAGCAGAGUCCCGAUUGGGUUCCAACCCUUGGCGGGCGCCCAAGGGGGGUGGGCGGCCGCCCUGCCCCAAGCCCGAUCGUGCUCUCGUUCGUUCCCGUGGCUUCUGGACUCUUCUAAAUUGAGGAAAAUUGCGCGGCACGUAAUUAUCUCGUUGUAAACAUGACAUGUGGGCCUUCUCUCCAUAUUCUUUGAUAACCCCCUGCAGAAAUAGAUAAACACCAAAGCUCGUGGAAUUCCGUCAGAUAAAACCCUAAUUCUAGAUGUUUGUUUCAUAUUGAUCCUUUUCCAUGUUUAUUUGAUUAUUAAUUUUAGUAUUUAAGGACCGUCAACAAACUCCCCCAAGCUUAACCUUUGCUCGUCCCUGAGCAAAAAGCUAAACUUAGACGAAUCAGAAGUUGCUUCGAUGUUUUCUAUCCUGACAGGCACACAUGCUUUUACAUAAAAAUUCUUCCAGAUUAGAGUGAAGUGUUAUGGAGUUUAGUACCUGCACUUAAAUCUUAAGUAAUCGAAAGACAAAAUAGUUAAGUCAAGCACUAUCCCUCCUGUUUAUACUUCACCUUUGUUCCAGAGUUUUUCAUAAAUUUUCAAAAAUAAAACUCAGAGUUCCCAGCAAUGAUUCUCUCAAGUCUCUCUAUAUGUGGUAUUUGUGGAUCCUUACCAUAAUGUCACUUACCUAUAGCUAAUGGAAUAUUUAAGUGGAGCUCAUAGGAGUGAAAACAGCUCAUACAUAUGUUGUCUAAUCGAGCUAUGGAUCCAAAGGAACUCAGCAUAUAAUUAAAUCAAGAUGUGCAUGUGUGAUGGAGUAAAUGAUAGUGAUGGUGAAAAUGUAUAAGUAAUAAUAAAACUUACUUCUCAUUGCUCCUCAUAUUGCUAUCUCUCCUCUUCUUUGAUCUUUGCUUUGGGAGAACAUGGGCUAUCUUUUUUUUCAGCUGGGUAGUAGAUACCCCUAAUUCUACUGUCGGACACUUGUCCAUUUUUUCCGCUCAAGUGGGCAUCUUUGUACCCCUAAUUCUACUUCGGACACUUGUCCAUUUUUACCUCUCGUCUCACUCUUUUUUUUCUUUCUUUUUCGAGGUUCUGGGCACUUGCCCCUUUUUAUUUCCUCGCAUAUUUUUGCAUAACCCAUGCCUCUUCUGCAUUGAAUCUUUUUAGAGAGAGAAUAACAAUAUUCGGGACAGUGAGUGAUAAUAUAUUUUUAGCAAUUGUAAUGAUUGGUGAUGAAUGUUGUGGUAGAUGUGUGCAAGUGAAUAUCUUAAUUUAACCACAUGAAAAGCUCCUAAGGGUCUACACAGCUCGAUCAAACUCAAUGUGAAUAUAAGUAAAAGAUAUUAUAGCAAGUAUGGCUGUGGUAGGUAGUUUGUUAUGCUAGGAACUCAUCAUGUGCUUUGUAAGUUUUCAAAAUAAAUCUCCAGAACUUAGUGUAGUAGGAACAAGAUAAACAGUAGCUCAAACUUUAUAUCAUGCCUUUCGCUUACCUAGACUUUAGUUUUAUGCUUCCCAAAGAUAGUAAUUUUAGUUUUCGAUAUUCCUGGAAGAACUCUAAUAUAAACGCUAGGUACUUGUAAGUAAGCAAACAGAGCAACUGUUCAUCAUUUCCAUCAUGCAUCUUUUUGGUCUUUUUAGUUUUCUAGAGAUUAAACUUAGCACAUAAAUAAAGCACACUUUUUUUAUUUUGUUUUUAUGUUUAUAAAGUGCAGUAAAUUAAAGCAAGAAAAUAUUUAUUUGGUUUUCUAAGUUUUUCCUUUUAAGAUAAAAUACUAAAAUAAAAAAGAAUAAAUAAGAAGAGCAAAUAAAAACUUACUUGAUAAAUUAGGGAGGAACUCCCCCAAGCUGGAUGUUGCUGUCGGUCUUACCCGAUGUUCCAGAACCGCAUCAUAAUUGUGAUGUUGUCGUUCAUUGUUGUUGUAUCUUGUCUCAGCUCUUCUACUGCAGCGGCAUGGUCCUGGUUCCAUUUUUGUUGCUCUUCCAGGAGUCUUCCAUGUUCUGCUUGCGUGUUCUGGAUGUCGAGGAGAGUGUUGUCCGUACGAGUGAAGAAAGCACCGGCCUCUGCCCGUAUGAAAAGGCGGGUUUGUCCACUAGUGAUCUUGGCUCUCCGGCCAUGUCUCCUCUGUUGGCUCUUGUGGUUGCGCAUGACGAACCCAUGGGUCUCGAAGGACUCGAGGAUUGUAAUCGUAAUAAUGCAGGUGCGCUGCUUCUUCUGGUCCAGGGUCAGCUCCAUACCAGGUGCGUUCUUGGUGAGUGGUCAUCCUUUCAGAUGCCACUCGCUGUGGAGUUCUCUGGUUCACUGGUGUUGCUGCAAUCUCAAUCAAAAAGUUUUGAACAACGUAGAGGCCAAGGUUAGGUUCGGGUUAGGUAACCGAAUCUUGCCUUUAUCAUCAUAUAGCAUAUACAUUACAUUCCCCUCUUUCUUUAACAUCCGAGGUUGUCUAAAUGUGUCAUAGCCAUGAUAAAUUCUUAACUCAUCUAUGAAGUCCAACGAUGAGUUUUCCAGUAAGUGAAGAUUAAACGCUAGACGAGUGAUAAGUGAAGUACAUCCUACUGGUCCCUGAAGACUAGUAUACUAAGCCAAUGAGAAACUUAUAGUGUAACAGUGAAGUGGUACUUAUAAUAGAGCGGACCAGUCGUUUCGAGCAAACGGCUGCGGCUCGUUUUUUUUUUUUUUUUUUUUUUUUUNNNNNNNNNNNNNNNNNNNNNNNNNNNNNNNNNNNNNNNNNNNNNNNNNNNNNNNNNNNNNNNNNNNNNNNNNNNNNNNNNNNNNNNNNNNNNNNNNNNNNNNNNNNNNNNNNNNNNNNNNNNNNNNNNNNNNNNNNNNNNNNNNNNNNNNNNNNNNNNNNNNNNNNNNNNNNNNNNNNNNNNNNNNNNNNNNNNNNNNNNNNNNNNNNNNNNNNNNNNNNNNNNNNNNNNNNNNNNNNNNNNNNNNNNNNNNNNNNNNNNNNNNNNNNNNNNNNNNNNNNNNNNNNNNNNNNNNNNNNNNNNNNNNNNNNNNNNNNNNNNNNNNNNNNNNNNNNNNNNNNNNNNNNNNNNNNNNNNNNNNNNNNNNNNNNNNNNNNNNNNNNNNNNNNNNNNNNNNNNNNNNNNNNNNNNNNNNNNNNNNNNNNNNNNNNNNNNNNNNNNNNNNNNNNNNNNNNNNNNNNNNNNNNNNNNNNNNNNNNNNNNNCUUGUGUGGGUGUCGGGUCGACGCUCAUCUCUGAUGGCUGUGAGGAGUGUCGGGAUGAACUCCUUGUUCCAAUGUUCUUGAGAGCCUUCCUUGCGUUCUUCACCUUCUUAAACAUCCUGUAAACAAAAGUUGGCAAAAACACAACUAGUGGAAAAUGUGAGAGAAAAUGUUAGUGGUCAGCUGUCCGGAGUGUCAGUAGUCCAGGGGUUAAUCGUUCAAGACAAAUUUCUAUUUUGGUAGAGCCUCUCCCCCUAAACAACUUUUAAUUCGCUUAGACAACGGAAUCACUACUUGCUAGGUGAUAAUCACUCUCUCACUCAAAAGAACUCCCAACCUUCUCACAGUCAGAGCUAUUCUCUAAACCGAGCUUGCAAGGGUUUUUUUUUGAAAUGUGUGUGUGAAGAGAAGGGGAGCUGGAGGUGGCCAUAUAUAGGCUGAGCAGGGGACAGGGCGGGCGCCCACCCCUAGUGUUGCCUCCUCCACUUGCUUCCUUGCUUUGAUCUCACGCAGAAUAAUGUUGUGUUGGUGGUGGUUGGAUGGUGGAAAGAUGUCUGGUGAGUGGAAACAUAUUGGUGGAUGAAAUUAUGUGAUGGGAUGUAUGUGAGGUGAAGUGUAUGACAUGUGGGACCCAAGGAGUGUGGGUCAUGCUUCUAGAAGCUUGCUAUAAUUAAAUAUAAUGCAGGAAAAUCUAUGAGAAUUAAAACUUAUUUAAAAUGAUUAUGGAAAAUAUUUUUGUCUCCACAAUAAUUAAUAAAUAUGGGUUGUUACACACCAUGAAUAUUAUUUAUAUGGGGCUUUUUGAUUAUUAUAAUUAUGCUAUGAAUAAAUGUGACUAAUGCAAGAUUUAAUUAUGCAAGAAUUUAAAUAUGAGAAAAUUAAUAAUGCCGAUAAAUACCGAUUUACCUCCCGGUGAGGGUUUGGGAUUUUUUAGGUCCCCCAAGCUGGACCUCCAAAUCUUUUAAUCUUCUGAAUUACCUUCCUCCGGAGAUGGUGUCUCUAGUUGUUCUUCAUGAACUUCCUUCACUGUAGAGUCUCUCUCUGGUCUGGGUUUGAAUGUGAAGUGUUCUUCUUGAUUGUUUAUGUUGAACUUGAUUUCUCCUUUUCCGACAUCAAUGUGGGCAUUGGCAGUGCUCAGAAAUGGCCUUCCAAGGAUGAUGGACACUUUUGAGUCAGGACUCAUGUCCAGUACUACGAAAUCUACUGGCACCAGGAAAUCUCUGAUCUUGACUGGAAUGUUCUCGGCGAUGCCCAACGGGUGUCGAACCGAUUGAUCCGCUAGUUGUAGGCACAUUGAUGUUGGUUCUAGGGUCGCAUGCUCAAGCUUUUUGUAGACUGAUGCUGGCAUCACACUAACACUUGCUCCGAGAUCACAAAGUGCAUUGUUGAAGUGUUGGUUUCCGAUCGAGCAAUCAAUAGUGGGGCAUCCUGGAUCUUCCUUCUUCUUUGGUGGCUUAUUGAGGAUGGUCGCACUACAUUCUUCUGUCAGCUUGAUAACCUCAGUGGUGGGCAGUGGUCUCUUCUUGUUAAGAAUAUCUCUGAUGUACUUUGCAUAUGUAGGUACCUGUAUGGCAUCGAGCAGAUGUAUGUUGACAUAUAAUUUCUGAAUGACCUCUACAAACUUACUAAACUGCUCAUCCGACUGCAGUCCUCUGUUUCUUCUGGGAAAUGGCAAAUAGUUGGUGUCGUAAAAAUCUUUCCUCAUUUCUCCAGUUCUUGGUGGUUGUAGCAGAUCUUCUGCUUCAACUGGGCUUUCUUCUUCUAUCACUGCUGGUUGCACUGGUGCUGAUGUUCUUUGUUUCUCUUUUGGGUAUGGGGGAUCUCUGGUUGCUUUGCCUCCUCUAGUUGUUAUAUUCUUUACCUGCUCAAUGUUAGUAGCAACAGGCAGUGCAGCAGCUAUCUUUAUUAAUUUAAGCUCUACCCUUUUAUUUAGAGUGUUUUGCUCAUCAAAGGCAGUUAGUAGAAAAUCCAUUUUAUUGUGUAUAUCUUUGAGAGAUGAUUCAUUUGUAUCUAGCCUUUGUUUAACUUCAUCAUUAAUUUUGGUUUGUUAGCAAUUAUCUCUUUUAAUGAAAGUUGCUUGAAAGUAUUACCUGAAUUCAUACCAUUGCUAUUGGGUUGACUCGAGGUUGGUUGAUAUUUGUAUGCUGUCUCAAUAGCCCUUUGAUCUUCUUUGAACUUGGCCCUCUGGUCAAUCCAAUGGAGCAAAUUUUCCAUCUUAGUUGAUAAUGCAUUUACUUCUUCUGGUAUUUCUUCAGUUUGAUGACAUUGUUGAGCUUUAUCUUGGAACCAACUUUGAUUUUCUGCUAUCUUAUCCAAAAGUAUCUCUGCUUUUCCAGUUGUAAGCUCCAAGAAUGAUCCUUUAGCAGAUGCAUCUAGGCACUCACGAGCCUUCUGGGUUAAUCCGUGGUAGAAGGUCUGCAUAAGUAACCAUGUGGCCAUUCCAUGGUGAGGACAAUCUGAUAUGUAUCCUUGAAAACGCUCCCAUGCUUCUGAAAUGGCUUCUGUCUUCUGUUGUUGGAAACUGACAAUAUUUCCUCUUAAGGUAGUUAUUUUGCCUAUAGGGAAAAACUUUGAUAGAAAGGCAUCUGACAAGUUCGUCCAGUUGUUGAUGUUAUCUUGAUGAGUGUAGAACCAGUUCCUCGCUUUCCCUUCUAGUGAGAAUGGAAAAAGGCGCAGCAUUAUGACGUCUUUGUCAACUCCGUUGAUGUGGAUUGUGCUUCCAAUCUCUAAGAAAUUCUGCAAGUGUGCACUAGCAUCUUCAUGUGCCUUUCCACUGGAUUGUGUAGCUUGCACCAAAUUGAUGAGGCUUGACUUGAGCUCAAACUCGGGUAUUCCUUCUUCUACUGCAAAUCUUGGACCAGUUGGAAUGUUCUCAAGGCUUGGAGCAGAGAAUUCUUGCAAGGUCUUCUGUGCCAUAGCUUCAGCAAUUGGUAGCUAGCUUCUUCUUCUCUUGAUUGCUUUGGUUCUGAUGAUGAAGAGUUGAAUGUACCCAAAGUCAAUCCUGAUAUACCCUGUAUAAAAAUAUAAACAUAGAAAAACAACAGGGUGAACCUGCCAAAGCAGAGAUGCCUUGUUAUGAUUUCUCACUUAGUAGCUGUUUUAUGCAAUUAUUUCUCUAUAGUCUAGUCUAAUAUUUUAUAUGAAUAACCUUGAUUGAUUUUCUGGCUUUCCUAAAUAUUACCCUUUUGCUUCCCCUUUAUGACUGAUUCAUGAGACUCCCCGGCAAAGGCGCCAGAAAUGCUUGUUGACACUAGCUAACACCACUUAGAUACUAGGUUGUCAUCCCUAGCAUGGCGCCAGAGUGUACAAAGGUAUUUAUAAAUGUAAAGGCUCUCUAGAAAAUAAUCUAUUCUAUCCGCAAGCGCACAGAUAAAACACCUCAUUGUAGCAUUUCACCAGGAUAAGUAUUCCAGGUAUCGUUAUUUAUAAUUUUGCUCAAGGGAUGAAAAUAAAAUAAAUGGGCAAAAUCUAUCAAGGCAUAGACUAGAGAUAAACUUGCAAGAACAUGAUUACUAAUGAGAAACUCGUCACACAGUCACUUACUUUAGCAGGGGGUAAACCAUAAAGAUAAUGAUAAUGAAUUAUAAGUUCAUGGGUAGAUAACACAGCGAUUAGAAAAUAGACUACUCCUCAUAUGUAGGUGAUGUCGGAUUAGCUAGAGAAUGGAUUCUAAGUUAUCUACUAACUACUAAGUCAUAAUCUACUCUAGUUGUCUACAAGAUCAUAUAUAGCAUAAAAGACUCUUCAUUCAUGUAUAAGGAACAUUGAUAAAGUAAAUCAGAGCAUCGCAUGACUUACUCCACAAUACCGGUUCUGCCUGUCCUAUCAACGGAGGGUGGACUAUAUAAGAAUCAACGAAGCUGUCACUAUCACGAACUACCACACGACCCGGCCAAUAGGAUACAUUUGCAGAUAAAUAACAUCUAAGCACCACGCUCACAUGUGAUCUAUCACCUAACUCUCUCGCGUCAAGAGCUAAGCGCUUUGCAAACUUAUACAUAAACUCAUUAUCAAUUAGAACUAUAUCAAAUAUAGAACUAGAGCAAACUAAGAACAUAAUAAUUAGAGACAUAAUGCAAUUAGAACAAAGAAUUAGAGAAAGAUAUAAAUAAUACCAAUCUUUAUUACCGAAUAUCCGAAUCCAGAGCGUAGUGCUCUACUUCUCUAAUUGCUAUCUAAUCAAACCUGUAAACUUGAAGGAUUAGGGAGUAGCUAAUUCUAAUUCUCUGUGGGAGAGAAGCUCUAAACCCUAACUUUGAUGGCUACCUCUGCAUAAUGAUUUCUUCUCUUCUCCUCCCUUCUAGGGGGGGUAGGCCUUGGUUUUAUAGUCCCUUCAAGUGAAUUUGGACCGUCAAAUCAAACCGACAUUGACUGUGUGGUUUAGAUUGAUCCUUUAGGUCGGUGGAGUGUUGUCCCGAAGCAGAGUCCCGAUUGGGUUCCAACCCUAGGCGGGCGCCCAAGGAGGGUGGGCGGCCGCCCUGCCCCCGAGCCCGAUCGUGCUCUCGUUCGUUUCCGUGGCUUCUGGACUCUUCUAGAUUGAGGAAAAUUGCGCGGCACGUAAUUAUCUCGUUGUAAACAUGACAUGUGGGCCUUCUCUCCAUAUUCUCUGAUAACCCCCUGCAGAAAUAGAUAAACACCAAAGCUUGUGGAAUUCCGUCAGAUAAAACCCUAAUUCUAGAUGUUUGUUUCAUAUUGAUCCUUUUCCAUGUUUAUUUGAUUAUUAAUUUUAGUAUUUAAGGACCGUCAACAGCGUGAUAGUCCCUUUGUAAAGGGAUCUGCCAGGUUUUUAUCUAUCUGGAUAUAGUCCACAGCUAUUUGUAACACCGUAGGUGUUAAGCUUGCACUUAGUCUCAUAAAACAUUCAUGAGCAUUCUCAUCAAGCAUGGCAUAAGCAUCACAUCCCAUGAGCACAAUAAUAAUCCAAGUGUGAUUUUAUGUGCUUUAUUUCAAGUGAAUUAAAUAGGUUAAAAAUAUCAUGCUUGCUUCUAAGUUCUUGAAUUGCCUAAAUUAAGUUGAAAUGAGUGUUAGAAUAUUUAAGAGUAAUUUUGUGAUAUUUUUGGAGCCAUAGAAAUUGAGAAAUUGAUUUUAUACUAAAAUUCCCCAAAAUAGAUUUAUUUAAAAACCUAUAACUAGUUUUGGGUUGUAUUUCAAAAUCUAUUUGGAAUUUGUGAAUUCGACUUAAAGCAAAGUUGUAGGGUUUUUGUUUUGGAACAACUUUUAUUUUGGGAGAAAAAGGUAAAAAUGAUUUUUAAAUAGUCCAAAUGAAUUUAGAAAGAAUUUGAGAAAAGAAAUUAAAAAAAAGGGAAAGGGGGGCGCUAGCAGGCCGCGGCCUCACUUCUGGCCCGCUGGCCGAAGCCGGCCCAGCCCGCCCGCGCUCACCCCCCCUUCCCCGCGCUCGCGCCCGCGCCGUGUCCGCGCGCGGACGGCCGCGCCGCGCCGCCGUGGCAAGCCGGCAGAGCUCGGCCGCCGCGUGACGAGCAUGUGGCAGCCUGGACGCGCCCUGGUCGGCCACCAGGAGCGCCCGACCGCGCCCGCCUCCGUCCUCGCUGCCAUUUUCUCCCGCCAGCCCUUCCUCUCUCGCCCUCUCGCCCUUGCUCCGCACGCGCAGAGCGCCGCCGUCGCCAUUGGAGCCCGAGCUCCGCCUCGACCGUUCUUCCCCAGCGCGUGCACCAUUCUCCGAUUCGUCAUCCCCCGAGCUCCGCCCUCGCUCUGCCGUUGCGGGACACGCUUCCAAGCAUUUGGUGAGGCACGGUGAGCCCCGCUCGCCCUCGUUCCUUCUUCGGCAAGAGCACCACCGCCGCGCACGUAGUCUGCCUGCCUCCGUGCCUUCCGGUGCCGCUUAGUUAGCGCGUCGUGCUCGCCUUGGCACCGCGACGCUCGCAAGCCACUCCAAUCGUGCUCUACCGGGCCAACGCCUCGGGUCGACGGCGAGCAGCGCCGCCGCUCUGCCAUGGCCGAUGGCGAGCUUGCUUCGGUUCGUUUCAGGCCGCGCAAGUAGGUUCGCUGAGUUCGCCUUGACCCGUAGAAUGCGUAGAGCCGCUCGGUUCACCGAGAGAGGCCAUCGGUGGUGAGCUCCGGCUCGUCGGAGUCGCCCCCUCUCUGCGUUCUGGCCAGCGAGCCCGGCUGGCAGGCGGGUCCGCUUGUCAGUGGCAGCGGGUGCACUGCACCGGGUGCACCCAGCUGGUCCCGGGGGUGGAUUUGAAUUGAUUUUCAGAAAAAUUAUUUCCAGAAAAUAGUUUAAAUGAUAUAAAAUCCAUAUCUUGAGAUUUAUGGCUCCAAAAUUAGUGAAAUAAAUUUUGAUGUGUUCUAGAAUCUCAGAUCUAUAGUUUGGUUUGGUUGCAUGUCAUGUUUGGACAAUUUUUCUGUGCAAUUAUAUUUAAUCCAUGUUUUUGCUGAAAAUUGUAAAAUGCAUAGUAAUUAAAAUAUAGCUCAGAAAAAUAUGAAACUUGUUUUAUUGGCUCUGCAUGGAUGAUUAGGCUCUAGGAAAAAUAUGUUACACAUUAUUUGCUGUUUGAAUUAAUUUAUGGUGAUUUAAAUGCUUGCAUGGCAGUGGUUUAUGAUUUUUAAUAAAUAAUUGGAUCAUGCAAUUAAUCUGGAAAUUUUUGUGGGUGUUUCUUAUGUUAAUAAGAUAAUUAUAAAAAUAUGAAACCUGCUGUUUGACACUUAUACCACAGUAGAGUAUUUAUACUUGCUUUUAUGAAUUAAUCUUGUGAUUUUUGUAGCCCAAAAUAAAUAUCCAAAUAUUAUGAGAAAUUCAUGGUAGACUUUAUGGUUGACUAGUGAUCUGCUAUGAUUUUUGUGGAAUUUAUUGAUAAACAGAAAUAGAUGCUACUUUUGUAGGCCUAAAAGUGGAUAAAGAAAUUAUGAAUUUGUUAUACAUAGAUUAAAUAAAGUAAAAUGGUGUUUGGUGUAUCUUUGAAGCAUCAUGUGAGUUUGCUGGUUAACCAUGAAUACAAUUUGUAGAAGAGAAUGCAAUAGAUGCUUAAUGUAAUUACCUAUUCUUGGAUGAUGUUGACUACCUUAUAGAAAUACCACCUAUGUCUUUAUGCACCAUGUCAUGAUCAUUUGGUACCUACUCGCAUAAGCAUUGCACCCCGGGCAUCUCGCACUCCGCUCAUGAGCACACAUGCAUCAUACAGGCUCGCAGGAGAACGAGGUGGGACCCGAGGAGCAGGAGGAGAUCCAGGAGCAGGAACCUCUGGGAGGACCAGAUCCCGGAGAGGAGCUGCAGGGGAGAUAAAUUCUCUGCGACGGCGUCGCAGACCGACUCACGUGAGACACCCCCUAGAAUCACGACGCGUGUCUUGCUAGCCGAGGCGGCGUCCGUCCGAGCCGACGAGCCGAGUCUGCUACUUCUCCAAGCCACAUCCCUUGACAUCCAUGGAUAUCCUUCAGAGCCGAGUCGGCAGUUAGUUCUCGUGGAGGAACUGAUGGAGCGAAUUUCUAGCAUCAUCUACUCCAUGUGCCACCAUUCUCUGGUCUCAUCUUCUCUUCUUAGGCCUUGCUGAUGGUCACGUCCAUACAAGACGAGCUGAGGUGAAGAUCGAUCAAGACGCCAAGCUCAGUAUUCAAUGGACGAGUCUCCUAUUCUAUUCUAGAGGAUGUUGAUAUUUGGUAACGCAAUAAGGAAAUGAUCCGCAAGCGCACGGAUAUCGGUGAGCAUUUCACCCAGGAGGUUAUCCAGAGUAUCGUAUUUAUAUUUUUACCACUGGAAGAAAGGGUGCAUCUGACUAACCAAUUCUAUUGCUACUAUCCCAUUAGGCUACAAAGAAUGUUUCUCGAUGUGAGUGAUGUAUAGAGAAGACUGCAACCGUAGUCUUGUUCUAACCUUAGUAAGGAUGAUCUACUGUUCUAUUGGGGAAGCUUACGGAAUCUAGACACCACAAAGGAUGUUCGACCCGAACCUAUAAACCUAUCCGUCCUACUAAUGAGAUAUGGGAUACAAAGGUAACUCGGAAAUGUCACGUUCCUCGCUACUACCACGGUCCAGCUAGUCAGGGGAUAUCUAUGAGUACCCUAGCCUAAACACCACGUUUACGCUAGCAAUGAUUACUCUAAUACUCAACCGGAAGAGGAUUAAAGUAAACUCAUAAACCAAAGAACAAUAAAACAAGAACUUACUAGAAUUAGAAGUCGAAUUACUGAAGAAUCAUAGAAGCAAGCCUCGAGUUAGGAGACUUGAUCCCGCAGGUACAACUCGGAGUAGACACCAACAGGUCGGCCUUCCUCCGAUCUACACCUCCACUCUAUCUCUCUCAAUCUAGUAGAAACUAGAAGAUCUAUUUCUACUUACAUUGGUUGCUAAGCCUAAAAAGAAAUAUUAUUUAGAGAAGAGGUUUUCCUUCGAGGGCACCCCUCAACUCUAUGAUAACUUCUUGUCUUCUCCAGGGGCCAGGGGGGUCUCCUUAUAUAGUCCUCCUCCUCUAUGCGUUUUUGGGUCGGUAGGCGAUGUGGUACUACGUUAUCCUUGAUCCUUUAUGUCGGUGGAACAUCGUGUGCGAAGAGAGUCCCGAACGGAGUCCAGGUCAGGGCGGGCGCCCAGGGAAGGAGGGCGGGCGCCCUGGCCCUGGCCCAUUUCGGCCUCUGCUUUCUUCCCGUGGCUUCUGGAGUCUUCUAGAUGGUAGAAAAAUGCGCGGUGCGUUGAUAUCUCUAUGUAAUCCUGACAUGUGGGCCUUUCUUCCUUAUUUCCUGAUAACCCCCCUGCAGAAAUAGACAAACACCAAAACUCAUGGAAUUCUGUCAGAUAAAACCCUAAGUCUAGAUGUUGAUUUCAUUUGGAUCCUUUUCUUUGUUUAUUUGAUAAUUAAAUUUGAUACUUAAGGACCGUCAACAAACUCCCCCAAGCUUACCUCUUGCUCGUCCCUGAGCAAGGAUGAACUCAAGAGUUUCUGCAGUGGUCUCAUGCCUUAAAAGUACACACGCAUUCAAGCAAGAUCUCAUCUCUGAGUUAGAAUAAACUGUUAAGACUUAAAACUUACUCAUUUUACCUUUCACCAUGGGGCUUGUAACCAUCACUUGUGUCUUGAGCAGUUAAAAGAUAGAAUGGUCAAGUCAAAAGCCAUGUCUGUUAUUCUUGAUCAGCUAUAGCUCUGGAGUUUUUGCAGAUUUUCAAAUAAAACUCAGAGAUUCCUUAUAUGAUUCUCUCAAAUCUCUCUUUUGUGGUAUUUCUGGAUCCUUACCAAGGCAAUAAUGGUAUAUGCCUUCUCUCAAAGUACGUGGUAUUUUUGGUAUAAUGCAUAGUGAUAUUGCCUUCUCUCUCACCCUACUCUAAUAAUGUUUUGAUAUCUGGAGCUCAUAGGUGGGAGACAGCUAAUACAUACUUACAAGACAUUUAUUGUAUAGUCAAACCAUGGAUCUAGAGAAACAAGUCAAUAAGUCAAAUCAAGAUGUGCAUGUGUGGCGAAUGAAUGGUGUAUGGUCAUGAUGGUGAUAAUAAUUUUGAAAGUCUAAUUCUACUUUUGCUCUUUUGAAGGGAUACAUACCUUUCUUGCACUUUGAAGCUUUUUGGGGAGAAUGAGAUGCUCUAUAUUUUCUUUUUCUUUCCUCUCAGGUGGGUAUCUUGUACUCCUAAUUCUACUGUCGGACACUUGUCCAUUUUUACCUCUCGUCUCACUUUUUCUUUUCUUCGAGGUUCCGGGCACUUGCCCCUUUUUAUUUCCUCAUAUUAUUUUUUUCUCUUUUUUUUCUCUUUUUUUAGAGCACUCAUCUCCUGAAAUAAUGUAGCAAGUGGUAAUAACCAAAAUAAUUGGAGCAUUUAUUUCGCAGGGAAUAACAGGGAUAGCAAAAUGUUUUUGGCUAUUCUCUCUCGGAUUAGGAGUAGAAUAAUUUUGGGUGAAUCUGGAGAUGGAAAUGAGUGGAUGUAUGUGGAUGCGUACUUCCGGAGUAGAAGCAGCAUAUACGAGUGAAAAUGCAAGUGAAUCUUGAUUUUAACCACAUGACAAGCUCCUAAGGGUCUACACAGCUUUACCACACUCAAUGCUCAUAAGCAGUAAAAAGUAAAUGUGUGGUUCAAAGUCUAAUAAGCAUGUAUAUAUGGCUGUGGUAGGAUUUAAACUCUCAUCAUACAGGAACUCAUCAUGUGAUAUUUUAAAGAUUUUUUAAAGAUAAAAUUCUCCAGAAUUCUAGCAUCUCUAGGAAGAGAUAAACAGCAGCUCAACCUUCCCAUAUCAUAUCCGUUAACAACUUAGACUUUAGAUCAAGUACUCUUCCCACAAGUUCAGGUUUAGAGCAAAUCUUACUUCAUAACAGUCAUGCCUAAACUUGAGAGAGAUUUCAAUUUUAAGAACUAGUCAUGGCAGAGCAACUAUUCAUCAUUUCCAUGUGAGAGUUUAUCAUGAGGGUUCAUAGCAAACUUUAUUUAUUUAUUUAUUUAGCAAACUAAGCAAAGAUAUAUAUAUAAAAGCACAAAACCUUUAUUUGGGUUUUCAUGAUUAUGCAUCUUUUAUUAUUUGAGUAAAGUAUAAACGCGAGUAGAAACACUUAGCUGGAUAAAUGGGGUGCUCUCCCCCAAGCUGGAUUUUGACGUAAUUUCUUCUCAUGUAGCUAGCAGGUGGUGGAGGUGUAUUUGAAAGUCGGCAACACCCUGACAGCGAUUAAGAUGUCCUCCGUCUGCUAGUCUUUUUUGAUCCUUGAAUUCUGUGGAGCUCAAAUAGACAACAAAGCUUUGUGGAACUGGUUAAGUGUUAGCAUAAAUAUCUAGCCUUUAUCAUGUUGAGCCUCCUCAAUAAAUGUUACUUAUUUCGCAGGAUCAUGCACUUAUUAUUUUUAUUGUAAGAUGAAAACUUAUUUAUUUUAUUUUUAUGCCACCACAGUGAAUGUACUUAUGGGUUUUAUGCCAUAAGCAUACUCACAUGGGGCUUACUAUUUUUUAACAUUUUUAUUUUCUUUUCAAGAUAGCAUGAACCUGAUUAACUAAGCAAACUAUAAUUGAAUAAUUGAAAGGAAAAGGAUAACUACCAAGUUUACCUCUGGGCAAGGCGUUCGGUGUUUUUAAGUCCUCCGAAUGGGACUCUCCGUUUUCAGUCGUCCUUGGAUUCGCUGGAUGGCGUAGUCGGUGGUUCCGGCGGCGCCUCCUCUUUGUGUAUAACUAUCUUCUCUUUCUACAUCUGACUCGGUGCUACGGUCUCCUCAGGGCAGUUCUGUUCAAGCUGUAUGUCUUCAGACCUUACCACUUCUCCUUUGUAGUCUGCCCAUCCGUCCUUGAUGAUUUGCCUCCUCUGGUUGCGGUUGCGUUGUCUUCUUCUUGUCCUGACCUGCUUAGAGUCUUCAACUAUAUAGUUAGGGUCAGUAAAAUAGCGGCGUACCUUCUCAGAAGGGAAGUACAUGUGGACUUCUCCGGUUCCAAUGUAGAUGAUAACUUUGAUAGUGUUGAGGAAUAGUCUUCCAAGGAUGAUGGGUGGACCGUACUCGUCUUCUCCCAUGUCAAUGAUCUGAAAAUCAUCUGGAGCUGAAUAUAUAUUGGUUGUAGGGGCAUGGUUCCAUGCAGGAGCUGAUAAGUGACUGCGGCCAUUAUGCUGUCGUUAGAUCCGGUGUCGUAGAGUGUCUUCUAAAAAGAGUAUCCAUUGAUUGUGCACUCAAUGAUUGGAACACUAGGGUCAUCCUUCUUGAUCUUGAGUCGACGAUCUUGACCUCCUCCGACAAGGAUCCAAUGUUUUAAGUCCUCUAGACAAGACUUCUCACCGUCUUUAUCCUUUAGGUGCAUCAUUUGAUUAUGUGUGGACCUUGACGUCUGCACUUCUUGAUACGGAGUCACCCAUGUUCUUCGUUUGCCCAGCAGUUCGAAGUGCGGUGUCAAUAUCCUACUCAGUGUGUUUGUGGUCGUAGAUCCAGGUCCUUCACUUGGUGGAGUCUGGGAGUUGUAAAACUCCUCCAUGUUUUGCUUGAAGUGUACCUGUUCAUAGAGACAAGGCAGAGAUCAAGUGCAUGGGCCCUGUUGGUGUAAAACACCAACAGAACCAAAAGUGUAUUUGUUCUUCUCUAACCUUAAGCAUAGUGAGCAAGACAAAGUUGAUGGAUCAUGAGUGUAGCAUUUGUCAGAUCAGAUGGCUCAACCUAAUGGAAAGAUAAUCUAUCUAUAUUUAUGUUUUGUUUAUAUCUUCCAAAGAUUGAAUGUGCAAUAUUUUAGCUUAUAUGAUUAGGAGUGUGGGAUCAUGAAGGUAGUACUAAGAACAAAGAUUAAAGGACUAAACAUGUUGAAUUAAUUGGGUUGGUUAAUUUGGACAAAUCAUACAUGUUUGUCUCUUUUAUUCAUGUGUAUGCCAGAACCAAGGAGAAGCUUAUGAAAGUGAUAGUCAUGUACCUUAAGAUGUUACCUUACUUGAAGAGUGAUGGUAUAGUAUCACCUUGUGGAAGCUUUCCUUUCCUAGCGGUUGUGCAUCGUGUUUGUGGCACUCUUCAUGGAUCAUCUCUUUAUGAUGAAUGAGCUAUGUCCUUCUUGUGCAAAUUGUUAAACUUCAUGUGUCUCCUUUAUCUCCAAUGAGUUUGUAUCUCAGGACUUCCCAGGUUGAUAUUGAAAGUUUUCCUGCAGGGGUUAGUCCAACAAAAUAUUCCAUAUCUACUAUAGCAUACUAUCGGCUCAAAAAUCAACCUAGACACCAUGUCUAAUUUGAUUUAGGAGGGCAUUUUAACCUAAGCACCAUGCUUAAUUUAAAAAAUCCUUUGGAAGUAAGAUCAUCAUUCCUAAACUAAGCACCAUGCUUGAUUUAAGAGAUAAAUGUAACUACUCCAAACCUAGACAUAUACUAAAGCAAAUAAAUGUAGCAUGAGAGCAUUUAUAGAGAUCUACUCAAGUGGAGGUGAAGUAGUGUAAUUAGUAUUUAACAAAUUGAGCAUGUCUCAAAGGUAAGGACAACCAACAUAGCAACAUGGCAAAUGAUGUUUUUAUGUAAAAUACUCCCCCAAGCUUGAAUUUUGCAAAAUUCAAGUUUGGAUGAAUUUAAUUCAAUGUUGCAUGAUGAUUGGUUGGACAUACCUUGUGCUUGUCAUUCCUCGGAUCUUCUUGCUCCAAUCCUAGAAAGGUUAGUGACACGAAUACCCGAAGGAAUAUGUCUACAAUUAUCUUUAUAUGCUCAAUACACAAGGCAAUGUUGCAAAUAAUUAAAAGUUCAUAUUAUGAUCUGAUAAGUGCUUGUUUUAGGACGCUAAGCUUGUCCUUAGGAAACCAUCAAAUUAUGUCGGCGAAGUGGUUUCCCCUCCAACGCUGACCUAUAUCAAGAUCAACUCAACGAGAUCUGCAAUAUUUAUUAUAGACAUAUGCAUUGACAACCGCCCUUUUAAAGUUUUUAUAAAUAGAAAAAGAAGAGGGGGUUGGAGAUCUCAAAUGUGGUGAUGUUGGAGAGACCAAUUGAUUGGGGAGAAGUUUUAUAUGAGCAAGGACUUGGUGAGGUAUUUAUGAAAUAACUUCCAUGCUCACUGUUGUUUCUCUCAUUCUCAAACUCCAAGGAUGAUUCCUCACGAAUGCUUAAAAUUCCUCUAGGAUUGUCUCUCAAGUUUGUUUUAUCUAUCCAUUCAAUGGUGAUAGCACAUGGAUUUUUAAUGCCGUCUAGCCAUUGAUGUUGCUCUUCUCGAUCCUCCUUCUUAUGCAUGGGAUGUCUAGAGAGAUUCAUAGGAUUAUCGGGAGGUUCAAGAGAAAGAGCAUAGUAGAAAUUAUUAAACUCAAGGAUGGGUUGGAUAGCCGAAUUAUGGGAUUGAAAUGUUUGGAAAUCGGCUAUUGAAACUUCCUUUCCUCGUCUGGGAGAUGAUUCCUUCUCUAUUUCUAAGAUUUUUCUAUGAAGACUAGUACAAGAAGGAUGUCCACGAAUGAAGACAUACCUUGCUUUACUCAUAGAUAAAGAAAGAAAGACUCUACCAAAGGGUAUAUGAUAAAGACCAAUGUGAAAAUAUCGAGAAAAAACAUGGUCUUGUAGGGCUAGGUCUAAACCAGAAUUUAUAGAAAGAUUAACAGAUUCCCUAGGUGUAGCUAAAAGUGCAUUAUCUUCUUGAUUAAAAGAUAGGACCUCAGCUAUAGAAAAGGGUUGGUUUUGACCUAUUGCAAUCAACUCCGGACACAGAUCAUAACUAGGGGCAGGACUUGUUGACUCCCAUGGUCUAUGGCUGGUCUCCGAAGGUGCAAAGAAUUCAAUAAUAGGUAUGGAAUUUAAGUUAUCCAUAAAGAUAAAAAUAAAAAGGUAAAAGAAUAAAAGUAUAAAAUAUAAUACAAGAUAAUAGCAAGACUCAAAGUUAUCUCAGCAAACCGUCUUUCUCCCCGGCAACGGCGCCAGAAAUGCUUGUUGAUAUUUGGUAACACAAUAAGGAAAUGAUCUGCAAGCGCACGGAUAUCGGUGAGCAUUUCACUCGGGAGGUUAUCCAGAGUAUUGUAUUUAUAUUUUUACCACUGGAAGAAAGGGUGCAUCUGACUAACCAAUUCUAUUGCUACUAUCCCUUUAGGCUACAAAGAAUUUUUCUCGAUGUGAGUGAUGUAUACAGAAGACUGCAACCGUAGUCUCGUUCUAACCUUAGAAAGGAUGAUCUACUGUUCUAUUGGGGAAGCUUACGGAAUCUAGACACCACAAAGGAUGUUCGACCCGCACCUAUAAACCUACCCGUCCUGCUAACGAGAUAUGGGAUACAAAGGUAACUCGGAAAUGUCACGUUCCUCGCUACUACCACGGUCCAGCUAGUCAGGGGAUAUCUAUGAGUACCCUAGCCUAAACACCACGUUUACGCUAGCAAUGAUUACUCUAAUACUCAACCGGAAGAGGAUUAAAGUAAACUCAUAAACCAAAGAACAAUAAAACAAGAAUUUACUAGAAUUAGAAGUCGAAUUACUAAAGAAUCUUAGAAGCAAGCCUCGGGUUAGGAGGCUUGAUCCCGCAGGUACAACUUGGAGUAGACACCGACAGGCCGGCCUUCCUCCGAUCUACACCUCCACUCUAUCUCUCUCAAUCUAGUAGAAACUAGAAGAUCUAUUUCUACUUACAUUGGAUGCUAAGCCUAAAAAGAAAUAUUAUUUAGAGAAGAGGUUUUCCUUCGAGGGCACCCCUCAACUCUAUGAUAACUUCUUGUCUUCUCCAGGGGCCAGGGGGGUCUCCUUAUAUAGUCCUCCUCCUCUAUGCGUUUUUGGGUCGGUAGGCGAUGUGGUACUACGUUAUCCUUGAUCCUUUAGGUCGGUGGAACAUCGUGUGCGAAGAGAGUCCCGAACGGAGUCCAGGUCAGGGCGGGCGCCCCGGGAAGGAGGGCGGGCGCCCUGGGCCUGGCCCCUUUCGGCCUCUGCUUUCUUCUCGUGGCUUCUAGAGUCUUCUAGAUGGUAAAAAAUUGCGUGGUGCGUUGAUAUCUCUAUGUAAUCCUGACAUGUGGGCCUUUCUUCUUUAUUUUCUGAUAACCCCCUGCAGAAAUAGACAAACACCAAAACUCGUGGAAUUCUAUCAGAUAAAACCCUAAGUCUAGAUGUUGAUUUCAUUCGGAUCCUUUUCUUUGUUUAUUUGAUAAUUAAAUUUGAUACUUAAGGACCGUCAAUAGAGGACAUGGAUGAUAGCACGUCAUCCCUAACACUAGAACCAGAUGAUGUCGCUGCGUUGUCCAGGCAAUCGUUGCUGCCAUCCAUCUCCAUGGUUGAGCCAUCUCAUAUCGAUGACGAGGAAAGGACCAUGACACCAUCCACCGAGGUAAUCAACUUCAACAAAUCGACAUUGGCAUAGAUUUUCUUUUUGUAGUCAAAUAUUUUAAUUAUGUCAUUUGUAGUUCAUCCAUAUUUGUGCUUGAAAUUGGGAUGGAUUUCAUACUGUAUUUAUAUAUUUUAAUCAAUUAUUAUCUUGUUUUACUUUUAGGCCGAUAACAACAAGCCUGGUCAAUCUGUUAUCGUACCAGAAGUUGGAAUGGCUUUCAACUCGGAGGAUGAUGCAUUUAAUAUGUAUAAUUCAUAUGCCAAGAGUGUUGGUUUUAGUAUUAGAAAGAGUACCUCAAGACUAAGAGCUGAUAAGACUUUAUAUCAGAAGCAUAUAGUUUGCAGCAACCAAGGAGAACGAGGUAAGCAUUCAUCACAUGAGACUUCAAAAGAAAAUGCUACUACAAGGAUUUGUUGCAAUGCUCGUGUCCAGUUCAGUGUAAGUCGAGAAGGAAUUUGGAAAGUUCAAAAGGUUGUAUUUGAUCACAAUCACUAUUUCGCUAGUCCAAAUAAGGCACACAAGUUGAGGUCACAACGACGCAUUACAGAGGUGGAUAAACAGCUAAUUUCUCAAAUACGAGGGGCUGGAAUACUGCCUGCACAAGUGUAUGAAUUUUUCAAGCAAUGGUAUGGUGGAGUUGAGAAUGUACCUUUCGCUCAGAUGGAUUGCAGUAAUCUUAUUGGUCGUGAGCGCAAGAAAUACUUACCAUCUAAUGAUGCGCAAACACUAUUAGAAUACUUGAAGAACAAGCAAUUAGAGGAUCCAACUUUCUUUUAUGCUAUACAAAUAGAUGAAGAUGAUGGCCGGAUAGCAAAUUUCUUCUGGGCAGAUGGUCAAGCUAUAAUGGAUUAUGCAUGUUUUGGAGAUGCAGUGUCAUUUGACACUACAUUUAGCACCAAUAAAUUUGAGAUGCCAUUUGCCCCACUCCUUGGAACAAACCAUCACAAGCAGACGAUUAUAUUUGGAGCUGCACUAAUAUAUAAUGAGACCAUUGAAACAUUUGUUUGGCUUUUUAACACAUUUCUAACAGCAAUGUCCAGCAAGCAUCCUAGCACAAUUUUCACAGAUCAAUGUGCUGCCAUGUCUGCUGCCAUUAGAAUUGUGUUCCCUAACACAGCUCAUCGUCUUUGUUUAUGACAUAUUUUCCAAAAUGCUGGUAAACAUCUCAGUCAUGUAAUUGAGGAUAACCCAAAGUUUCUCGCUGAAUUUAAGAGGUGUGUCUAUGAAGAGAGAUCUGUGGAAUACUUCACUGAGAUUUGGCAUGAGUUGCUGACUAAAUAUAAUUUAGAGGAAAACAAAUGGCUUAAUAACUUGUAUGGGCUAAGGAGGCAUUGGGCUGCUGUCUUUCGCGACUCAUUUACUGCUGAUAUGACCUCAACUCAAAGGAGCGAAGGUAUGAAUAAUGUUUUCAAGAAAAGGUUUAGAAGAAAACUAUGUCUUUCGGAGCUCAUUGAAGAAUGUGAGAAGUGUGCUGCUAGCCUACGCGAGAAUGAGUUAGAUGAAGACUUCGAGUCACGUCACUCUAACCCAGUUAUUUAUAUCCCACAUUUAUCAAUGUUGAAGACUGCAGCUGAAAAAUAUACAAGGAGGAUAUAUUCAGAUUUUGAGGAGCAAUUUAGAGAGCAAUUUUCUUUCUCAUGCCAAUUAUUAGAAUCUGAGGGGGCAAUGAUGACCUACAAGGUGACGCCUAGCCGAUUCAAUGAUGAAGCAAUAAUUGUCUUUAAUUCUGAGGAUAAGACCAUAACAUGUUCUUGUAGAAAAUAUGAAUGCAUUGGUACGUAUGUGAUUUCAAAAUAAUAUUACUUCUCACUUCUCAGUUCAUAUUAUUCAAACUUUGGGUACAUAUGCUGCAGGUAUAUUGUGCAAGCAUGCUCUCAGAGUGCUUAACAUCAAUGAAGUUUUUGUUUUGCCUAGCCAAUACAUACUGAAUAGAUGGACGAAAUAUGCGAAAACAGGAUUUCAUUGCGAGAAGAAACAAAUAGAUGAUAAUGAAACUUCAAGAGCACAAGCUGCACGAAUCUCUCGAAAAGCAACAUCCAUUGCAUUGAAGUGCUCAGUUUCAAAAGAUCUUCUUGAUGAUUUGGAGAGAGCUAUUGAAAAACUAGACCAAGAAGCUGAUAAUUCAUUAAGCCAAAGACCUACCCAACCUUCUGGAGUUUCUCAAAGUUGUUUUGAAUAUGCUGGAGACAUGUUAAAUGGUAAAAUAUCAAUCAGAGCUCCUGAGGUGCUAACAGGUGCAAAGAAUAAGAGGGCAAAAAGUGUACUUGAAAAAAAGAAAGGAAAGAAAAAGCCCACCAGUAAGAAAAAAGGUACGUAUAUUAGUUGAAGCAUACAUUUUUUCCAUCUCAGUUUUAUAAGCAGUAACAUGUAUCCCUGUUCUUUUAAUCUCAGGAAAACAAGCAAAGAGUGCAAAGGACAAAAAAGGAGUUGGACAAGAUCCAAAAGAAUCUGUGAGUGCACAAGACAAUACAGAACUUGGACAACAUCCACAAGAAUUGAUUGUAAGACAGGUGACCCUAUUUUUAAAGACUUCUUUUACAAGACUAUAUUCUGAAUUUUUUCCCACACAGGGUCCUUCUGAUGCAAGCAUUGGUGUCAAUAUUGCACCGCAAUACUAUUUAACCAACCCAUAUGGUGGAGUCCCGACCAUGGUUGCUCAUCCAACAGAAGGAGGAUAUACAAGUCUUUUACUUGGUCUUCAUCAAGAUACUUCUGCUGCUAGAAGAUUACAGUUUGAUGAAGUAUCAAAUACUACAGCGUUAGACUAGUCAUGCUUUUACCAGUUGAUUUGUUAUUGAUCAAUAACAUAGUACCGUUCUGGGCAUUCUGAGUAUUAUCAAAUGUUAAACUAGUUUGUCUUUAAAUUCAUACAACUGAUCUUUCAUUUGUGAUCCAUGCUCUCCAAUGGCAUCAAUACAUUUAUUUAUGAUAGUAGCAAUAUGUUCAGAUACAGUAGUGGGAUACAAAUCUCGGCUCAGGGAAGGAAGAAAUUCCAUACAUAAAUAAAGAAGAAAAUGUAGAAGUCGUGUACAUACAAUAGAUCUUCCUAUCAAUCUGUCAAAAUCUAGAGCAUACCACUACUUGGCUCAUUCAGUUCUUUUGGGUCUGUAAUUUCGACAAAUACUUGACGUGCACAUGCUGUCGCUGCUCACCUUCAGUGCUCAAUGACGGCAAUGCAACCAGAUCAGAGAAAGAGAUAGAAUGCUGAUGAUUCGCCGCCGACGCCGCCGUUCACCGGUCGAUGGACACCCGUGCGUGCGGGCGCAUAACAAGGCGACCUGCCGGUGCAGUCUCUCGCCCUUAUUGCCUGCUGAAGACUCGGCUCUGAACUCUGAAUGAUAUCCAUGUAUGUCAAGGGACGUGGCUUGGAGAAGUAGCAGACUCGGCUCGUCGGCUCGGACGGACGCUGCCUCGGCUCAAAUGACGCAGAUGACGGGCAUCUCGCAUGGUGGGCCAACAAGACACGCGUCGUCAUUUCAGGGGGUGUCACACACGAGUGGUCUGCGACGCGGUCGCAGAGAAUUUUUCUCCAGCUGCAGGAGUGCUCGGACCACAGACCGAGCACGUUUGAGAAAGGCAAGCCCCGGAGCAUUCUAAGUCUCCCUAUUCUCGCUAACAUAAAUGAUAUAUUAUGCUUGUUUUACUAUGUUGCAUUUAAGUGAUAGGAAUUGCUUGAUACCGUUGAUGCAUAUGUACUCCUUGAUAUCACCACUUGUUUACCUACCUUGUCCUAUGUAGAUAGGCACGGAGUCUAUGCUUAGCUUGCUUAGUCCGGUAGAAGUCAGGUGAUUUCCUGUCACCUGCGAGAACUAGGUGGAUACCUGCUUGAUUAGCGGUGAUUGCUUCGAGAAAGGAUAACUAAGUGUGGAGAAGAAUUUGAGACCGGGCAGGGUCUUAUGGUGGGAUGACCGUAGUGCCCCUGCCUGUGUCGAUUAAGGACCGAUCAUUAACGGCCCUCUUGUCAUGUUGAACGCAUGCCCCACACUUAGCUGGAAGGAUAAGUCGUUCCGACCGCGAAGCCUGAGCAGUAUCCAGGCCGGAAAUCGGCCCGAUGUACGCGUUGUAUUGGUGAUGGUUGAGGAGAACGACGAGGGCGCGGCGCGCAACCUUGGUAUACCUUGGAUACCUCGGUCGCCGGAACGGUCCUCGGGUACGGGCGGUGCCUGUCGAACCCGUGAAUUGGUCCUGGAUAGUGCAACACGGUGAUCUGUAGCUCACUUGAUCAGUGAGUGUGGUUUGUGUGGGGAAUAAACUCGCCAGCUGGUCAGAAAUCGAUUUGAAUCGCCAUCGCUGCUGGAUAGUGAGCACUUGACAUGAGCCCUGUCCUCGUAGUAAGGACUAUGGAACACUUGGGAUGGGAUGAUAAAUGAUUUAUGAAUGCUAUGAUGAGGUACCAUCAUAUUACUACACUUGCUUGUAAUAGUACAGGUGCAAACCUAGAUAAUAGGUAAUGAUAUUACCGACCUUGAGCUAAUUAAAAGAAGAAUGGUCUCUAGACUAUGUUUAGGGAAAUAAUGCUUUUUAUGCAAAAAGUCUUAGCUACCCCAUCAUACAGCCUUCAUGAUCCUUGAAGAGUCUUUAUUUUUGGUUAUGACGGGUAAGUCUAGCUGAGUACAUUCUCGUACUCAGGGUUCUAUUCCCAUGUUGUUUUGCAGAUGGUCCAAUAUACUAUGGUUAUUGCAUCCUCUGUCUGUACCCUACCAUGGGCGAUGACUAGACCAAGGGCGAUGGUCAUUCUAUCUUCUCUUUUGCUUUUGUGGGAAUGGCCGAACUAUGGCACUGUAUCAAACUGAAAUUGUGUGUGUUAUUUUCAGACUAUGAAGCUUCCGCUACUUAAGAACUUGGUUUGUAAUAAUUUUAAGCACUCCGAUGUAUUCGAUGAAUGUUUGUGAACUGGAUGUAAUUGUAAAUGGUGGCCGCUAAACUUAUUACAAUCUUGGCUGUACGUACGAUAUGUGGUUUGAAAUCCUUUGAGAUUUCAGGGACUACCGGGAUUAUAUGGGCUUAAGCUUGAUGGUUCGACUGUGCAAAUGGUGACUAUUAGGCUUAAUCUCUUAUAAUUUGGGCGGUUCUGUUACAGCUAGCAUCGGAGCAAGGUUUAGCGAGUUACUUCUCAUAAGUACGUUCUAAACUAAACUUAAACCGGUUUAAUAAAAGAUUAUUAUUAAUUAAAUGAUAAUCCAGGUGUCAAACUAAGUUUUUGGAAAACUAUCUAGUGUGCUAUGGUCAUAUCCUUUAUGCCCAGUUAAGGACCCUAAGGUGGCUAGUUAAGUACUGACUUGGGGGUUAAUGCAUCAUAUUUCUAUUUCGUCGCUCAUACGGCGUGCAAUAGUAUGAGUACCAUUCAUUUUAGUGGUAAUGUAUGGAUCAAUUCUUCCUCUACGCCUCGGUAAGUGGGAGCUGUGAGAGCAUGAUUGGAUACACUGCCGAUCUAGGGAAGUGUUGUUAAGGUGCUGUGUCAUGCACAUAUGUUUGGUGUGCCUGGGAACAAUACCGCAUGUUGGGAGAUUCCGUCCAGAGAGGCGAUGCCGUCACUAGGGCGAUGAUGUGGGUAGUAACACGUCAUAUGCAUGGAUAGGGUGUCUAUGUAUAUGGGGUGUAUAGUUUUAAAUUCUUGUUCUGCAUGAUCAUACUGUGGUUGGGCUGAAAUGAGUUUUCUACAGGUACACUAACUACGUUCCCGCCUAGAACGUUAGUUACGUAUGAGAGAACGUUGUGUGCCACCACAUAUACCGAUUAGUGUCAACUUUGUUUCUAAGUUUGUGAGAUCGUAAGUCCGUGCAUGCAUCAUGUUCAUUUCAUAUCAUUGCUUACUUCCCUCCCUUAAAGUAAAUCUGUCCCAAUUUUAAUUAAGUUAAAAAAAGAGGGGUACUCCUCGAUCUUAACCAAGGUAUUCCAUUUGCAGCAGAUGGCACGCACUAGGCUCACCGCUCGCAAGUCCACUAGUGGGUGGGCCCCUCGCCAUCCAUUGGCCGCCAGGAGCUCACGUCAUAAGAGCAAGUUCUUGGAGGAGUUUGGGAUGCCCACCUUGCUAUGGAGGGUGCUCAGUUCGAUGGGGUAUCCCGAAGGAAGGGAACCUCGUUACUAUUGGGACAAGGAGCAGCUUGGUGACGGUGAAAGCCCAAGUUUGGUUUUGGUAAUUAAUGACACCAAGUUGCUAAUGCUUUGUGUUUAAGUGGUUUGAGUUAGGCAUAGCAACACAUGUGAUGAAGGUGCAUGGUGGCAUGGAAAGGUGGCCACAUGAUCACAAAGGGAUGAAGCAUAAAGUGAAGAUCAUGGUGAUAAACAAGGAGCAAAGUUAUCAAGGCAAAGGUAUAAACAUAGGGUUUUACUUUUGCCGGUCUAAGAUGAGUAGAGAAGUGAUUGACCGGGUUUAGGAUAGAUAGCCGACUAUCAAGAGGAGAAAUCACGGUCAUCUCUCGAAUCAAGUGCUACUAGGUCUACAUCUUGAGCAUAUGCAUUAGGAUCUAGUAAAGUGCUAACUUAACUCCUUUGGUGAAAAUGUUUGUGAAAAGCUAACACACGUGCACUUUGGUGGUGGACACUUGUUUGUGUUAGCACAUUUACAAAGGAGGUGGUUUUCCUAGGGUUGAGAGGGGUGUGGGUUUCUCUCUCCCUCCCGCCGAGCUUGCGAGGCGGGAUUCGGCGCUUUUGAGAAAAAUAAGAGUAUAUUUUCUAUUGCGCCGGUGGGAAAUUUGGAGAAGUCGCGGGAGUGUUUUCUCACUGAGAAACACUCACCGGACGCUGAGUGCGGAGGCACCGGACGCUGGCCUCAGCGUCCGGUGUGCUUGACCCUACUAGGGUUGAGCACCGGACGCACUCUGGUAGCGUCCGGUGGUAAGCGUCCGGUGUGGGGGGUUUUUGCAACCCUCUCUGCGCACGAGUCCGGUGAGCACCGGACCGUCCGGUGUGGACCUGCAGAGCGUCCGGUGUGUUGCAGGUAGCCGUUAGAAACUGACACGCGAAAUCGAGGAAGGACAUGUGGCCAACUCCAGUGCACCGGACGCAGGGAGUCGAGCGUCCGGUGCUCACUUAGUAGCGUCCGGUGCCCCCGUUUUCAGCCCAGUGAAAACAACCAACGGCUAGUUUCUUUGAGGGGCUUAUAAAUAGAAGGUGGCCGGCUUUGGGAGUCUCUCUCUUGCACAUUUUAAUACUUGAGGCAUACAUUGAGCUAGAGAACACUCCCUCCACUCAUCUCCUUGCUUGGUUGUUAAUCCUAGUGAGAUUGAGUGAGAUUCAAGUGCAUUGCUUUGAGAGUUGCAUUUAGUGGCACUUGAUUCUUGAGUUUGCUGCGGAUUUCUUGUUACUCUUGGGUGUUUCCCGACGCCCUAGACGGCUUGGAGCAGCGGUGGUGUUGAGCUCGUGAUUGGAGAUUGUUUCGAGCCUCACCAAGUGAUUUGUGAGGGGUUCUUGAGCCUUCCCCGCGGGAGAUCGCAAUUGGCUACUCUAGUGGAUUGCUCGUGGCUUGGAGGAUCCCCAUCUUGUGAGUGGAUGUGCGGCACCCGCUGAGGGUUUGGCUUUGGAUUGCCAAUUAGCUCGUGAUCCAUCAAGUGGGUGUAUCGCCACAACGAGGACUAGCUUGCCGGGAAGCAAGUGAACCUCGGUAAAAAUCUUGUGUCAUUCCUUGCCGAGGAUUCUCCUAUUGUUGUGAUUGAUUGAUUGGAUAUAUUUCUACUCUACAACGUCGGUAAAACAAUCACUCAUCUCUCCUUUAAUUUUGUGCAUACCUUGCUAGUUGUGUAGCUUGUUUAGCUUAGUUCUCUUGUUGUUGUGCUUUAGUGUUUAGCCUUGUACUAGUUUGUAUAGGUGGCUUGCUUAGCUUAGUUGACCUAGUGCUAGAAUUGCUUCGCCAUUUGUUUUACUAAUCAACUUGUCUAGUUGAAGUUUGUAGAUUUUUAAAUAGGCUAUUCACCCCCCCCGUCUAGCCAUUUGGACCUUAUAGACGGGACCCUGGUGGGGAUCGAGGCAGUGGUCCCUACCAGUGGAGGUGACCCCGCCUGGGGCGGUUGGGUGUACGAGUUCUAAGGUACCACGCCUUUCCACGGUGCCAGCAGAGCAGCUUUCGCAGUUCUGAGGGACCUCAUGGAGAGGUUUCCACAGGAGCUGGCCCACGCCUUCGCUGGGUGUUUCCCUGGAGUGACCCCUACACUUCGGUGUGGGAUCAGUUCGAGGUGAAUGCUCUAGAGAGGAGUGCGGAUGAGGACCAGCACAGUGACAGCGCAACUAUGAGUGCUAUGUACGCCUUGAUGAAGACCUAUGGGGGCCUAGAGCGUUGUUUGGGGCGCUUGUCCGGGUCUCUUCUCACAGUCUAGGAUGAGAAGCGUCAGCUGCAGCGUGAGUUUGACACUGAGGUUGAGAGGUUGCAGGCAGAGUUGGCCCGCAUGACCCGAGAGAGGGAUCAGGCGGUCCAGAAGAGCAGUGAGCUGAGUCAGGACCUGCUUGCAGUGAGGGAGCAGAGGGACAGGGUGACUACUGCUCACAGGAACUGCGAGCGCAUGCUAGUUCAUGUGCUUGGUCAGAGGAAUGAAGCCUGGCACGAGGAGGACACCCUGAGGGCCCGACAGCUGGAGCUUGAGCAGCAGCUAGCCAAUGUUGAGGAGUACAAUGAGAACCUGCAUAAGGAGAUCCACCAGCUGUAUAACCAGCUCCACCCUCACCACCUACCUGGAGUAGCCGAGUUAGACUCUGAGGAUGAGAUGGAUGAGGGCCCAGAGAUGGGGACAGCUGCUAGUGGAGAUGAGGACGAGGAGGGCUCCGGCAUGGACAGCGACCAUAGCGAGUAGAUGCUAGGGCUCUAGAGCUAGUCCUUCUUCUUUUGAUGUUGUUGUUGCUUGGCAUGUCUUGUAAUCUUGGAUCCGGGCUGUGUAAAACUUCAUGUGAUGAUGCUGAAAGUCCAGUGUAUGUAUGCUGGCAAUUUUGGAUGUAUGCGAACCUUGUUGCUUGAAUGUUAAGUAAUCUGUUAGUGAUGUUGUGUGUGGAUGAUGAAUUGUUGUGCCUCAGUUUAUUGUGCGAAUUUAUUUUCCUUAGUAAAUUCAGUACGGCAUAAUUCUACACAAGUCUACCGUUGAUGGCAACUCCUAACGAUUGCUUAUCAUUGACGUAUGCAGAUGGUGCAAACACGUGGCGGGGGUAACAACAACCCCGGACUUGGAGCAGGUACUUCUGGAGGUGGGGCUCAACAGAAUGAGGACAGAGCACCAUCACCGCCACCACCACCUCCCCCAUACACUGUGGACGUGUUUUUCGUGCAGUUUCUGGGGAGCCAACGCAACAUGGAGCAAAUGCAGCGCAAUAUGGAAGAAGCUCUGCGCAAUAUCGCUGACAAUACCCGUCGUGGGGAUAACCAGGGCGGCCGUGAAGCCAAUCAGUACUGCUCUUUCAAGGACUUCAUGGAUACCAAACCACCAGUCUUCAAGGAGGCCUUAGAACCGCUCGAGGCAGAUGAGUGGAUCAACACCAUGGAGCAAAAGUUCUGUCUUCUUUGGAUGACUGAAGAACUUAAGGCUGAGUACGCGGCACAUCAGUUGCAGGGACCUGCUGGGAUUUGGUGGUCCCAUCACCGUACCACCUACAUAGAGGGGACCCCAAUCACUUGGAACCGCUUCACCACCACGUUUCGGGGAAAUUAUAUUCCUCCGGGUGUGGUGGAAAUGAAGGUUGGGGAGUUCAUGAGGCUGUCUCAGGGAACGAAGUCUGUGAAGGAGUAUCUACACGCCUUCAAUAAUCUUGCUCGUUACACCCCCGAGUUUGUGAACACGGAGGCCAAGAAAAUCGCUAGUUUCCAGAGGGGCUUGAGCCCGAAGAUGCUGAAGACCAUGGGUACAGGAACCUGGGCUACCUUCAAUGCUUACAUCAGUGACUGUCUGACCCAGGAAAAGAAUAACAACAAGUACAGUGCGUCCAAGGCUCGUAAGAGGGCUUUUGAAGCUGGGUCAUCUCAGUCUAGGGCACCAGUGGUGGGGCGACAGCAGUAUCGUCCUCCUGCCCCAGGUGCUAGGUUCCGACCGCCGCAGAGGAGGAACACCGGGCAUCCAACGCAGCAGAAGCCAUACAAGGUAGCAAUAGCUCCUGCCAAGCCAAAGGCAAUUCAGGCUGCGACACAUGCCGCCAACAACAUGACCAAAAGGCCGUGCUACAACUGCCACAAGAUGGGGCACUUUGCUAAGGAAUGUCCCUACCCCAAGAGGCAACAGACGACUGUUGACACUAGCUAACACCACUUAGAUACUAGGUUGUCAUCCCUAGCAUGGCGCCAGAGUGUACAAAGGUAUUUAUAAAUGUAAAGGCUCUCUAGAAAAUAAUCUAUUCUAUCCGCAAGCGCACAGAUAAAACACCUCAUUGUAGCAUUUCACCAGGAUAAGUAUUCCAGGUAUUGUUAUUUAUAAUUUUGCUUAGGGGAUCUUAAGAAGAUGGAAUUAAAUCAAUGGGCAAAAUCUAUCAAGGCAUAGACUAGAGAUAAACUUGCAAGAACAUGAUUACUAAUAAGAAACUCGUCACACAGUCACAUACUUUAGCAGGGGGUAAACCAUAAAGAUAAUGAUAAUAAAGUAUAAGUUCAUGGGAUAGAGAGCACAGCGAAUAGAAAAUAGACUACUCCUCAUAUAUGUAGGUGAUGUCGGAUUAGCUAGAGAAUGGAUUCUAAGUUAUCUACUAACUACUAAGUCAUAAUCUACUCUAGUUAUCUACAAGAUCAUGUAUCGCAUAAAAGACUCUUCAUUCAUGUAUAAGGAACAUUGAUAAAGUAAAUCAGAACAUCACAUGACUUACUCCACAAUACCGGUUCUGCCUGUCCUAUCAACGGAGGGUGGACUAUAUAAGAAUCAACGAAGCUGUCACUAUCUCGAACUACCACACGACUCGGCCAAUAGGAUACAUUUGCAGAUAAAUAACAUCUAAGCACCACGCUCACAUGUGAUCUAUCACCUAACUCCCUCGCGUCAAGAGCUAAGCGCUUUGCAAACUUAUACAUAAACUCAUUAUCAAUUAGAACUAUAUCAAAUAUAGAACUAGAGCAAACUAAGAACAUAAUAAUUAGAGACAUAAUGCAAUUAGAACAAUAGAAUUAGAGAAAGAUAUGAAUAAUACCAAUCUUUAUUACCGAAGAUCCGAAUCCAGAGCGUAGUGCUCUACUUCUCUAAUUGCUAUCUAAUCAACCUCUAAACUUGAAGGAUUAGGGAGUAGCUAAUUCUAAUUCUCUGUGGGAGAGAAGCUCUAAACCCUAACUUUGAUGGCUACCUCUGAAUAAUGAUUUCUCCUCUCCUCCUCCAGGGGCCAGGGGGUCUGGUUUUAUAGUCCCCUCAAGUGAACGUGAGCCAUUGGAUCAAACCGACAUAGAUUGUAUGGUUUAGAUUGAUCCUUUAGGUCGGUGGAGUCUUGCCCCGAAGCAGAGUCCUGAUUGGCCUCUUGGCCAGGGCGGGCGCCCAAGGGGGGUGGGCGGCCGCCCAGCUCCCGAGCUCGAUUCGCGUCCCGUUCGUUCCCGUGGCUUCUGGAUCCUUCUAGAUUGAGGAAAAUUGCGCGGCACGUAAUUAUCUCGUUGUAAACAUGACAUGUGGGCCUUCUCUCCAUAUUUUCUGAUAAACCCCUGCAGAAAUAGAUAAACACCAAAGCUCGUGGAAUUCUGUCAGAUAAAACCCGUAUUCUAGAUGUUUGUUUCAUAUUGAUCCUUUUUCAUGUUUAUUUGAUUAUUAAUUUUAGUACUUAAGGACCGUCAACAAACUCCCCCAAGCUUACCCUUUGCUCGUCCCUGAGCAAAUAGCUAAACUCAGACGGAUCAGGAGUUGCUUCGAUGUUUUCCUUCCUGACAGGCACACAUGCUUUUACAUAAAAAUUCUUCCAGAUUAAAGUGAAGUGUUGUGAAGUUUUAGUACCUGCACUUAAGUCUUAAGUAAUCGAAAGACAAAAUAGUUAAGUCAAGCACUAUCCCUCCUGUCUAUACUUCACCUUUGUUCUAGAGUUUUUCAUAAGUUUUCAAAAUAAAACUCAGAGUUCCGAGCAAUGAUUCUCUCAAGUCUCUCUAUAUGUGGUAUUUGUGGAUCCUUACCAUGAUAUCACUUGCCUAUAGCUAAUAGAAUAUUUAAGUGGAGCUCAUAGGAGUGAAAAAAACAGCUCGUACAUAUGUUGUCUAAUCGAGCCAUGGAUCCAAAGGAACUCAGCAUAUAAUUAAAUCAAGAUGUGCAUGUGUGAUGGAGUAAAUGAUAGUGAUGGUGAAAAUGCAUAAGUGACAAUGAAACUUAGUUCUCAUUGCUCCUCAUAUUGCUAUCUCUCCUCUUCUUUGAUCUUUGCUUUGGGAGAACAUGGGCUAUCUUUUUCUUUUCUUUCUUUUUUUUUCAGGUGGGUAGUAGAUACCCCUAAUUCUACUGUCGGACACUUGUCCAUUUUUUUCGCUCAAGUGGGCAUCUUUGUACCCCUAAUUCUACUUCGGACACUUGUCCAUUUUUACCUCUCGUCUCACUCUUUUUCUUUCUUUUCCGAGGUUCCGGGCACUUGCCCCUUUUUAUUUCCUCGUAUAUUUUUGCAUAACCCAUGCCUCUUCUGCAUUGAAUCUUUUUAGAGAGAGAGAAUAACAAUACUUGGGACAGUGAGUGAUAAUAUAUUUUUAGCAAUUUUAAUGAUUGAUGAAUGCUGUGGUAGAUGUGUGCAAGUGAAUAUCUUAAUUUAACCACAUGAAAAGCUCCUAAGGGUCUACACAGCUCGAUCAAACUCAAUGUAAAUAUAGUAAAAGAUGUUAUAGCAAGUAUGGCUGUGGUGUAGUUUGUUAUGCUAGGAACUCAUCAUGUGAUUUGUAAGUUUUCAAAAUAAAUCUCUAGAACUUAGUGUAGUAGGAACAAGAUAAACAGUAACUCAACUUUAUAUCAGGCCUUUCUCUUACCUAGACUUUAGUUUUAUGCUUUCCAAAGAUAGUAAUUUCGGUUUUAGUAAUUCCUGGAAGAAUUCUAAUAUAAAAGCUAGGUACUUGUAAGUAAGCAAACAGAGCAACUAUUCAUCAUUUCCAUCAUGCAUCUUUUUGGUCUUUUUAUUUUUUUAGAGAUUAAACUUAGCAGAAAAAUAAAGCACACUUAUCUACACACUCUUUUUAUUUUGUUUUCAUGUUUAUUAAGUGCAGUAGAUUAGCAAGAAAAUAUUUAUUUGAUUUUCUAAGCUUUCCUUUUAAGAUAAAUAAAAUACUAAGACAUAAUAGAAUAAAUAAGAAGAGCAAAUAAAAACUUACUUGAUAAAUUAGGGAGGAACUCCCCCAAGCUGGAUGUUGACGUCGGUCUUACCCGAUGUUCCAGAACCGCAUCGUGGUUGUGAUGUUGUCGUUCAUUGUUGUUGUAUCUUGUCUUAGCUCUUGUACUGCAGCGGCAUGGUCCUGGUUCCAUUUUUGUUGCUCUUCCAGGAGUCUUCCAUGUUCUGCUUGCGUGUUCUGGAUGUCGAGGAGGGUGUUGUCGGUACGAGUGAAGAAAGCACCGGCCUCUUGAUAAUAGUCAUUCGUGAAGGCGUAGGAGGCGUCGGAGUAUCGUCCUGCAUCAAAUUAGGGUGGAGGUCUGGAUCCUGAAGCUCCAUAUGGAUCAGUGGAGUACCUGCCCGUAUGAAAAGGCGGGUUUAUCCACUAGUGAUCUUGGCUCUACGGCCAUGUCUCCUCUGUUGGCUCUUGUGGUUGCGCAUGCCGGUCCCAUGGGUCUCGAAGGACUCGUGGAUUGUAAUCGCAAUAAUGCAGGUGCGCUGCUUUUUCUGGUCCAGGGUCAGCUCCAUACCAAGUGCGUUCUCGGUGAGUGGUUAUCCUUUCAGAUGCCACUCGCUGUGGAGUUCUCUGGUUCACUGGUGUUGCUGCAAUCUCAAUCAAAAAGUUUUGCACAGUGUAGAGGCCAAGGUUCGGGUUAGGUAACCGAAUCUUGCCUUUAUCAUCAUACAGCAUAUACAUUAUAUUCCCCUCUUUCUUUAACAUCCGAGCUUGUCUAAAUGUGUCAUAGCCAUGAUAAAUUCUUAAUUCUUCUAUGAAGUCCAACGAUGAGUUUUCUAGUAAGUGAAGAUUAGUGGCUAGACGAGUGAUAAGUGAAGUACAUCCUACUAGUCCCUGAAGACUAGGUAUACUAAGCCAAUGUGAAACUAAUAGUGUAACAGGUGAAGUGGGUACUUUACUAAUAGCAGCAUAUAAAAGUUGUAAAUCUCCUACUCUUACUUUCCUAAUAUCGUCACGAUAGAAAAGAUUGUACCCAAGCCAUUUGUGGAGCAUCCUUAGAGUGGGGUGUUCCAUGUCACUGGUUCGGGCUUGGCUGUAAAAAUUAUCUCUAGAUAUUUCUCUCCAAAACUGGUGUCUCUCAAAAUUGGGUAAAUCGGAGUCAGUGUUCAGGAUGCAUCCUGAAGAGAAACCAAGAUGGUCGCUCAGCUCCCUCCAAGAUAACAUAAUUUCCUGUUUGAACAUCCGAAAAACAAUUCCCCCCUCAUAGUUUUGUAAGGUGCAAAGAAAUUCGAGGGUGAGAAGACGAGAACCCAGCUCAGUUAUAUUCCAAAAAUUUGUCCAACCCAUCAUCUGAGAAAUUAAAUCAAAUUCAGUGUUCAUACCUGUUUCUAGUAGUAGGAUUGGAUCGAGAGUAGGGGUGUGAAUGAAAUCUUUAUUCUUCAAUUGCUGAUAAACUUCCUUCUCUCUUCGGGUCUUCAGUCCUAGGUCUCCUAUCUUGAGAAGGACCUUAACUUGCUGACCUGAUGAAGAUGACGGAGCUUGUGUGGGUGUCGGGUCGACGCUCAUCUCUGAUGGUUGUGAGGAGUGUCGGGAUGAACUCCUUGUACCAAUGUUCUUGAUAGCCUUCCCUGCAUUCUUUACCUUCUUAAACAUCCUGCAAACAAAAGUUAGCAAAAACACAACUGGUGGAAAAUGUGAGAUAAAAUGUUAGUGGUCAGCUGUUCGGAGUGUCAGUAGUCCAGUGGUUAAUCGUUCAAGACAAGUUUCUAUUUUGGUAGAGCCUCCCCUAAACAAUUUUUACUUCCGCUUAGACAACAGGAUCACUAUUUGCUAGGUGAUAAUCACUUUCUCAAAAGAACUCCAACCUUCCCUUCCACUCUCCUCUUUCUCUCUACUCUCUUCUCUUCACUACAAAAGCUUCUUCUCGGGAAACUGAGAUUUGUGUGGUUUUCUGAAGUGUUUGUGUGAAGAGAAGGGGAGCUGGAGGUGACCUUUUAUAGGCUGAGCAGGGGACAGGGCGGGCGCCCACCCCUGGUGUCCAUCCUGGGUGUGCCUCCUCCACAUGCUUCAUUGCGUUGAUCUCACGCAGAAUAAUGUUGUGUUGGUAGUGGUUGGACGGUGGAAAGAUGUCAGGUGAGUGGAAACAUAUUGGUGGAUGAAAUUAUGUGAUGGGAUGUAUGUGAGGUGAAGUGUAUGACAUGUGGGACCCAAGGUGUGUGGGUCACGCUUCUAGAAGAUUAAUAUAAUUAAAUAUAAUGCAGGAAAAUCUAUGAGAAUUGAAACUUAAUGAAAAUGAUAAUGGAAAUAUUUUUGUGCCUCCACAAUAAUUAAUAAAUAUGGGUUGUUACACACCACAAAUAUUAUUUAUAUGGGGCUUUUUGAUUAUUAUAAUAAUGCUAUGACUAAUGCAAGAAUUAAUUAUGCAAGAAUGAGAAAAUUGAUAAUGCGGAUAAAUACCGAUUUACCUCCCGGUGAGGGUUUGGGAUUUUUAGGUCCCCCAAGCUGGACCUCCAAAGCUUUUAAUCUUCUGAGUUACCUUCCUCCGGAGAUGGUGUCUAUAGUGGUUCUUCAUGAACUUCCUUCACUGUAGAGUCUCUCUCUGGUCUGGGUUUGAAUGUGAAGCGUUCUUCUUGUCCGUUUAUGUUAAACUUGAUUUCUCCCUUCCCGACAUCAAUGUGGGCAUUGGCAGUGCUCAGAAAUGGCCUUCCAAGGAUGAUGGACACUUUUGAGUCAGGACUCAUGUCCAGUACUACGAAGUCUACUGGCACCAGGAAAUCUCUGAUCUUGACUGGAAUGUUCUCGGUGAUGCCCAGCGGGUGUCGAACCGAUUGAUCCGCUAGUUGCAAGCACAUUGAUGUUGGUUCUAAGGUUACAUGCUCAAGCUUUUUGUAGAAUGAUACUGGCAUCACACUGACACUUGCUCCGAGAUCACAAAGUGCAUUAUUGAAGUGUUGGUUUCCGAUCGAGCAAUCAAUAGUGGGGCAUCCUGGAUCUUCCUUCUUCUUUGGUGGUUUGUGGAGGAUGGCCGCACUACAUUCUUCUGUCAGCUUGAUAACCUCAGUGGUGGGCAGUGGUCUCUUCUUGUUAAGAAUAUCUCUGAUGUACUUUGCGUAUGUAGGUACCUGUAUGGCAUCGAGCAGAGGUAUGUUGACAUAUAAUUUCUGAAUGACCUCUACAAACUUACCAAACUGCUCAUCCGACUGCAGUCCUCUGUUUUUUAUGGGAAAUGGCAAAUAGUUGGUGUCGUAAAAAUCUUUCCUCAUUUCUCCAGUUCUUGGUGGUUGUAGCAGAUCUUCUGCUCCAACUGGGCUUUCUUCUUCUAUCACUGCUGGUUGCACUGGUGCUGAUGUUCUUUGUUUCUCUUUUGGGUAUGGUGGAUCUCUGGUAGCUUUACCUCCUCUAGUAGUUAUAUUCUUUACCUGCUCAAGGUUAGUAGCAACAGGCAGUGCAGCAGCUAUCUUUAUUAAUUUAAGCUCUACCCUUUUAUUAAGAGUGUUUUGCUCAUCAAAGGCAGUUAGUAGAAAAUCCAUUUUAUUAUGUAUAUCUUUUAGAGACGAUUCAUUUGUAUCUAGCCUUUGUUUAACUUCAUCAUUAAUUUUGGUUUGUUGAGCAAUUAUCUCUUUUAAUGAAAGUUGCUUGACAGUAUUACCUGAAUUCAUACCUUUGCUAUUGGGUUGACUCGAAGUUGGUUGAUAUUUGUAUGCUGUCUCAAUGGCCCUUUGAUCUUCUUUGAACUUGGCCCUCUGGUCAAUCCAAUGGAGCAAAUUUUCCAACUUAGCUGAUAAUGCUUUUACUUCUUCUGGUAUUUCUUCAGUUUGAUGACAAUGUUGAGCUUUAUCUUGGAACCAGCUUUGGUUUUCUGCUAUCUUAUCCAAAAGUAUCUCUGCUUUUCCAGUUGUAAGCUCCAAGAAUGAUCCUUUAGCAGAUGCAUCUAGGCACUCACGAGCCUUCUGGGUUAAUCCAUGGUAGACGGUCUGCAUAAGUAACCAUGUGGCCAUUCCAUGGUGAGGACAAUCUGAUAUGUAUCCUUGAAAACGCUCCCAUGCUUCUGAAAUGGCUUCUGUCUUCUGCUGUUGGAAAUUGACAAUAUUUCCUCUUAAGGCAGUUGUUUUGCCUAUAGGGAAAAACUUUGAUAGAAAGGCAUCUGACAAGUUCGUCCAGUUGUUGAUGUUAUCUUGAUGAGUGUAGAACCACUUCCUUGCUUUUCCUUCUAGUGAGAAUGGAAAAAGGCGAAGCAGUAUGACGUCUUUGUCAACUCCGUUGAUGUGGAUUGUGCUUCCAAUCUCUAAGAAAUUCUGCAAGUGUGCACUAGCAUCUUCAUGUGCCUUUCCACUGAAUUGUGUAGCUUGUACCAAAUUGAUGAGGCUUGACUUGAGCUCAAACUCAGGUAUUCCUUCUUCUACUGCAAAUCUUGGACCGGUUGGAAUGUUGUCAAGACUUGGAGCAGAGAAUUCUUGCAAGGUCUUUUGUGCCAUAGCUUCAGCAAUUGGUAGCUAGUUUCUUCUUCUCUUGAUUGCUUUGGUUCUGAUGAUGAAGAGUUGAAUGUACCCAAAGUCAAUCCUGUUAUACCCUGUAUAAAAAUAUAAACAUAGAAAAAUAACAGGGUGAACCUGCCAAAGCAGCGGUGCCUUGUUAUGAUUUCUCACUUAGUAGCUGUUUUAUGCAAUUAUUUCUCUAUAGUCUAGUCUAAAAUUUUAUAUGAAUAACCUUGAUUGAUUUUCUGGCUUUCCUUAAUAUUACCCUUUUGUUCCCUUUUAUGACUUAUUCCUGAGACUCGUAUAAAUCCUAUAAGUUCCAUAAGUUCUAUAAGUCCUAUAGAUCCCCGGCAACGGCGCCAGAAAUGCUUGUUGACACUAGCUAACACCACUUAGAUACUAGGUUGUCAUCCCUAGCAUGGCGCCAGAGUGUACAAAGGUAUUUAUAAAUGUAAAGGCUCUCUAGAAAAUAAUCUAUUCUAUCCGCAAGCGCACAGAUAAAACACCUCAUUGUAGCAUUUCACCAGGAUAAGUAUUCCAGGUAUCGUUAUUUAUAAUUUUGCUUAGGGGAUCUUAAGAAGAUGGAAUUAAAUCAAUGGGAAAAAUCUAUCAAGGCAUAGACUAGAGAUAAACUUGCAAGAACAUGAUUACUAAUAAGAAACUCGUCACACAAUCACAUACUUUAGCAGGGGGUAAACCAUAAAGAUAAUGAUAAUAAAGUAUAAGUUCAUGGGAUAGAGAGCACAGCGAUUAGAAAAUAGACUACUCCUCAUAUAUGUAGGUGAUGUCGGAUUAGCUAGAGAAUGGAUUCUAAGUUAUCUACUAACUACUAAGUCAUAAUCUACUCUAGUUAUCUACAAGAUCAUGUAUAGCAUAAAAGACUCUUCAUUCAUGUAUAAGGAACAUUGAUAAAGUAAAUCAGAACAUCGCAUGACUUACUCCACAAUACCGGUUCUGCCUGUCCUAUCAACGGAGGGUGGACUAUAUAAGAAUCAACGAAGCUGUCACUAUCGCGAACUACCACACGACUCGGCCAAUAGGAUACAUUUGCAGAUAAAUAACAUCUAAGCACCACGCUCACAUGUGAUCUAUCACCUAACUCCCUCGCGUCAAGAGCUAAGCGCUUUGCAAACUUAUACAUAAACUCAUUAUCAAUUAGAACUAUAUCAAAUAUAGAACUAGAGCAAACUAAGAACAUAAUAAUUAGAGACAUAAUGCAAUUAGAACAAUAGAAUUAGAGAAAGAUAUGAAUAAUACCAAUCUUUAUUACCGAAGAUCCGAAUCCAGAGCGUAGUGCUCUACUUCUCUAAUUGCUAUCUAAUCAACCUCUAAACUUGAAGGAUUAGGGAGUAGCUAAUUCUAAUUCUCUGUGGGAGAGAAGCUCUAAACCCUAACUUUGAUGGCUACCUCUGAAUAAUGAUUUCUCCUCUCCUCCUCCAGGGGCCAGGGGGUCUGGUUUUAUAGUCCCCUCAAGUGAACGUGAGCCAUUGGAUCAAACCGACAUAGAUUGUAUGGUUUAGAUUGAUCCUUUAGGUCGGUGGAGUCUUUCCCCGAAGCAGAGUCCUGAUUGGCCUCUUGGCCAGGGCGGGCGCCCAAGGGGGGUGGGCGGCCGCCCAGCUCCCGAGCCCGAUUCGCGUCCCGUUCGUUCCCGUGGCUUCUGGAUCCUUCUAGAUUGAGAAAAAUUGCGCGGCAUGUAAUUAUCUCGUUGUAAACAUGACAUGUGGGCCUUCUCUCCAUAUUUUCUGAUAAACCCCUGCAGAAAUAGAUAAACACCAAAGCUCGUGGAAUUCUGUCAGAUAAAACCCCUAUUCUAGAUGUUUGUUUCAUAUUGAUCCUUUUUCAUGUUUAUUUGAUUAUUAAUUUUAGUACUUAAGGACCGUCAACAACGACCUUCCCAGCUCGAGUGCACCAUACCUCGAUAGAGGAGAUCCUAGAAGGAGAACCGGUAACAGCUGGUAUGUUUCCUGUCAACCAACAUCUUGCAGUUGUUUUGUUUGAUUCUAGAUCAUCGCAUUCAUUCAUGAGCCAAGCAUUUGCACAAAAGCAUGACCAACCAGUUACUGAGUUGGAUUAUGGUUAUCGCAUCAGCUUAGCAGGGGCUGAUGUGUUGACUAACAAAAUAGUGACGGGAGUUACCUUAGAUAUCAGUGGCCGAAGGUUCCGUGUAAACCUUGUGGUCAUGCCAGGGCUGGUUUUGGAUGUUAUCAUUGGAAUGAAUAAGAUGACUGACUGGGGCGCAGUUAUAGAUGCUGGACAGAGAACUCUCUCCCUUAAAGAUCCGCAAGGGGAGGUUAUGCUUCAGAUCAAGCUACCUCGACGGUUAGACUUUGCCAGUCUCUCGUGUGCAGUAUAGGUGGUUCCACUAGAACACAUACCAGUGGUCUGUGAUUUCCCUGAUGUUUUUCCUAAGGAAUUACCAGGACGUCCCCCAGAUAGAGAAGUAAAGUUCGCAAUAGAGUUGAUACCAGGUACCGCACCGAUAUCGAGAAGGCUAUACCGGAUGCCGCCUAAUGAGCUCGCUGAGUUGAAGAAUCAACUAAAGGAGUUACUGGAUAAAGGGUUCAUCUGGCCAAGUUCGUCGGAAUGGGGUUGUCCGGUGUUGUUUGUGAAAAAGAAGGAUCAAUUGUUGCGCAUGUGUGUGGACUAUCGUCCACUCAAUGCGGUGACAAUCAAGAAUAAGUAUCCAUUGCCAAGGAUUGAUAUCUUUUUUGAUCACUUAUCUAAGGCAAAAGUGUUUUCCAAGAUAGACUUGAGGUCCGGGUAUCACCAAAUCAAGAUCCGUCUGCAAGAUAUCCCGAAGACUGCUUUCUCCACCAGAUAUGGGUUGUACGAGUAUCUUGUCAUGUCCUUCGGGUUGAAAAAUGCUCCUGCAUACUUCAUGUAUCUGAUGAAUUCGGUCUUUAUGCCAGAGUUAGACAAGUUUGUUGUGGUGUUCAUCGAUGACAUUCUGGUUUAUUGAGAGAAUGAGCAAGAUCACGCCGAGCAUCUAAGAGUCGUGCUAACACGACUACGAGAGCAUCAGUUGUACGCAAAGUUCAGCAAGUGCGAGUUCUGGCUAAAGAAAGUUCCUUUCCUAGGGCACAUUCUGUCUGAAGAAGGGAUUGCUGUGGAUCGUCAAAAGUACAGGAAGUCAUGGACUGGAAGGCACCAACUUCUGUUUCGAAAGUUCGGAGUUUUCUGGGUCUGGCCGGGUAUUAUCGUUGUUUCAUACCCGACUUCUCCAAGAUUGCUAAGCCGAUGACCAGUUUGCUACAAAAGAAUCAUAAGUUUGUGUGGACAGAACGGUGUGAACUAGCCUUCCGCACCUUGCGAAAGUUGCUAACCACUGCUCCCGUUCUAGCGCAACCCAAUAUCGAGAAGCCUUUUGAUGUGUUUUACCUCGAGUUAGCAGCGGUAGUGCACGCUCUGAAGAUCUGGAGGCAUUAUUUGUUAGGAAAUAAGUGUCAUAUUUACACAGAUCAUAAAAGUCUAAAGUACAUCUUCACUCAGUCCGAGUUGAAUAUGAGACAACGAAGAUGGUUAGAGCUGAUCAAAGAUUACGACCUGGAAGUCCACUAUCAUCCAGGCAAGGCUAAUGUGGUAGCAGACGCUUUGAGUCGCAAACCGCACUAUCAAGUGGUUCAACUGUUGUUUGAGGAUGGGUUCAAUUUCAUGCAUCCUGAAGUCUUAUGUCACAUACAACUCAGUUGUUCACUUGAAAGUCAAGUCAUCGAAGGUCAGAAAACAGACAAGGGUAUUUUCUACAUCAAAGAGAAGAUCAAAGAUAACCAAAAAACUCAGUUUCAAGUUGAUGAGAAAGGGGUAUUGUGGUUUCAGCACCGGCUAGUAGUUCCAAAGAAUCGAGAAUUGAAGAAUCGCAUCAUGGAUGAAGCACAUCUCUCGAAGCUUUCUAUUCAUUCUGGCAGUAGUAAGAUGUAUCAAGACCUAAGGUCUCACUUUUGGUGGACUAAGAUGAAGAAAGAGAUAGCAGCAUAUGUGGCCCGUUGUGACACGUGUUGCAGAGUCAAGGCUAUACAUAUGAAAUCUGUAGGCCUGUUGCAACCGUUGUCAGUUCCAGAGUGGAAAUGGGAAGAGGUUAGUAUGGACUUUAUCACGGGUUUACCGACAACACGGAAGGGGAAUGACUCAAUUUGGGUGAUCAUAGAUCGAUUGACUAAGUCGGCUCAUUUCAUUCCGGUUAAGACUCAUUACAGACCCCCCGAGUAUGCUGAUCUGUAUCUAGCUGAGAUUGUUAAGUUGCAUGGUCUUCCCAAAACCAUCAUAUCAGACAGGGGACCACAGUUCACCGCUCAUUUCUAGGAGCGAAUGCAUAAGAGUUUGGGGACUAGUCUGAUAAGAAGCACAGCGUAUCAUCCCCAAACCUCGGGUCAAACGGAAAGACUCAAUCAAAUACUAGAAGAUAUGCUGAGGGCUUGUGUGUUAUCGUCCAAGGGAUCAUGGGAAUCAUGGUUACCUUUGGCUGAGUUCUCAUACAAUAAUAGCUAUCAAGAGAGUAUCAAGAUGGCCCCGUUCGAAGCUUUGUAUGGUCGAAGAUGCAGGACUCCGUUAAACUGGGUCAAACCUAGUGAAAGGAGAUACUAUGGCAUCGACUUCGUGAAUGAGGCUGAGAAAAAGGUGCAAAUCAUACAACAACAUAUGAAGGCGGCACAAUCGUGACAAAAGAGUUAUGCCGAUAAGAGAAGAAGGCCACUAGAAUUCAAUAUAGGUGACUAUGUUUACCUCAAGGUUACGCCAAUAAAGAAAGUUUAGCGUUUCCGAGUUCGAAGCAAGCUUGCACCCAGAUAUGUGGGACCAUAUCAGGUACUAGAAAGAAAAGGGCUUGUGGCCUACAAGAUUCAGUUAACUGAAGAGUUGAGUUCCAUCUUCGCAGUCUUCCAUGUGUCACAGCUACGGAAAUGUUUGAAAGUACCCGAGCAAAGGAUCGAACCCCGAGGCAUCAAGAUAAAGGCACACUUAGAAUAUAAGGAGCAGCCAGUGGGUAUCGUAGAUACCAAAGAGCGAGUAACCCGAAACAGAGUUGUCAAAACCUAUAAGGUGGUGUGGAGUCAUCUUGAUGAUACGGAUGCCAUCUGGGAAACCGAGGAUUACUUAAAAACACUUUACCCAAAAUUUCAUAAGAAAUGGUUAGUAACCCAAAUCUCGGGAUGAGAUUUCCCUAAGGGGAGAAGGGCUGUAACACGUUAGGUGUUAAGCAUGCACUUAGUCUCAUAAAACAUUCAUAAGCAUUCUCAUCAAGCAUGGCAUAAGCAUCACAUCCCAUGAGCACAAUAAUAAUCCAAGUGUGAUUUUAUGUGCUUUAUUUCAAGUGAAUUAAAUAGGUUAAAAAUAUCAUGCUUGCUUCUAAGUUCUUGAAUUGCCCAAAUUAAGUUGAAAUGAGUGUUAGAAUAUUUAAGAGUAAUUUUGUGAUAUUUUUGGAGCCAUAGAAAUUGAGAAAUUGAUUUUAUACUAAAAUUCCCCAAAAUAGAUUUAUUUAAAAACCUAUAACUAGUUUUGGGUGGUAUUUCAAAAUCUAUUUGGAAUUUGUGAAUUCGACUUAAAGCAAAGUUGUAGGGUUUUUGUUUUGGAACAACUUUUAUUUUGAGAGAAAAAGGUGAAAAUGAUUUUUAAAUAGUCCAAAUGAAUUUAGAAAGAAAUUGAGAAAAGAAAUUUAAAAAAAAAGAAAAAGGGAAAGGGGGGCGCUAGGAGGCCGCGGCCUCACUUCUGGCCGCUGGCCGAAGCCGGCCUAGCCCGCCCGCGCUCACCCCACCGUCCCCGCGCUCGCGGCCGCGUCGUGUCCACGCGCGGACGGCCGCGCCGCGCCGCCGUGGCGAGCCGGCAGAGCUCGGCCGCCGCGUGGCGAGCAUGUGGCAGCCUGGACGCGCCCUGGUCGGCCACCAGGAGCGCCCCGCCGCACCCGCCUCCGUCCUCGCUGCCAUUUGCACCCGUCAGCCCUUCCUCUCUUGCCCUCUCGCCCUCGCUCCGCAUGCGCAGAGCGCCGCCGUCGCCAUUGGAGCCUGAGCUCCGCCUCGACCGUUCUACCCCAGCGCGUGCACCAUUCUCCGAUUCGUCCUCCCCCGAGCUCCGCCCCGCUCCGCCGUUGCGGGACACGCUUCCAAGCGUUUGGUGAGGCAUGGUGAGCCCCGCUCGCCCUCGUUCCUUCUCCGGCGAGAGCACCGCCGCCGCGCGCGUAGUCUGCCUGCCUCCGUGCCUUCCGAUGCUGCUUAGUUAGCUCGUCGUGCUCACCUUGGCACCGCGACGCUCGCAAGCCACUCCAAUCGCGCUCUACCGGGCCAACGCCUCGGGUCGACGGCGAGCAGCGCCGCCGCUCUGGCAUGGCCGGUGGCGAGCUUGCUCCUGUUCGUUUCAGGCCGCGCAAGUAGGUUCGCUGAGUUCGCCUUGACCCGUAGAACGCGUAGAGCCCCUCGGUUCGCCGAGAGAGGCCACCGGCGGUGAGCUCCGGCUCGCCGGAGUCGCCCCCUCUCUGCGUUCUGGCUAGCGGGCCCGGCUAGCAGGCGGGUCCGCUCGUCAGUGGCAGCGGGUGCACUGCACCGGGUGCACCCAGCUGGUCCCGGAGGUGGAUUUGAAUUGAUUUUCAGAAAAAUGAUUUCCAGAAAAUAGUUUAAAUGAUAUAAAAUCCAUAUCUUGAGAUUUAUGGCUCCAAAAUUAGUGAAAUAAAUUUUGAUGUAUUCUAGAAUCUCAGAUCUAUAGUUUGGUUUGGUUGCAUAUCAUGUUUGGACAAUUUUUCUGUGCAAUUAUAUUUAAUCCAUGUUUUUUCUGAAAAUUGUAAAAUGCAUAGUAAUUAAAAUAUAGCUCAGAAAAAUAUGAAACUUAUUUUAUUGGCUCUGCAUGGAUGAUUAGGCUCUAGGAAAAAUAUGUUACACAUUAUUUGCUGUAUGAGUUAAUUUAUGGUGAUUUAAAUGCUUGCAUGGCAGUGGUUUAUGAUUUUUAAUAAAUAAUUGGAUCAUGCCAUUAAUCUAGAAAUUUUUGUGGGUGUUUCUUAUGUUAAUAAGUUAAUUAUAAAAAUAUGAAACCUGUUGUUUGAUACUUAUACCACAGUAGAGUAUUUAUACUUGCUUUUAUGAAUUAAUCUUGUGAUUUUUGUAGCCCAAAAUAAAUAUCCAAAUAUUAUGAGAAAUUUAUGGUAGACUUUAUGGUUGACUAGUGAUCUGCUAUGAUUUUUGUGGAAUUUAUUGCUAAACAUAAAUAUAUGCUAUUUUUGUAUUCCUAAAAGUGGAUAAAGAAAUUAUGAAUUUGUUUAUACAUAGAUUAAAUAAAGGAAAAUGGUGUUUGGUGUAUCUUUGAAGCAUCAUGUGAGUUUGCUGGUUAACCAUGAAUACAAUUUGUAGAAGAGAAUGCAAUAGAUGCUUAAUGUACCUGUUCUUGGAUGAUGUUGACUACCUUGUAGAAAUACCACCUAUGUCUUUAUGCACCAUGUCAUGAUCAUUUGGUACCUACUCGCAUAAGCAUUGCACCCCGGGCAUCUCGCACUCCGCUCAUGAGCACACAUGCAUCUUACAGGCUCGCAGGAGAACGAGGUGGGACCCGAGGAGUAGGAGGAGAUCCAGGAGCAGGAACCUCUGGGAGGACCAGAGCCCGGAGAGGAGCUGCAGGAGUACCCGGACCACAGACUGAGCACGUUUGAGAAAGGCAAGCCCCGGAGCAUUCUAAGUCUCCCUAUUCUCGCUAACAUAAACGAUAUAUUAUGCUUGUUUUACUAUGUUGCAUUUAAGUGAUAGGAAUUGCUUGAUAGCGUUGAUGCAUAUGUACUCCUUGAUAUCACCACUUGUUUACCUACCUUGUCCUAUGUAGAUAAGCACGGAGUCUAUGCUUAGCUUGCUUAGUCCGGUAGAAGUCAGGUGAUUUCCUGUCACCUGCGAGAAAUAGGUGGAUACCUGCUUGAUUAGCGGUGAUUGCUUCGAGAAAGGAUAACUAAGUGUGGAGAAGAAUUUGAGACCGGGCAGGGUCUUAUGGUGGGUUGACCGUAGUGCCCCUGCCUGUGUCGAUUAAGGACCGAUCGUUGACGACCCUCUUGUCAUGUUGAACGCAUGCCCCACACUUAGCUGGAAGGAUAAGUCGUUCCGACCGCGAAGCCUGAGCACUAUCCGGGCCGGGAAUCGGCCCGAUGUACGCGCUGUAUUGGUGAUGGUUGAGGAGAACGACGAGGGCGCGGCGCGCAACCUUGGUAUACCUUGGAUACCUCGGUCGCCGGAACGGUCCUCGGGUACGAGCGGUGCCUGUCGAACCCGCGAAUUGGUCCUGGAUAGUGCAACACGGUGAUCUGUAGCUCACUUGAUCAGUGAGUGUGGUUUGUGUGGGGAAUAAACUCGCCAGCUGGUCAGAAAUCGAUUCAAAUCACCAUCGCUCCUGGAUAGUGAGCACUUGACAUGAGCCCUGUCCUCGUAGUAAGGACUAUGGAACACUUGGGAUAGGAUGAUAAAUGAUUUAUGAAUGCUAUGAUGAGGUACCAUCAUAUUACUACACUUGCUUGUAAUAGUAUAGGUGCAAACCUAGAUAAUAGGUAAUGAUAUUACCGAACUUGAGUUAAUUAAAAGAAGAAUGGUCUCAAGACUAUGUUUAGGGAAAUAAUGCUUUUUAUGCAAAAAGUCUUAGCAACCCCAUCAUACAGCCUUCAUGAUCCUUGAAGAGUCUUUAUUUUUUGUUAUGACGGGUAAGUCUAGCUGAGUACAUUCUCGUACUCAGGGUUCUAUUCCCAUGUUGUUUUGCAGAUGGUCAAAUGUACUAUGGUUAUUGCAUCCUCUAUCUGUACCCUGCCAUGGGCGAUGACUAGACCAAGGGCGAUGGGCAUUCUAUCUUCUCUUUUGCUUUUGUGGGAAUGACCGAACUAUGGCACUGUAUCAAACUAAAAUUGUGUGUUUUAUUUUCAGACUUUGAAGCUUCCGCUACUUAAGAACUUGGUUUGUAAUAAUUUUAAGCACUCCGAUGUAUUCGAUGAAUGUUUGUGAACUGCAUGUAAUUGUGAAUGGUGGCCGCUAAACUUAUUACGAUCUUGGCUGUACGUACGAUAUGUGGUUUGAAAUCCUUUGAGAUUUCAUGGACUACCGGGAUUAUAUGGGCUUAAGCUUGAUGGUUCGACUGUGCAAAUGGUCACUAUUAGGCUUAAUCUCUUAUAAUUUGGGCGGUUCUGUUACACUAUUACUCUGGAGCUCCUUAAUUUCCUGAUAGACUUCAGUUUACGCUUUAUAUGUUUGCUGGACUUUUUUCCAUUAUCCUGACUAUUCUUCACCUUCGUGAUCACUAUUUGAUUAUCAUAGUUUAUGAGAAUAGUAGGAACUGGUUUCUCAACCAAGGCAAGUCCAUCAACGUAUCUCUUAACCACUCAGCCUCAGUAGAGGUUGUAUCCAGAGCUGUAAGCUCUGCCUCCAUUGUGGACUUUGUAAGUUUUGUCUACUUACAAGAUCUCCAAGCGAUAGCACCACAACCCAAAGUGAAUAUGUAUCCACUAGUGGCCUUAAGCUCAUCAGCUUCUGAAAUCUAGUUCGAAUUACUAUAUCCUUCAAGUACCCCUGGGUACCCUGAAUAGUGAAUUGCAUAACUCAUUUUACCUUUUAGAUAACGCAUUACUCUAUUAAUACCACGCCAAUGAUCACUUCCUGGAUUAGAGAAAAAUCUACACAACUUGUUAUAGCAAAUGCUAUAUCAGGGUGGGUUGGGCUAGCUAGGUACAUCAAUGAGCCAAUAAUUUGGGAAUAUCUUAGAUGAUCCUUUCCUAAUCUUUUAUUCUUUUGAAGUAUUAAGCUAGGAUCAUAGGGUGUUGGAGAAGGUUUGCAAUCCAUAUAAUCGAAGCAGUUCAAAACCUUUUCCACAUAAUGAGACUAUAAAAGAGUAAUCCAAUUCUCACUCUUAUUAAGUUUAAUAUUGAGGAUCACAUCGGCUUCUCCUAAAUAUUUCAUGUCACAAUUUUGGGAUAAAAAUGAUUUAACAUCAUUCAUCUCAUCGAUGCUUGUCCCCAAAAUUAGUAUGUCAUCAACAUACAAACACAAGAUUACUCCUUUCUUGUCACAGAACCCAUCAAAUUAUAAGAGUUCAAGUGUAGGAACGAUUGCUAGAGCAAUUAAGUUUCCAAACUUGAGCCCAUAUAAUCCCGGUAGUCAAUUGAAAUCUCGAAGGAUUUCAAACCAACUGAGCAACAUACCAAGAUCGUAAUAAGUUCAGCACAAUACAUCGAUUGUUACAACAUUUCAUACAAGGUCGACGAAGUGACACACAUCAAAGUUUACUUAAGUUAUUACAAACUAAGUUCAAAGUAGCGUAAGCAACAUAGUUUUGAAACCAACAUCACAAGUUCAUUGUUACUAUCAGAGUCUCAUCACAUCCACCAAAAGAUAGUCAGGUACGACGAUUAGAGAACUGUGCCCAACGGUUAGUCCUCAUCCCUAGCGGGGUAAAGACAGGUCUUGUAGAAACCAUCAUAGAAUAUAUCAUCUGCAACAAGUGGGAAUAAACCCUGAGUACGAGGUUGUACUCAGCUAGACUUACCCGACGAACCAAAACAAGGACACCAAGGAUCAUGCAAGGCAACUAAAAGAGUGGAGCUGGCUUGACUCAUUUUGCAUAAAAAGCUUAAGUUAGAGAACUAAACCUUUCUUAUUAGCCUCAAGUAAAUUAUCAUUAACCUGCCACUAUAUUAGCACGUGUACUAUAGCACUCACUUGAUUAAUCAUCAAACAAAUAAGCAUCAAACAAAUAAGCCUUUACAUGAGAACAGUUGUCGCAACGAGCGACAAAAGCAGAAAUUUCCUUCUUCAUUUUCAUCCACCAAAAUAGAGGUUUAAGGUCCUGAUACAUCUUACUACUACCAGGAUGAAUAGAUAGUGUUGAUGCAAAAAGUGGAUCUGCAAACACAAAGGGCUAAUACCCGAUUCAAACGUUAAGGCGUGCCAGCCGAUUUGACCUUGCAAUCGACAAAGGUGGUAACUCGACCACUUUGGUCCCGACAACAGCGAUGCGCCCGGAUGUCACGGCCAAGAGGUGAUCACGCGGAACUUGAGAACACGCCGAGCUUAAGUCAACGAAUUCCUAAGAACUCAUAAUGAAAAGAAAAUAUUGACGAAGUCGUUGAAAAAGUAGAUGCUGGAAUAUGAGUAAAAACUUGUGUUUGAUUGAUUGAUAGAUGUUCAUUACAAGGCCCUAGAGUCUACAUUUAUACCCUGCUCAAAGAGCUACAAUCAGACACGACUAGGACUCAAAUUCCAAAUUAAACGGAAUCCAUACGUAAAACGAAUUUAAACAAAACUAUCUCCCGUAACAAACCAGGACACCACCAUAGAUCAAUCGACAACCUUCAUGUUGUCCUUCCGAGUCAUCAGCAGACUUCUCAUCAUAGCCAUCAGCAAAGAUUAACACUGACCAUCGGCACGAACGCGUCACCACUUCUGGACUUAGUCACAUUCAGCUGUCUCCUCAUCGGCAAUCACCCUCAUCAGCAACUCCCCUGCAGACCAGUUACUGUUGCCACAUCUUGCCGAUCUAUAUUUUACCGAUCCCUAGGUACGUGUCAAAAAAACGGUGUCAACAGAUAGCUUGGAUUUAUGAGCUUCAGACAGAAUCUGAUUCCAAAGCUCUCAAUUCUUAGGUACCACAAGCCUAUCUUUAAACCACAAAAUUCCAUUCUCAUCAACCUAGAAAUGCUUGGUUUCUUCCUCUUUCAUCUUUCGUUUUAUGUGGUGGAUACCCACAUCAGUCUGCUGCAACUCAAUCACCCGAUUACAAAGAGAACUCUCUAGGGCAAUGUGGUGAAGCACCACUGGAUGCAUAAGGUGUGACAAGGAAGGAUCCUCAAUCAUUACUGAAUUGCAAUGCGACUUCCGACUCAAGGCAUGGUAGUGCACUUGAAGAUUAUAAUCUUUGAUCAACUCAAGCCAUCUUCGCUGUCGCAUGUUCAACUCUGGUUGAGUAAAGAUGUACUUGAGGCUUUUAUGAUCGGUGUAGAUGUUACACAAAUUACCUAAUAGAUAGUGCCUCCAGAUCUUCAAAGCAUAAACUACUGCUGCCAAUUCUAAAACAUGAGUGGGGUAAUUGACCUCUUGCUUUUGAAGUUGGUGAGACGCAUAAGCGAUGACUCUUCCUUCUUACAUAAGCACACAGCCCAGACCGAUACCGGAUGCAUCGCAAAAGACAUCAAACGACUUCUCGAUAUCGGGUUGAGCUAAGACUGGGGCUGAUGUCAGUAAGGUUCUCAACUUAUGGAAUGUCUCAUAACACUCUGGCAUCCACAGGAACUUUUCAUCUUUCUGAAGCAAACAAGUCAUAGGCUUGGAUAUAUUUUGGAAAACUUCAAAAUGAAACGACGAUAAUACCCAGCUAAGCCUAGAAAACUCCGCACCUCGUGCACUAAGGUUGGAACCUUCCAAUCCAACACUUCUUACACCUUGGUUGGAUCAACCGAGAUUCCUUCUUCAAACAAGACAUGGCCCAAGAAAGGUACUUUCUUUAGCCAGAACUCACACUUGCUAAACUUAGCAUAAAGCUGAUGCUCACGCAACUGAGUCAACACCACACGCAAAUGCUCUGCAUGUUCUUCUUCAUUCCGAGAAUAUACUAAGAUAUCAUCAAUAAAGACCACCACGAAUUUGUCUAAUUUGGGCAUGAAGACCGAAUUCAUGAGAUACAUGAAAUGCACCGGUGCAUUGGUCAGACCGAAGGACAUAAUGAGGUACUCAUACAACCCAUACCUUGUUGAGAAAGUCGUCUUGGGUAUAUCUUCAGGACGGAUCUUGAUCUCAUGGUACCCAGAUCGCAAAUCAAUCUUAGAGAAUACCUUGGCUUUAGACAACUGAUCAAACAAGAUAUCAAUGCGAGGAAGUGGGUACUUGUUCUUGAUAGUCAUCAUGUUGAGUGGAUGAUAAUCCAAUGCGCAAGGAUUGAUCCUUCUUCUUCACAAAGAUAGCCGGACAACCCCAAAGAGAAGAACUAGGAUAAAUAAGACCCUUCUAGAGAUAGGAGCAGUGCCUGGAAGCAAUUUGAUUUUAAACUCCAUGUCCCGGUCUAGAGGAAGCUGUUGACAGUAGAUAAGUAUCAAUUUUAUAUCAACAAGAGAAUGGAAUAAGGGCAUGAAAUAAUCACCAACAGUAGAAUAGGGUUUCAUCUGACAGAUUUCCAUAGGUUUUGGUGAAUGUCUGUUUCUAUAGGGGGUUAUCAGGAAUUGACCCUUAGAGGCCCACAUGUCAUGAUUACAUAGAGAGAAACGAGAUAUCUAUGCCACAUAUACAAAAGAAGGAUCUAGAAGAGUCGAGAAUCUACCAGAACAAAGUAGAACACGAGCGGAGUCUGGGGAGGGCGCCUAGAGGGGGCGGCUGCCCUGCCCUCCUGACCAAUUAGGAGCAGUCUUAUGGAUCGAGCUAUAAUCACCUUUGAGGAGCAUGGAUCUUCAUCCAUUAAGUCAGUUUGAUCCAAGGGUCACUGUUAAUCCCACCGGCCUAUAUAAGGUGGGGUAGACCCUAGGGUUAGAGGCAUUGAUUAGAAGAGAUAACCAUUCCCCUAGGGUUAGAGGCAUUGAUUAGAAGAGAUAGCCAUUCUCAUUGAUAGAAUUCAUUCUCUACCUUCUUCUCUCUAGAGCUCCAAGUUUAGAAGCAUAGCUACACAGAAUAGAUCUAGUUGGAGGCAAGCAUCACUUGGUUUCUAGAUCUGUCGAAAAGAUACUCAGUAAUUCUUGUAAUCUUUAUCCUAUUUUAUUCUAGUCCAUCAUUAUAUAUAUUAUUUCAUCAUAUUAUGAAUAUGACUUUGCUCUAUUCUAUUAUAUUGGAUAUGACUUUGCUCUACUUGCUUAUAUUCUUAAUUAUAUUGUUCUUAGUCUAUUAUGAUUCUAUGCUUGGCAUAGUUGGUUUAGAUUUAUAUUCAAAUAUAUGUUUGUAUAGCGCUCACUCUUUGAUAUCACGGGGAUGGUCGACAUUAUGUAGGUGUGGUGCCUAUAUCGUGUUUGCCUGCAUUUGCAUGCUAUAUUUCGAGUCAUGUGGUAGAUCGCGGGGAUGAUAUACCCAUUGAGUCCUCUAUAGUCCACCCUCCGAAUGUAGUUUCUGUAGACACUAAUUACGAGGAGAUGAUUGCCUUAUUCCUGAUUUUCCUCGGUAAUGUCCAUAUGUGUAGAUAUAAUCUACUCUUGCUAUGAUUGCCAAGUAUAAUUGCACUAAUCAUAAUAUGCUAGACUAUAUAGUUGGAAUAACAUAGGAGACAUCUUAGUAGAUCAUUCUAAUUCAUGUAGUGCUAUAGACCGAAGUACUCUAGAGAUACAUUUAUCAUUCUAUGUUUGAUUACUAUUCAUUAUAUAUAUUUAUCUUGAUUAUGUGACUUACCCCUGCAUUAAGUUAGAUAGAUAAGAUGUGGUUACCCUCAUGAGAUUACAUGCAAGUGGUAUCUAUUCCCUUGGUUAUCAUUCCUGUGGGUAAAAUUAUAAAUACGAUACCUAGAACUUUCCUGGGUGAAAUGCUACAGUGGUAUACAUCUGUGCACUUGCGGAUACCUGAUUCUAUAUUCAUCAUUCUAAGAGAGCAUUGCAUAUUUACUACCACUAGCGUAUUUCUUGGGGUCAUGCUGGGGAUGACAACCUAGCCACUGAGGAUAGGGUCUUUACUCUACUCUUAGUAAGUGAUGCUAAGAAAUGCCAAUAGAAGCCCGGGCAAGUCAUCAGGAAAGAUAUCCAAAAACUCACACACCACCAAAAUGUCCUUGUUGGCACUAGAUGUAACUGCAUUCAUCGUGUUGUGGAUGUUAAUAUCGCGAGGAAGUUGCACUAAGAUGCCUCCUUAGUGCUAGGAUCCCUCAACAUCACCAUGCGAGUAGUGGUGUCAAUAAGGACCCCAUUGCCACUCAUCCAUUUCAUUCCCAAUCACAUCUAUGCCCACACCAGGCAAAACAACCAAAUCAGCAAGAAACUAACGGUCUCCUAUUUCUAGAGUUGUCCCCAAACCACUUGAUUUGUUGAAAUAUUAUUCCAGGAGGCACUAAUGCAAUAACUGCCUUUAUCAAGGGUGACUGCCUUGAGAUUAUGCUUAGAUACAAAGUUUGAACUCACAAAUGAAUGCGAUGCUCUAGAAUAAAAAGCACAAGUGCAACACAUCAGUUAACUAGAAACUUACCAGCCAUCACCAUUUCACCAGCAAGGAUCUCUUCGGCGGGUAUGGGCAGUUGGUUUGCUAAUGACUCGUCUGAUUGCAAUUCUAGCACGGGCGGUUGGCAGGUGGAGCCUUGGCAUUGUUGGGCCUAGUGUUUCCCCUAGGAAGAACAAUGGAAUACCCCUUACGGAACCUAGUUUUCAUCGGAUUCUUCAUCACUGGAGGUUUGUACCGCAUAUUUGGGGUUGGCGCACGAUACUGGGGCUUCGCUGCCACUAGAGCCUUGGACUCGGAUGCCUCGGCCUCAAAAGCUCGCGAGUUUUGGUCGCAGUGUACACAACAUUGUAAUUCUCCUGAGUAAGAGCAUCAUAGACAAACUCAUUGAAUGUAGCACAUUUGGUAUGACCCAUAGUCUUCAACAACUUGGGACCAAGACCUCUCUUGAAACUGGUAAUUUUCUUUACCUUAGUGCUCACGAACUCAGGUGCAUACUUGGAUAAAUGAUUGAAAGCAUGCAAGUACUCCUUCAAGGUUUUGUUAUCCUGGGUUAGCUGCAUAAACUCAGUAUGCUUCACCAUGAGCCCCAGGGGUAUAAAGUGCCCCUUGAAUGCCUCAUGGAAUAGAUUCCAGUCAACCACUGUAUUCUCUGGGAGGGCAUUCCUAUAAUGAUUGCACCAGAUACUAGCGGGACCUUGUAGUUGAUGAGCUGCAUACUCAGCCUUCAGACUGUCGAUCAACCUGAGCAAGCAGAACUUCUGCUCCACCAUGUUCCGCCAUUCCUCAGCCUGAAGGGGUUCCUCAGCCUCCUUGAAAGGUGGGGGCUUGGUCCAUGAAGUCCUUGAAGCUGCUGUAUUGGUUGGGUGCCGGCCCAUGUUGUACAUCUCGGCCCCCUUGAUUUGCCAUCUAAUGAAUAGUGUCAGUUAACAACCUUUGUGAAAGGAUCAAGAUGCCCAAGAGGGGGGGGUGAAUUGGGCUUCUCUAAAAAUUUAAGCAACCUAUAAGCUCCAAUUCACCCGCUUGUGCCUAGGUGUGUUCUAUGGAGGUACCAGAUAAAAGUUUUGCAACCUAGUUCCAAUCCUAUUCUAGCAUGGCAUUAUAGAAUUGUAAAUGCUCAAAGUAAAUGCUAGAAUGUAAAGGAUGAGAGCUAGAAGAAUGUAGCAAUGUUUUGCCGAGGUAUCAGAGAGUCGCCACUCUCUACUAUUCCUCAUUGGAGCACCUGUGCAAGGGCCUUGCUCCCCCUUGGUCCGCUUAAGGACCAAGUGCUCUCUAUGGGCUGAUUCUUCAACACUCCGUCGCGGUGAAUCACCCAAAACCACUCACAAGCUUGACACGAGCCACCCACAAGAACUUUGGGCAGUCUUCGUGCCUCUAAUCACCACCGAACCAUCUAGGUGAUGGUGAUCACCAAGAGUAACAAUCAAAGAACUCUCACUUAACCCAAACAAGGCUCUAGAGAGUGGUGGAUGCACACUUAAACUCUUGGAACUCAACUAGAGAAGGAUUCACUCAAGAAAUCACUCAAUUCUCAAUCCUCUCUAGGCUCUUUGCACCACAAGGUGUGACUCAGCUGAUCAAAUGGGCAAGAGACCUCCCAUGGACGAGGUGAAGGAGUAUAAAUACCCCCCAUCAAGUCCAAGGGCCGACCACCCGAAUUCCUCCAAAAACGGGAGCACCGAAUGCGCUCCGCAGAUCGUCCGGUGCUCCAUCAAUAGCUAAUUGUACUUGCUCUGCAACACACCAGACGCACCCACAGUGGAUCCGGUGACUCACUUGGAUCGUGUCCGGUGCUAGGGCAAACUUCAACCCUCUCUGGGUAUGGGACCAGACGCACCCUAGUGGGUCUGUUGCGUGCGUCCGGUGCUCGGUCAAACUGUAGACCUCCCUAGGUAAGGGACCGGAUGCACCCCGACGAGUCCAGUGUGUGCGCCCCGUGCCUAACCCUAGGCACCCAGGCACGCUGACCCAAGUCAGCACCACUGGACGCGCUCAUAGAGCGUUUGGUGCCUGUUUCAGCAUAAAAACUUCGUCAAAGUGCAAUCUUUCCAAAAUGAAGUUUGUUCCCCUCGAUCUAAGGACUUUCUCAGAGCUACCUAGUGCUAGGUUUACCAAGUGUGCACCACACCUAAAUCUAAAGCCUUGCCUAGGUCAAGCUACCCACUCAAUGCCCCCUUAACAGUAUGGUCAAAGGAAAAACAAAGUCCUAAACUACUCUAGGUGCCCUUCUUCACCAUAUGGCCCCUAGACCUAGUCUAGUUUCGAUGAUGUCCAACAAUCCUUUGAAAACCAAAACAAUUUCCACCAUUAAGUCGGCAUGAAUGAUCUAGUCCAUCAAUCACCAUUACCAUGACCUAACAUAAAUGACUUUGCCUCUACAAAACACACGUUAGUCAUAGUAAUCAACAUUGUCAUUAAUCACCAAAACUCAUUAGGGGCCUAGAUGCUUUCAGUCUCCUCCUCUUUGGUGAUUGAUGAGAAUAACCUCGAGUAUGUUUGAAGUGAGGUUUUCAAUUAACUUGGUUUCUAUAAGCAUGUGACAAUAAGAACAAAAAAGAUUAGACAUGCUUAUAUCAACCAAGCCUGAUAUCCUGUAUCCUGAAAUGUAAGAUGUGUGCAACAGGAUACAACAACAUAAGGCUCAUAAGAUAUUGGAGUAAGAACAUAGGAGCAAAACAAAAUGAGCCAAACACAUGACAUAAAGGAUAUUAUCAUAAAGCAUAAGUCAUGUCUCACAACUAUAACAAAAAGUAUCUCACAAAUGCAUAAAGUAAACAUGAUGCAUGAAGAGUGUCGCCGAAAGCUAGUCGGCAGUUUACCUUGGGGUAUACCCAUGGUAGUAGUUUAUCGGUAGACGGUGCGCAAACUACGAACUCGAUGGUGACGCAAGACACGGACAAGCUUUUUAUCCAGGUUCGGCCGCCGAGUUGGCGUAAUACCUACGUCCUGCGUCUGAUUGUAUUGGAUUGUGUUGAGAGAUAAUGUGUCCUAGGGGGGUCCCUUGCCCCUCCUUAUAUAGUCUGGAGGGCAGGGUUACAGAUCUGGAAACUAAUCCUAGUCGGUUACAAUUGCCAUUGAUAAUUCGAUAUCAAUUCCUAUUCUAACCGACUAGAAUCCUGCUUGAUCUCCACGUCUUCUUUCCUUGCGCGAAACUUCAAGUUGUCGGAUCAAGCCUUGAACUCGUCUCGUAAUGGGCCAAGCCUCCUAGCCCAAGUCUAGCCGUAAGGGUAUAAGGGUUUAUACCCCCACAGCUAGUCCCCGAGCACCAUGUAUUGUGAUGUAACACGCCGUCUUGAGCUUCUUCGAUCAGUGAGGCUUGACGUAUCGAAGAAGCAGGUUGUUUGAAGAAUGCAUGGUGCUCUAAAUUAAAAAAGAUUUCUUUCCUGGUGAAGUGUGCCCACUUUACUUUUCUGAAAAGUAUAAACCUCAAAAAAGCAAGCAUAUUCACCGCAAGGUGAAGUGUGCCCACUUAGUCCCCGAGCCUGGUAGUAGGUGGCGUAGGCACGUGGUGCCAGGGUCAAAAGAAAAGUCCUUAAAGAAAUUUUGAAACUGAGAUGCAUCGCCAGAUGCAUCGUACCGAUGUAGUCCCCGAGCUUGCUGGAAGGCGAAGUAUGAGCCUUAUAGCAAGGUCUAAAAAAUUAAAUUUACCAGUUCGUCUGCAAUUGGAUAGACUAAUCGACCAGUCCCCUGGUGUACAAUAGUAUGACGACCAGUCCCCAAGCACCAAGUGCGCUCCUUAAAAUUCUACGUUGCUAUACUGGACGACCAGUCCCCGAGCAUCAAGUGCUCGGUGGUCGGUACAGUCUUUGAAGUUCCCAGUUGAUAUACUGGACGACCAGUCCCCGAGCAUCAAGUGCUCGAUGGUCGGUACAGUCUUUGAAGUUCCGAGUUGAUAGACUAAGCGACCAGUCCCCGAGCAUCAAGUGCUCGGUGGUCGGUGCAGUCUUUGAAGUUCCGAGUCGAUAGACUAGGCGACCAGUCCCCGAGCAUCAAAUGCUCGGUGGUCGGAGCAGUCUUUGAAGUUCCGAGUCGAUAGACUAGGUGACCAGUCCCCGAGCAUCAAAUGCUCGGUGGUCGGAGCAGUCCCCGGUUUGUUGACUCCCUACCAAUUUUAUCUGCUUUUUUUGAAAAAAUUUCCACACAAAGAGUUGACGUGACGAGACCUUCUGACGGGAUGUCAGAUGGAUGCAUGAAAAGUUGCGCCUGGCAACUGUACAGCCGCCCUUUGCGCGGUUUGAGAAAAGGAAACCAUCAAUUUGUAUGAAAACUCCACCGCAUUAAUUGUCGAUAAUCAUUGAAAACCGAACCGUCGCGUCCGCCGUAUGGCCCGCCCAUUUCCCAAGAAUGCGGGAAGUGGGACGGGUGAAGUUGCGGGUUAUAAGAGUUCGACAGUCCCGCCUGUAUUGCUUACCCUACCAUUGCCUUCAAGCCUUCGACUCUUGCCUCCUACAAUCACUCGCAUCUUCCUAACUCAAAUCCACUUCCUCACCUCCAAUGGCGAAGAGCGACUCCAAGAAGAGGGCCGAGCUGAUGGCCAAGGAGUGGAAGAAAUCUCGCAGCACCACCAAGUCUCUUUGUGACCUCGUCGAUAUGGGGCUUCUGCACGGCCCGGAGCUCGGCGGCUGGAGAGCGCCGGAAGGAGAGAGCUUCCCCGACCCCCGUGCCGGUGAGAUCGUGGUAUUCGAAGACUUCGUUAAGAGGGGUUUUGGGGUUCCUGUUUAUCCCUUUCUUCAGGGUCUUCUUCUUUAUUAUGAGAUCAGGAUUUGCAAUCUGCACCCGAACUCAAUCCUUCUUAUUUCUACAUUUAUCCAUUUGUGCGAAGCCUAUGUUGGCAUAGAACCGCACUUCGACCUUUUCCGCUAUCUUUUUUGUUUAAGAAAGAAGGGAGCAGUUGGAGGCUCCAAGGUUACAGGUGGAGUAUACCUCAACCUUCGUGACGGAAUGAAGAAUCGCUACCUGCACUGUCCAGGGAACACUUCCUUGACCGAAUGGUACAGGAAGUGGUUCUACAUCAGGGAGGAACCGGGCAGCUCCACGUUCUGCGACGUGGGAUACAUUCCUGAGAAGAGGGUAAGCUGGACCGACCGCUCGGAGUUCGAUGGUCAAGUGGCGGACCUCAUGAAGCUGAUCGACUGGUCGCGCCUAGACGGGCUUGGCGUGGUCGGCAACUUCAUUUGUCGUCGGGUGAUGCCCUGCCAGAAGAGGGUGCACUCGGCGUACGAGUAUGCCGGAAGCGUGGACCCGACCAGGAUGCGACCUGAGAUCCUGGAGAAGGCGGAGGUACAGCAGCUGUUGAACGAGCUGUUCAACUUCGCGGACGGAGGCUUCAUCCGUGGUAGUGAUCGGGUGCAAGCUUUCAAGUUGGGACGACCAGCACCAAAGGUGCGUUACAGAUUAUUUUGUUUUAGCAUUCGUAUAUCGUCUGCAGCUGGCUCAUCUUUGUUGCUUUUGCAGAUCGGCGAUGUCGACCGGUGCACUGUUUAUGUAUCACUGGCACCGGGGAUGGAGAAUCCUGCGGGAGAAGAUCCGCCAGAGGAGGACGCUGCUCGGUGUACUCAUUACACCAGCAGUGAGGAAGACCAGGCCCGCCCCGUCCCGACCACCGAGGAUAGGGUGACGGGGAAAAGGCCAAUGCCCGCGGAUCCAUCGCCGGCGCUGACGCUGCCGGCAGAGAGCAGCCGAGCGCCAAAGCGACGUCGGUUCGUUCGGAUCGACGACGACGACGAGGAGGAGGAGGAGGCCGUACCGUCGUUGGUCCGGAGGCCUCAUAGUCGUCCGGACAGCGGGCCGACCACUGCUGAUCGUGUGGCCGGCGACCCUCCUGCGCCUCGUGUUGCAGAGUCGGGGGCACAGGAGCCGACUGGCCGGACGAGGAGGAGGUUCACCGCGACCCACCGUCGCUCAGACCUGUAAGUGUUCGACUUACGCAUUUCGGCGAUUUUUUUUUUAAUUCCACUUUUGUUCCUUUAGCGCAGCGUCGGAUGUCAACCCCGGCCAUGCCGCCGGCCAGGGGACAGGUGAGCCUGUCUGCGCUGCUGAAGACGUGGCGCCGCAGACCACAGAGCAGCCUACGGCUGCAGCCGUGCCUGUGAGUACCGAGGAGCUUCCGGCCAUGGCACCGACUACGGCGAGCAGCCCGACCAUCCCCACGCCGCCCCGAGCCGGGACCGCUUCGACCGCAGGAUCCCCGGGUCUGGUCCGGGGGCCAGUAAUGCCUGCGACUACUACCGGGGGCAAUGCAGCGAGGGAGGAGGAAAACCAGGCGGCCUCCGACGAUGAGGUGGAGGAGAUUGAAGGUCAUCCCCGUGAUGGCCGCCAACACGUGUAUGUGUGGCGCCAACGCGGGGAUCACUUUAUCGGGCAUGAGGAGCUCGCCGAGACCGAGGAGGCCGCCAGGGUGGAGCGCGCGGCCAAACGCCUCGUCGACGAAGUCAAGGUAAGCGAUUCUUUGUACUGCUGUACAUUCUGUGCGUUGUCUUGCUUGGUCGACAUAUGUUUGCUUUGUAGGGCGCGAUGAAAACAGCGAAGUACCGGAAACGGUGCUUCGACCAGAUAGAAGGCGUCGUGGCCGAGAACAAGGCCCUGGCCGCGGAGGUGGACCGGCUGCGGCCGAAGGUUGGGGAGAAGGUGGCCGAGAUGAAUGCCCAGGAGGAGCAUCGUCUCGAGCUUACCCGUCGCUUGGCCGACCAGUACCGGCAGCGAGAAGGUUAGUCACGCUCUCCGAGCAGCUUUGUGUAGCUGUGUAAUUUGCUUUACUGAUCAGGUUAUGAUUCACUUAGACAUGGAGGAGGAGGUGGCGCGGCUCCGACAGGAGAAGGAGCAGCUCAACCAAGAGCUCGCUGGUGCGCUGGAGUCCGGGCGCCGAGCAGGAGAAGAGUUGGGUCGGAAGGACCGGGAGUUAUCUGGUAAUACGCGUCGCCUUGUUAUCUGCCGCUUGUUGCCCCCUUUGUUUUUUGAUAUGUCGAAAAUAACGUCCUGCUUGAUUUGCAGUGCUCAAGGUGAACGCUAAGAAGCACCUGGAUGAGCUGGUCAACGACCGGGACUCCUGGAAGGUCAAUUGUUGUAAGAUCUGGAAAGGAGUAUCCCCGGUCCUGGAUCUGAUCAGUCCCGAGCUCCCAGAGAGCCAGCCCCGCGCGCCGAAGUUGACUCCGGUGGAGAAGGCGCAACGGGCGUGGGACUGGCUCCAGCAAUUCGUGAAGGACGCUGGGGAGUUUGCCGGCGCGCAUGUCCUUAGCAUGGUGCGCGCCCAUUACCCCUUGGUCGACUUGUCCAGGCUGGAGAAAGGGUACCCCAAGGAGGUCGGCCCGCAGGAGGCGGACGAGCUUCGGGGUGGUCUGCUGGACUUGUCGUCGACGGUGAUCGGCGACAUCAAUCUGUGCGGAACGGCCACUCCCCCAGACCAGUCGGGCUCAGAUAGGUCGGCCAGGGAGCUGUCAGGCGCGUCCAUUGCGGGAGAUGGGCGGUCGACGCCUGCGGUCUCGACCAGCCAGGCGCCGGUGGCCCCGACCCCUUUGUCCGGGCAGCAGGGCUAAGCGGGUGAUCGACCCGAGCAGUUAGGCCGAUAGGGUAGUCUGUAGGAAUAGACUAGCGUCUGCCCGUCAGGUUAUUUAUUGUAAACUUUGUAUGUGAAGUUUGUAAUAAAGUUUGCUUUUGUCAUGACUGUUAUUUUGAGCGCUGUAUAAUUAUCUGUGUGACGUGUCACUGUACUUGACUUUGUAGUCGCUAAGAGCUUCCGUUGCAGAAGGUUUGCCGAGUUCUGCGUGCAGCAAAGUAUAGGCAAAAAAUAGAAAACUUUAUUAUUGACAAUUAUAAGAUAUUUACAAGCGAAAGUUAUUAGAACUUAUGGAUAAAAUCGUCGAAGUUUGUCUAUGUGCCAAGAGUUAGGCACGCGUGUUCCGUCUGGGUAUGCCAAUCUGUAGGACGUGGGUCGUGUUACUUCGGCGACCACGAAGGGUCCUUCCCAGGGAGUGGAUAACUUGUGCAUUCCCUCUUGGCUUGUUCUCCACCUAAGUACCAGAUCGCCGACCAUGAAGGAACGGUCCUUGACAUUCCUGUUGUGGUAUCGCCUGACUGCCGCGAGAUACUUUGCUGUUCGGAGACAAGAAUUCAAACGCUUUUCCUCCAUGCAAUUGAUUUCGAGUUCUCUGGCAUUGUCGGCUAUCGCCUGGUCAAAGUGUUCAAUCCUAGGAGAUCCGAAGGUUAUGUCAGACGGUAGGACUGCCUCGGAGCCGUAAACCAUGAAGUAGGGAGACACUCCUGUGUUCCGACUGGUCUGUGUUCGGAGGCCCCAGACCACUGCCGGCAACUCUUUCAUCCAUCGACCGGGUGCUCUGUCGUUCUCGGUGUACAGUCUUUUCUUUAGGGCAUCAAUGAUCAUUCCGUUUGCGCGUUCAACUUGACCAUUGGCCCGUGGAUGAGCCACUGACACAUAUUUUAUGACUAUGCCCCUGUCAUCGCAGAAGUCCCAUAAUGUGGUGCCAGUGAAUUGAGUACCCAGGUCGGUGAUUAUGCUGUUCGGGAUGCCGAACCUAUGUAUGAUUUGAUUGAGGAACUCCACAGCCUUCUCGGAGGUCGCUUUGACCAGAGGCAUGUAUUCGAUCCACUUGGAGAACUUGUCGAUUAACACGAAAACAAACUUGAAGUUGCCGGGAGCUGGUUUAAAUGGCCCGAUCAUGUCAAGCCCCCAGCAAGCAAAGGGCCAGGACGACGGGAUGGUUUGAAUUUCGUGAGCAGGUGCGUGGGUCCUUUUAGCGAAGAGCUGACAUCCCUCGCAGUGCCGGACCAGUUUUUCUGCGUCGCUAACCGCGGUUGGCCAAUAAAAACCUGCCCGGAAGGCUUUCCCGACCAAUGUUCUGGAUGCGGCGUGAUUGCCGCAGGAUCCAGCGUGUAUGUCUUCUAGGAGCUUCAUACCAUCAUCUUGGGAUAUGCACUUGAGCAGUACUUCAGAGCUUGCGUUUUUUCGCAUGAGUUUGCCGUCGACCAGGAUGUAGUUCUUUGACCGUCGAAUGAGGCGCUCGUUCUCUGUUUUGUCCUGAAAGCCUGUCCCGUCCGAUAUAUACUUGUUGAACGGGGUACGCCAAUCACGACCACCGGUUGUCGGAGUGGCGUCGUCUAUGAGCAUUGCCUCGGUGGGUUCCUUUUCGACCAGGGUAGAGCCUACGCUUGGCUCGUGUAUGUCCUGGAUGAAAAUACCCCGCGGGAUCUGGGCCCGAGAUGACCCUAACUUCGACAACGCAUCUGCUGCCUGAUUCUUAUCCCGGACCACGUGGAUGUACUCUAUGCCGUAGAAGUUGGUUUCCCAUUUGCAAAUUUCUUUGCAGUAGAGAUCCAUCUUCUCGUGGGUUGCGUCCCACUCCUUGUUGAGCUGGUUGAUAACCAGGGCAGAGUCGCCAUAGACAUAGAGGCGUUUGACUCCCAGCUCAACGGCUAGCCUUAUGCCGUGCAGGCAUGCUUCGUAUUCGGCGACAUUGUUUGACGCCAGAAAGAGGAUCCUAAGGACGUAACGCAGCUUGUUCUUGUUAGGCGACACGAACAGUAUCCCAGCGCCGUUGAUGUUCAAGGAUCCGUCAAAGAACAUUGACCAGUGGUCGGAGACAUCGGGAACGGGAGGCUCGUUGAGAUCUGUCCAUUCAGCAAUGAAAUCGACCAGGGCCUGAGACUUGACUGUGGUGCGGCUCUAGAACUCCAGGGAAAAUGGGCAUAAUUCCAUCGCCCAUUUCACGAUUCUGCCGUUGGCGUCUUUACUGCGCAGAAUGUCCCCGAGAGGGAAACUGGUGGUUACCAAGACUCGAUGGCCGUCGAAGUAGUGCUUCAGCUUUCUUGAUGUUAUUAGAAUGGCGUAUAUGAGCUUCUGUAUUUGUGGGUACCUGGCCUUGGACUCGUUUAAGACUUCGCUUAUGAAGUAAACGGGUCUCUGGACCUUAUAGGCAUGACCUGGUUCAUCUCGCUCGACCACUAUUGCUGUGGAAACAACCCUGUCGGUUGCAGCAAUGUAAAGUAGUAGGUCUUCAUCGGGCUGAGGCGGUGUAAGGACAGGUGGUGAAGUGAGAAAAGUCUUAAGCUGAGUGAAUGCGGCGUCGGCUUCCUCUGUCCAAGAAAAUUUUUCCGACGCUUUCAAGAGUUUGAAGAAAGGGAGGCCUUUUUCUCCUAGUCUUGAGAUGAAGCGACUGAGGGCGGCCAUACAUCCGGUAAGCUUCUGAAUAUCCUUGACGUUUUUAGGUGGUCGCAUGUCGAGUACUGCUUUUACUUUUGAAGGAUUUGGCCGUAUGCCGUCACGACUGAUAAUGUUGCCGAGCAGUAGACCAGAAGGAACACCGAAGAUGCACUUUUUGGGGUUUAGCUUCCACUUGUACCUAUUAAGUGCCUUAAAAGUUCGGUCUAAGUUGUCGAUUAGGGUGCUCGCAUCCCUUGUUUUGACGACCACGUCGUCUACAUAGGCUUCGACGAGGUCAUCACGAAUCUCGUCGUGGAGGCACUGCUGGAUGGCCCGUUGAUAAGUGGCUCCGGUGUUUUUGAGUCCGAAUGACAUGGUCGUGUUUAUUGAGAUCAGUGUAAUCAACGCACAUUCUCCAUUCAUUAUUCUUUUUGCGUACAAGAACCGGAUUGGCGAGCCAAUCGGGGUGAUACACUUCUUUUAUGAAUCCGGCUGCUAGAAGCCGUGUUAUUUCUAUCCUAAUAGCCUCCUUUAUGUCACGAGCGAACCGUCGUAGCUUUUGCUUGAUUGGUCUUGCGGUCUUCGAGACAUUUAAGGAGUGCUCGAUCAGGUUUCGUGGGACGCCGGGCAUAUCUGCGGGUUUCCAUGCGAAAACGCUCACGUUGUCCAUAAGGGUAUAGGGGUUUAUACCCCCACAAAGAGUAGCACACAAAAGAACCAAAAGCCCACUCACUAGCUCCCCCUAAAUCUAACAUACUCUCCCUCUCCUCCUUUGGCAUCAAACGCUAAAAACCUAAGAAGCUACAGGUGGAGGUGGAGCGGAGGAGUCACGUGGCACUGCCUCAAAAUGAGCUGUUGUUCGGUAUUUUAAACUCAAACAAAAAAAUCCGCAAGCGCACGGAUACCGAUGUAACUUUCACCCGAGAGUAUUCCAGAGUAUCGAUUUUCCACAGGGAACGUGAGUGUACUAAUUAAGAUUCAAGAUUGCCCAAGGAUAACUAUAUAAUUAUUUUUGGUGGGAAGAGAGGAAGUUUUCUGAGAGUUCUCUAGUUGAUCUAAGAAUCAAGAAUUACUUCAAAGAUUAUUUAUUUUGGGACAUCAGAACACUAACCAUAGAAAGAGAUGAGAUAGGGGGCUAGGAAGCUCUGACUACGGUCCUACAAACACCGAUCCGAACGAGGUGGAAUACGUCGACCGUUAGGGCUGUCACUACCCUAGGGCUACCACAAUAAUCCGCAGGAUUGGGUGCAAUUCUAGGUAAUUGCAAGACUAAACACCACGUCUAAUCUAUUAAUUACUACUCUAGCAUUAUAAAGACUAGAGCACUUGAUGCAAGCGGGAAUCCAAUAAAUAACUUGAAUGUAAAUAAAAGUUAUUAAAGAACUCAGGAAUUAUGAAUUGAAGAACUUGGAGAACGUUUAAGAACGAACCAGUUGCUGCAAAAGUACAAUGUUGAGGAAGAUCCGACAAAUCUGGCACCUCCUCCGCUCUCCUCUUCUCUCUCCCUAUUUUCUAGAUUACAACUAGAACUAACUAGAACUAGAACUAGAUGAACUAGAACUAGAAGUAGAUGAGCUAGAGGGAUCUCUCUACUUGGAUGAAUAAUUGAAACCCUAGCUUUGAUUGUGUAGAAGAGGUAUGUUCGACAGGGGCUAGGGGGGCCUGCUUAUAUAGCCCUUCCAAAUGAACGUGGGCCGUCGGAUCAAACCGACCUUAAUCGCACGGUUCUCCUUGACCCUCAAAGGCAGUGGAGCACGAUCCGCGAGAUUUGCCCUGAUUGGUCACCAGUGCAGGGCGGGCGCCCAAGGGGGGGAGGGCGGGCGCCCUCCCCCCGGGCCCGCUCGGCCUCCCGUUCGUUCCCCUGGCUUCUGGAGUCUUCUAGAUGAUAGAAAAUUGGUGCACACGUUAAUAUCUCUAUGUAAACUCGACGUGUGGGCACUUUCCUCCAUAUUUCCUCAUAACCCCCUACAGAAAUAGACAAACACCAAAACUCGUGGAAUUCUAUUAGAUGAAACGCUAAUUUUGGAUGUUGGUUGCAUAUAGCUCCUUUUCCAAGAUUGGUUGACGGUUAAAUGUGAGCAUUAAGGACCGUCAACAAGCUCCCCCAAGCUUAACCUUUGCUUGUCCCUGAGCAAAGCUAAAAUCAGCAAGAAGACAGGGGUUACUUUUAUGCCUCUUACUACAGAGACCUUAAGUUAUCACUAAGGUCCUAAGUGAUUGAAAAACAGAACGAUCAAGUCAAGCACUAUGUCUCUAGUUCUUCUGUCUUACCUUUGUUCUGGAGUUUUUUUUGUAAGUUUCCAAAAUAAAACUAAGGCAUUUGGCUUCUUCUCGAAAGAUAUAUAAGUAGAGCUUUAAAAGUUUUAGCAUACUUACUUUGCAUUUUGCUAUGUCAAUGCUCGGAGCAAGGGAGAGGAAUGUCAUACUCCUAGAUCAAGACCUUUGACCUUUUUGAAAAGUUUGUCAUCUCUUACUGGCAUAUUGCUUAUUAGAGGGACCAUGGGCUAUCAUUUUUUUCUUUCUUUUUUAGUCUCUCUCUCUUUUUUUUAUGAAGUGGGCACCAAGUACCCCUAAUUCUACUGUCGGACAUGUGUCCAUUUUUUCCACUCAGGUGGGUAUCUUUGUACCCCUAAUUCUACUUCGGACACUUGUCCAUUUUUACCUCUCGUCUCACUCUUUUUUUUGAAUCAAAUUUUUGCAUAGUCCUAUGCCUCUAACGCAAUAAUACUUCAAAAGAGUGAAUCUUUUAUAUUUUUAAAAAGACCUUGAUCUUUGGAGCAUGAUAAUUCUCUCAACCGAAACUACAAGAAUUAACAAUGGCUUGAACAAAGCAAGUGCCCACAGUUUUAAUAUUUAUAUCUUAUAAGACUCUAGGUAUUAUGUCAAACGGGAUCUCAUUCCUUUUUUUCGAAUUUUAGAUUUUCAAAAGAUAAAAUCUCCAGAACUCUAGCAAAACUUGGAACAAGUUAAAUAGUAGCUCAGACCUUCUCAUAUCAUGUUUGUCAAUUACCUAUACUUGGAUCAAACUUUCUUUUUAUUUUAUUAAAAACUUAGGAUUACACAAAACUAUUGUAUAUUACUCAAAAUAAAAACUUUGUUUUGGUUUCAUGGUUAUGCAUUAUUUAUUUAUUUAUUUUUGAAUACUAGUAAAUAAAACCAAGAAAGAAAAGUAAUACUUAUCUAGAUAUAAGUGGGGGUGCCUCCCCCAAACUGGAUGCUUGUGGCCUGCAUGUUCGGUCUCACUCUUCUUAAAGCUCAAAAUCCUGCACAACCCAAAUAGACAACAAAACUCAUGGAGCAUGUUAAGGUUUAGGUAAUUGUCUAGAGCUUAUGAGAGCUUAAUGUGAGAAUUCUACAAACUCAAUUACAUCAAGUUCCUCUGCCAGGUUGUUUUGUGGCUCGAGAUAGAUUUUCAAGCGUUGACCAUUUACCUUAAAAGUGUUACCUAUGUUGUCUUGGAUGGUAAUGGCUCCAUGAGUUGAAGUGUCAAUAACCUUGUAUGGUUCAUCCCACUUACUUCGUAGCUUACCAUGCCCAAAGAGCUUAACUCUUGAAUUGAAUAGUAGAACCUUAUCUCCAGGCUUAAACCCCUUGUUCUCGAUUCUUUUAUCAUGCCAUCAUUUUGUUCUCUCUUUAUAGAUCCUUGAAUUGUGGUAGGCUUUCUCUCUCCAUUCUUCUAGCUCAGAUAGUUGCAUCAGACGAUUCUCGCUAGCGAGGUGGAGAUCCAUGUUCCAUUUCUUGAGUGCCCAAUGAGCCUUAAACUCUACUUCCACAGGCAAAUGACAAGUUUUUCCAUAUACAAGUUGAUAAGGUGACAUGCCUAUGGGUGUUUUGAAUGCAGUUCUAUAUGCCCAAAGUGCAUCAGGAAGUUUGUCCUUCCACCCCUUACCCAUCUCAUCUACGGUCUUUUGUAAAAUAUUUUUGAUUUGUUUGUUAGAUGUUUCGGCUUGACCGCUAGUCUGAGGAUGGUAUGGUGUUGCGACGUUGUGUCGAACUCCAUGAUCGGCUAGGUAUUUCCGGAAGAUUUUGUCGAUGAAGUGGGAACCUCCAUCGCUUAUAACUAUCCGGGGUAUACCAAAGCGAGGAAAGAUUACUUCAUGGAACAUUCUCUUGGCAUGUUUUGAAUCAGCUGAUCGACAAGGUAGGGCUUCUACCCAUUUGGACACGUAGUCCACAACUACUAAGAUAUACUCGCAAUUCCCGGACAUAGGGAAUGGCACCAUGACCCCAUACACCGAAAACUUCUACUUGAAGAUUAUUUGUGAGAGGCAUUUCAUUUCGUGAGUUGAUAUUCCCAUGUUUUUGAGAUCGGUGACAUCUCCUGACAAAGUCCUUUGUAUCUUCAUACAUCGUUGGCCAGAAAAACCAACUUUACCAAAUUUUAGCAUGUGUCCAGAAUUCUCCAUAGUGUCCUCCAUAUGGCGAGGCAUGGCAUCUUUCCAUAAUUUGAGUAGCCUCAGCCAUAGGAACACACCUUCUCAAGAGUCCAUCAGCGCAGACUCGAAAAAGAUAUGGCUCAUCCCAAAGGUGGAAACGACUAUCGUGAAGCAACUUCCUUUUGUUUGUACCAGGUGGGACAUAGCCUUUUUCUAUAAAGUUUACGAUGUCAGCGUACCAUGGAUCUGCAUGUGUUACCUUAAGCAGGGUGUCAUCCCUUAGGUAGUCAUUUAUGGGAAGCUCAUCAUGUGUUUCCUUAUAUUGAAGCCUAGACAAGUGGUCAGCUACGAAAUUCUCUACUCCCUUCCUAUCACGGAUUUCUAUGUCAAAGUCUUGGAGUAGAAGAAUCCAUCGAAUUAGACAAGGCUUAGCAUCUUUCUUAGUGAGGAGGUACUUGAGAGCAGCACGGUCUGAAUAGAUUAUUAUCUUUGCCCCCACUAAGUAAGACCAAAACUUGUCUAUAGCAAAUACAACAGCCAAAAGCUCUUUUUCAGUUGUAGUGUAAUUGAGCUGUUGUCCAGACAAGGUUUUGCUAGCGUAGGAUAUGACAUAAUGCUUUUUAUCCUUGGUUUGUCCUAAAACGGCACCAACCGCAAAAUCGCUAGCAUCACACAUGAUCUCCAAAGGAAGAUUCCAAUCAGGUGGCUGGAUAAUCGGGGCUGAGAUGAGUGCUUUCUUAAGAGUUUGAAAAGAUUCAUGACACUCAUUACUAAAGAUAAAAGGUGCAUCCUUAGCUAGGAGACUAGUUAGGGGUCUAGCAAUUUGAGAGACUUGAUAAAGCGUCUAUAGAACCCUGCAUGCCCCCAAAAAGCUACGGAUUCCUUUCACAUUCGUGGGAGGUGGAAGUUUUUCAAUAACUUCAAUCUUUGCUUUGUCCACCUCUAUACCAUGUUCGGACACUUUAUGUCCUAGCACUAUUCCUUCCUGAACCAUAAAAUGGCAUUUCUCCCAGUUUAGGAUUAAGUGCUUUUCUUCACAUCGCUGCAAGUCUCUAUCUAAAUUCUCCAAACAAUGAUCGAAGGUUUUGCCAUAGACGGAAAAAUCAUCCAUGAAAACCUCCAUGAUCUUCUCAAUCAUGUCCAAGAAAAUAGACAUCAUGCACCGUUGGAAAGAAGCUGGAGCAUUGCACAAUCCGAACGACAUUCGUCGGUAUGCAUAAGUUCCAUACAGGCAUGUAAAGGUAGUCUUUUCUUGGUCAUCUGGGUGGAUUGAGAUUUGGUGAUAUCUAGAAUAACCAUCAAGGAAACAGAAGAAAGAGUGGUUUGCAAGCCGUUCCAACAUUUGAUCAAUGAAGGGUAACGGAAAGUGAUCAUUCUUUGUAGCCUUGUUGAGUUUUCGAUAGUCAAUACACAUACGCCACCCAGUGACAAUUCGUUAAGGGAUGAGUUCAUUCUUCUCAUUCCUAAUGACUGCCAUUCCUCCUUUCUUUGGCACUACUUGGACAGGGCUAACCCACUCACUAUGUGGCACAGGAUAAAUAAUCCUAGCAUGAUAGAGUUUGAGGACCUCUUUCUUAACAACCUCUCGCAUAGCAUUGUUAAGUCUUCGUUGUGGUUCCCUUGAAGGUGUAAAAUUGGGAACAAUAGGGAUACGAUGAGUGCAGAGAAUGGGACUAAUGCCCGUGAGAUCUUCGAGAGCUUAGCCAAAUGCUAAUCUAUGCCGUUCAAGAACAGUGACAAGUUGUUGUGUUUCAUAAUCGGAAAGCUUGUCACUGAUAAUUACUGGAGUUUUUGGGUUGUUGUGCAAAAAAACAUAUUGAAGGCCAGAAGGAAGAGGUUUUAACUCUAUCGAAGGAGGUGAAGGUUGUUCAUUUUUGUCUAGCUCAAUGGGUUCUACCAACUCUUCUUCUUCUUGAACAAAGUGUUCAUGAUUAAAGAAUGGUUGGGCCAUCUCCUUUUGAGUCAGCAUUAAGAUCUCCUCAAUAGGAUCUGAUUCAAGUUUGGGUUCCACUAUCGUGUUAAUUGAUAUAGCAAGAGGAACAACAAUAGUGGAAUUCCCAACCUUCAAGUCUAAAUGACCUCGUUGUGGUUGUUCUUGUAGAAGUUUCAUGAUUGGUCUGCCAAUCAAGAGAGGAAUCUCCGGUAUGUCAAAAAUGUGAAAAUCUAGACAUAUUCCAGAGUCCUUGAUUCUAAUAGGUACUGCCCUUAAUACCCCAUGGCUUUCUAGAAUUAAUCCAGAUGGACUUUGUAAAAGUUUUUGAGAUGGGUGUUGACGGUCCUUAAUGCUCACAUUUAACUGUCAACUAAUCAUGGAAAAGGAUCUAAAUGGAACCAACAAGCUUUCUGGCGCCGUUGCCGGGGAACGGUAGCUGUGCUAGUUUCGAACCAAGUCGUCCGUGUAUCCCUUUUCUUUUCCUUUUUUACCACACUCACCUUAUCACUUUCACCAUACCACAUGGAUUUCACUCUAAGCAUUAAUGAGCAUGGAAUUUAUUUCAUAGCCACUUCACUUACUCCAUGCUCAUAUGCAACAUCUUCACAAUCCAUUGGUCUCUCCAACAUCACCACAUUCGAGAUCUCCAACCCCCUCUUCCUUUCUAUUCAUAAAAACUUUAAAAGGGUGGUUGUCGAUGCAUAUGUCUAUAAUAAAUUUUGCAGAUCUCGUUGAGUUGAUCUUGAUAUAGGUCAGCGUUGGAGGGGAAACUGUUGAUAUUUGGUAACGCAAUAAGGAAAUGAUCGGCAAGCGCACGGAUAUCGGUGAGCAUUUCACCCGGGAGGUUAUCCAGAGUUAUCGUAUUUAUAUUUUUACUACUAGGAGAAAGGGUGCAUCUGACUAACCAAAUCUAUUGCUAUUACCCCUUUAGGCUACAAAGAAUGUUUCUCGAUGUGAGUGAUGUAUAGAGAAGACUGCAAUCGUAGUCUCGUUCUAACCUUGGUAAGGAUGAUCUACUGUUCUAUUGGGGAGGCUCACGGAAUCUAGACAACACAAAGGAUGUUCGACCCGCACCUAUAAACCUACCCGCCCUGCUAACGAGAUACGGUCUGCAAAGGUAACUCGGAAAUGUCACGUUCCUCGCUACUACCACGGUCCAGCUAGUCAGGGGAUAUCUAUGAGUACCCUAGCCUAAACACCACGUUUACGCUAGCAAGUGAUUACUCUAAUACUCAACCGGAAGAGGAUUAAAGUAAACUCAUAAACCAAAGAACAAUAAAACAAGAACUUACUAGUAAUUAGAAGUCGAAUUACUGAAGAAUCUUAGAAGCAAGCCUCGGGUUAGGAGACUUGAUCCCGCAAGUACAACUCGGAGUAGACACUGACAGGCCGGCCUUCCUCCGAUCUACACCUCCACUCUAUCUCUCUCAAUCUAGUAGAAACUAGAAGAUCUAUUUCUACUUACAUUGGUUGCUAAGCCUAAAAAGAAAUAUUAUUUAGAGAAGAGGUUUUCCUUCGAGGGCACCCCUCAAUCUCUAUGAUAAUUUCUUGUCUCCUCCAGGGGCCAGGGGGGUCUCCUUAUAUAGUCCUCAUCCUCUAUGCGUUUUUGGGUCGGUAGGCGAGGUGGUACUACAUUAUCUUUGAUCUAUUAGGUCGGUGGAACGUCGUGUGCGAAGAGAGUCCCGAACGGAGUCCAAAGGAGGGCGGGCGCCUAGGUCCUCAGGGCGGGCGCCCUGGGCCUGGCCCCUUUCGGCCUCCGCUUCCUUCCCGUGGCUUCUGGAGUCUUCUAGAUGGUAGAAAAUUGCGCGGUGCGUUGAUAUCUUUAUGUAAUCCUGACAUGUGGGCCUUUCUUACUUAUUUCCUGAUAACCCCCUGCAGAAAUAGACAAACACCAAAACUCGUGGAACUCUGUCAGAUAAAACCCUAAUUCUAGGUGUUGAUUUCAUUUGGAUCCAUUUCUUUGUUUAUUUGAUAAUUAAAUUUGGUACUUAAGGACCGUCAACAACUCCCCCAAGCUUACCUCUUGCUCGUCCCUGAGCAAGGAUGAACUCAAGAGUUUCUGCAGUGGUUUCAUGCCUUAAAGGUACACACGCAUUCAAGCAAGAUCUCAUCUCUGAGUUAGAAUAAACUGUUAAGACUUAAAACUUACUCAUUUUACCUUUCACCAUGGGGCUUGUAACCGUCACUUGUGUCUUGAGCAGUUAAAAGAUAGAACGGUCAAGUCAAGAGCCAUGUCUCUUAUUCUUGAUCAGCUAUAGCUUUAGAGUUUUUGUAGAUUUUCAAAUAAAACUCAGAGAUUCCUUAUAUGACUCUCUCAAAUCUCUCUUUUUGUGGUAUUUCUGGAUCCUUACCAAGGCAGUAAUUGUAUAUGCCUUCUCUCAAAGUAUGUGGUAUUUUUGGUAUGAGGCAUAGUGAUAUUAUCUUCUCUCUCACCCUACUCUAAUAAGGUUCUGAUAUCUGGAGCUCAUAGGUGAGAGACAGCUAAUACAUACUUACAAGACAUUUAUUGCAUAGUCAAACCAUGGAUCCAGAGAAACAAGUCAAUAAGUCAAAUCAAGAUGUGCAUGUGUGCCGAAUGAAUGAUGUAUGGUGAUGAUGGUGAUAAUAAUGGUGAAAGUCUAAUUAUACUUUUGCUCUUUUUAAGGGGAUACAUACCUUUCUUGCACUUUGAAGCUUUUUGAGGGGAAUGAGAUGCUCUAUAUUUUCUCUUUUUUUUCUUUUCUCUCAGGUGGGUAUCUUGUACCCCUAAUUCUACUGUCGGACACUUGUCCAUUUUUACCUCUCGUCUCACUUUUUCUUUUCUUUCGAGGUUCCGGGCACUUGCCCCUUUUUAUUUCCUCGUAUUAUUUUUUUUUCUUCCUCUUUUUUUUAGAGCACUCAUCUCCUUAAAUAAUAUAGCAAGUGGUAGUAACCAACAUAACUCGAGCAUUUAUUUCACAGGGAAUAACAGGGAUAGGAUAAUGUUUUUGGCUAUUCUCUCCCAGAUUAGGAGUAGAAUAAUUUUGGGUAAUCUGGAGAUGGAAAUGAGUGGAUAUAUGUGGAUGGUACUUCCGGAGUAGAAGUAGCAUGUAUGAGUGAACGUGCAAGUGAAUCUUGAUUUUAACCACAUGACAAGCUCCUAAGGGUCUACAUAGCUUGACCACACUCAAUGCUCAUAAGCAGUAAAAAAUAUGUGGCUCAAAGUCUAGCAAGCAUGUAUAUAUGGCUGUGGUAGGAAUUUAAACUCUCAUCAUACAGGAACUCAUCAUGUGUUAUUUUAAAGAUUUUUUCAAAGAUAAAAUUCUCUAGAAUUCUAGCAUCUCUAGGAACAGAUAAACAGCAGCUCAACCUUCCCAUAUCAUAUCCGUUAACAACUUAGACUUUUGAUCAGGUACUCCUCCCACAAGUUUAGUUUAGAGCAAAUCUUACUUCAUAACAGUCAUGCCUAAACUUGAGAGAGAUUUCAGUUUUAAGAACUAGUCAUGGCAGAGCAACUAUUCAUCAUUUCCAUGUGAGAGCUUAUCAUGAGGGUUCAUAGCAAACUUUAUUUAUUUAUUUAUUUAGCAAACUAAGAAAAUAUAUAUAUAUAAAAGCACAAAAUCUUUAUUUGGGUUUUCAUGAUUAUGCAUCUUUUAUUAUUUGAGUAAAGUAUAAACGCAAGUAGAAACACUUAGCUGGAUAAAUGGGGGUGCUCUCCCCCAAGCUGGAUUUUGACGUAAUUUCUUCUGAUGUAGCUAGCAGGUGGCAGAGGUGUAUUUGAAAGUCAGCAGCAUUUUGACAGCGAUUAGAAUGUCCUCCGUCUGCUAGUCUUCUUGAUUCCUAAAUUCUGUAGAGCUCAAAUAGACAAUAAAGCUUUGUGGAACUGGGUAAGUGUUAGCACAAAUAUCUAGCCUUUAUCAUGUUGAGCCUCCUCAAUAAAUAUUACUUAUUUAGCAGGAUCAUGCACUUAUUAUUUUUAUAUUUUUAUUGUAAGAUGAAAACAUAUUUAUUUUAUGCCACCAGUGAAUGUACCUAUGGGUUCUAUGCCAUGAGCAUACUUACAUGGGGCUUACUAUUUUUUUAACAUUUUUAUUUUCUUUUCAAGAUAGCAUGAACCUGAUUAACUAAGCAAACUAUAAUUGAAUAAUUGAAAGGAAAAGGAUAACUACCAAGUUUACCUCUUGGCAAGGCGUUCGGUGUUUUUAAGUCCUCCGAACGGGACUCUUCGUUUUCUCAGUCGUCCUGGGAUUCGUUAGGUGGCGUAGUCGGUUAUUCCGGCGGCGCCUCCUCUUCGUGUAUAACUAUCUUCUCCCUCCACACCUGACUCGGUGCUACGGUCUCCUCAGGGCAGUUCUGUUUAAGCCGUAUGUCUUCAGACCUUAUCACUUCUCCUUCGUAGUCUGCCCAUCCGUCCUUGAUGAUUUGCCUCCUCUGGUUGCGGUUGUGUCGUCUUCUUCUUGUCCUGACUUGUUUAGAGUCUUCAACUAUAUAGUUAAGGUCAGUAAAAUAGCGGCGUACCUUCUCAGAGGGGAAGUGCAUGUGGACUUCUCUGGUUCCAAUAUAGAUGAUGGCUUUGAUAGUGUUGAGGAACGGUCUUCCAAGGAUGAUGGGUGGAUCGUACUCGUCUUCUCCCAUGUCAAUGAUCUGAAAAUCAUCUGGAGCUGAAUAUAUAUUGGUUGUAGGGGCAUGGUUCCAUGCUGGAGCUGAUAAGUGACUGCGGCCAUUAUGUUGUCGUUAGAUCCGGUGUCGUAGAGUGUCUUCUGAAAAGAGUAUCCAUUGAUUGUGCACUCAAUGAUUGGAAUACCAGGGUCGUCCUUCUUGAUCUUGAGUCGACGAUCUUGACCUCCUCCGACAAGGAUCCAAUGUUUUAAGUCCUCUGGACAAGACUUCUCACCGUCUUCAUCCUUUAGGUGCAUCAUUUGAUUAGGUGUGGACCUUGACGUCUGCACCUCUUGAUACAGUGUCACCCAUGUUCUUCGAUUGCCCAG
rnacentral:lncRNA from 1 species